UUUUUUCUUUUUUUUGAGGUGUAGGAGGGGAGAACAGCUUUGGGAGGAAGAGCGGGCAAGGUUCGUUUUGGGUCGCGUCCAUGGCCGAAGCUCGAGGCGACGAUUCUCGCUCUUGUUCUGAUGUCCGGCCCACUAAGAAGCCCGCAAGUUACCUACGUGUUCUGAUGUGCGGCCCACUAAAAAACCCGCAAGUUCGGCCUAUAUGGGAGCUCCUAUGUGACGCUCGCUGCGUCAAAGAGCCGUCGUUUCGCACAGGCCGUGGCUCACUUGGGCCGGCGCAUAUUGCGGUGCCACUUCACGAGAUAGAAAAUCGUUAGAAAAUCAAGCACUAAAAAAUCAAGCCCGACCGGCGAGCCAUCGGCGCCCCGCCUUCGCGCGCUUCAGUUGGCGCCGCCGCCGCCGGGAGGGGAGAACAACUUUGGGAGGAAGAGCGGGCAAGGUUCGUUCUGCGUCGCGUCCAUGGCCGAAGCUUGAGGCGACGAUUCUCGCUCUUGUUCUGAUGUCCGGCCCACUAAGAAGCCCGCAAGUUACCUACGUGUUCUGAUGUGCGGCCCACUAAGAAGCCCACAAGUUCGGCCUAUACAUGUCGCAUCGGGGCAUUUCUUUGGGAUUUUUUUUUCUACACGUGUUUUUGGUUUUUAUUUGUUUUUUUAGGAAUUUUGGUUUUCGAUGGUUUUUCUUAGGAUUUGAUAAAAAAAUUGAGUUUUAUUCGGAGUUUUUCCGGGAAGCGGCGCUUUUUUCCGUGAGAACCAUAACAUGUGCUUUUGCGAGAAGCACGGUUGCGCUUCGUAGAAUAACAAAAAAAAAUGCACAACCGCGAUAGCAUAGCCUUGCUCCGGUGAGAAGCACAUCUUUACUUCCACACCAAGCAUGGCCUGCGCUUCCAAAAAGGAAAAAAGCACAACAUGUGCUUCUGCGUGAAGCAUAGUUGUGCUUCUAAGAAAAGCACACAUGCUUCUCUAAAAAGGGAAAAGCACAGCUUCUGCUUUCCAAAAAAGUGAAAAACGCAAUUGUAUUUUUGGGCUCCGACUUUUUCUUUUAUUUUUCUUUUUGGUUUGCUAGCUUUUUUGGUUUACCUUUUUUCUGUUUUUUUUUCUGUUUUCUGGUUUUCCUCUACUACUUAAAAAGAACGUAAGGUUCCCAUUUCACCUUUGUUCCCACCAUCCCUUCAUCCAACCUUUCAUGUAUAUAUUUAUAUCUCAUUAGCAAGAGGCUGUGAGCAGUGGUGACCACACUCUGUGGGCGACGUCGUGAGACCUACCCAAAAGUGUUGUUCUCUCCUACCCAAGAGCAUACAUCACCCAGAGACAAAGCCCCUUCCCAAAGAGGUGUGCGGUGAAGGAGAGCCACUUUGAAAUCACUAGUUAAGGGCACCCCUUGCAAGGUCACUCCGCACCUUCUUAGGUGCUCACCUUUGUCGCAAGUUGAGAGUUUUCCCUUUUUUUGUCAAUUCUUUUUCUCAAAAUGCUUUAUCUCUUAAACCGCCCGUCUAAAUCCCGAACCGUUUUCAUCAUUAAAUUUUUCGAGUUCGAAACUAUGUCCCAUGUUAAUAGGUUACAAAGUUUUUUUUUUCAAGAAACUGGAACAAUGCCCGUGCAUUGAAUGAGAUAUAAAUAUUCUUGUACGUUAGCUUGUGAUUUACAUGUCAAUAUAAUGCAAUUGUGUAAAUAAAUGGUCAUCAAAUUCUGAUCGUGAAUUAACUUAUAUUUUGAUUAUAAGUUUGGUAAGUAAAUUAAAGUGGAAUUGGUUCAGAAGAUAAGUAAAUUAAGAUGAUUGCUUAUCAUAUACAUGAAAGGUUGGAUGAAGGGAUGGUGGGAACAAAGGUGAAAUGGGAACCUUACGUUCUUUUUAAGUAGUAGAGGAAAACCAGAAAACAGAAAAAAAACAGAAAAAAGGUAAACCAAAAAAGCUAGCAAACCAAAAAGAAAAAUAAAAGAAAAAGUCGGAGCCCAAAAAUACAAUUGCGUUUUUCACUUUUUUGGAAAGCAGAAGCUGUGCUUUUCCCUUUUUAGAGAAGCAUGUGUGCUUUUCUUAGAAGCACAACUAUGCUUCACGCAGAAGCACAUGUUGUGCUUUUUUCCUUUUUGGAAGCGCAGGCCAUGCUUGGUGUGGAAGUAAAGAUGUGCUUCUCACCGGAGCAAGGCUAUGCUAUCGCGGUUGUGCAUUUUUUUUUUGUUAUUUUGCGAAGCGCAACCGUGCUUCUCGCAAAAGCACAUGUUAUGGUUCUCACGGAAAAAAGCGCCGCUUCCCGGAAAAACUCCGAAUAAAACUCAAUUUUUUUAUCAAAUCCUAAGAAAAACCAUCGAAAACCAAAAUUCCUAAAAAAACAAAUAAAAACCAAAAACACGUGUAGAAAAAAAAUUCCCAAAGAAAUGCCCCGAUGCGACAUGUGGCAGCGGCCAGUCGCACCACUUGCCACGCUUCAGGCAAAAGAAAAAAAAAAGAAAAAAAAGAAAGAAGAAGAAGACCUUUGCGGGAGCCCUGGGUACCCGAAACACACGUAGGUAACUUGCAGGCUUCUUAGUGGGCCGGACAUCAGAACAACAGCAAGACGUCGCCUCGAGCUUCGUCCAUGGACGCCACCCAAAACGAACCUUGCCCGCUCUUCCUCACAACGCUGUUCUCCCCUCCCGGCGGCGGCGGCGGCGGCGGCGCCUAGGUGGAACUGAAGCGCGCGAAGGCGGGGCGCCGAUGGGUCGCCGGUCGGGCACGUGGGUGCGCCAGCAGAUUCCGGCCCCUUCCCCGACAUCAUGCGAUGGGUACGCCGCGUUCAGAAAUUCCUCGAUCCCAUCUAUCUAUUUGAGCUAGAUGACAUUUCGAUGUUGGAGGUUUGUAGCGAACCGCGACGCGUGCUGCCCGGCCGAGUUCGGCCGCUGGAUCUCUCACCCAUGCUGUCUCGAAAUUGCGGGUCUUAGGCGUACCCACACUUUGUUGGUUCGCAUUACAUCUCUUUUCAAGAUGUGCUUCUGCAACUGCUUCUAGAUUUAUGCAUCUCUUAGUUGGCACCGGUAGGGAAAUACGCGCCUGUACUUGCAUGACUGCAUACACAUUUGGUUACUGAUAAUUAUUUGUUGACUCUUAGGUGUGUACUUCAGUUCACUUCGACUGAAGCUACGGAUUCAGGAAGUCUUCUGGUCUUGAUAAUUCCCUGGACAAGUCCACAGUCUUGAUUGCGGCAAGCGCCAUCUCGUGGCUGGCUUGGCUUCGCGGGGAACAGACAGAGUUGCCGGAUAAGUUGAAAGGCUCGACAGCAAGUGCAGACCUUAGUUGAACUGAACUACUGAAGUCCAAUCAGGUAAGGAAGCAUAUGCCUGAUACUUGUAUGAAAAUCCGAGGUGAAAAGCACUUGGAUAUUUAUUAGCUAUUCCCAUAAAGUAGGAAGCAUGUAAUGUCAUCGGUAUGCUUACAAAAGAAAACAUAAAUGGUGCUCAUUCAAUUCACCCAGAAACACUAGGGCCGUGCCGCACUAUAUCUGGCGGUGCUGGACAGAGCAGGCUAAUUAUUUUUGACACAUAAAUAAACAAGGGAAACUGUUGAGGUGUUACAGACUGGGCGAUGAGAGGUCCUAAUAAUGGGAGGAGAAUGGUACACGCAGGGGAAAGCCAGCAGCUUGAAUCAAUACCAUUGACUCUUGACCUUCUUUUUUUCGCGAAUACGCAAAGAUUACGUAUCAUUGCAUUGAUAGGAGGGGGUGAAAGUACAGAGAGAUAUGCCGACAUUGGCCACGCGUACACAAGCCGGCGCGGGCACAAGUGGCCAGAGCAGCUAGGAGAGGGGCUGCUCAUCCCUCAUUACUCAAAGCUAAGCCUAUAUCUCAAGUAUCAAGUUCGCCAAGCCGUUGGCGCCGGCACUAGCCCACAGGUGAGCGUCUUCUCGAAUGGAUUGUAGUAGAGUUGCGACCGAGGGUUGUCGCUGAUCGAACACGCAUCCAUUCCGGUGCUUCCAGAUGGCCCAUGCGGUGAGAGUGAUGAUGGAGCUGAGUCCCUUCUGCAGAGCUGUGGGUGAUGAAGUGCAAGUAUCUAUCCACCAAUCCGCGAAGGGUGUGUCGGGGUUUGGGAUCGUGGCAGUCGAUCGGCACCAAGAAAGGACAUCAUGCCAGAUUUGGCGGGACAAGGGGUAGGAGGUGAACAAGUGGUGCAUGUCCUCAGUGGUCUGGUCGCACAGCACACAACUGUCAUUGUGGGGCAGUCCUCGCCGGGCAAGGCGGUCGGCCGUCCAGCAUCGGUCCUGCAAGGCAAGCCAGAUGAAAACCCUGAUGCGUAAGGGGGCCCAAGUCUUCCAGGUGAGCUUCCAAGACGCAUCGGUCGUAGAUCCAUGAAAGAGCGCAAGGUAGCAGGAUUUGGCAGAGUAGACGCCGGACUCCGUCCACUUCCAGCGCAGCACAUCAGGCCCAGCCGAGAGGGUAGCAUUUUGCAGCAUACGCCAAAGGUCGACAUAUUGAAGCAGGGCGGCUGGGCCGAGCGCGCCGGCAAUGUCGCGCACCCAGGCACGCUCAGGUAGGCCCUCGGCCACCGUUCGAUCACGGCGAUGCCGUCUGGAGACCAGGGAGAACACGAGAGGGGCAAGCUCGGGGAUGGCCUUGCCAUCAAUCCAAGGGUCAGUCCAGAACUUGCAGGUGCGACCAUCACGCACCUCCCAGGUGGUGGAGGCCCUGGAAAUCUGCGAGGCCGCAGGAUCAUGGGGGAGGUGCAGUUGACUCCAGGGGCGCGAAGUAUCGGUACGCUGGAGCCAGAGCCAUCGGGUGUGCAGGGCGACGCCAGCGCGCUGCAGGUCGCGGAUCCCCAUGCCGCUGAGGAAGGUGGGGCGACACACCCGAUCCCAGUUCACUCGGCAUUGCCCUCCACGUCCGUCCUUGCGGCCAACCCAAAGGAAGCCUCGAAUGAUCCGGUUGACUCGAGCAAGGAUGGACUUGUUGACGGCAAUGGCGACGAGGAUGUGGAUGGGCAUGGCGCAGAGGACAUGCCGACAGAGUGCGAGGCGAUCCCCUAAGGAGAGCAUGGAUCCAAGCCAAGUAGAGAGCUUCCUCUCGAGCUUGUCGACGAGCGGCAUGAGGUCAAUUGUCGAGGGCUUGCGGAGGGAGAGCGGGAGGCCAAGGUACUUCACCGGGAAGUAAGCAAUCGGGCAGGCCAUCUCAGCCGUGAUCGUGGCAAUGUGCCCCUCGUCGCAACGUAUGGGGGAGGCCGAGCACUUGGCGAGGUUUGUGCAGAGCCCGGACGCCUUGCCGAAGACGUCCAACAUGCGGCGAAUGGCGCGAAUGUCGUGGGUGUCGGGGUGGCUGAAGAUGACGACGUCGUCAGCGUAGAGGGAGACGCUCGAUGGCAGGUGCCGAGCGGUCAGCUGCUGGAGGAGGCCGCGCUCGACGGCUCGCUGAAGGAGCGAGUUGAGCACGUCGAUAACGAUGACGAAGAGCAUUGGGGAAAUGGGGUCCCCUUGCCGCAGCCCGCACGCGUGAAGAAUUGGUGGCCCGGGGAUGCCAUUGACAAGCACACGCGUCGAUGCGGUAGAUAGCAGGAUGGAGAUCCAUUCGCACCAUCGGUUCCCAAAGCCUCAGCGUGUCCAGCAGAAAGGGCCAUGCCACCGAGUCGAAAGCCCUCGCGAUGUCGAGCUUGAGGAGCAUCCGCGGCAUCUUGAGGUUAUGAAGAAGUCUAGCCGUCUGUUGAACAAGGAGGAAGUUGUCGUGGAUGCUUCGGCCGGCGAUGAAUGCGCUUUGAUUGGUAGAGACCAGCUUGCCCAGGUGAGGUGCCAGCCGAAGAGAGAGCGCCUUCGCGAACAGCUUUGCAAUGAGAUGGAUAAGACUAAUGGGGCGAUAGUCGAAGAGAGAUGCCGCAUCUUGCUUCUUCGGAAGGAGGGUGAGGAGCGCCUCAUUGAGCCUCUGGAAACCGCGCCCGUUGAGUGCGUAAAGCUUAUCAAAGACGGCGCAAAUGUCAUGCUUGAUCACGUCCCACGCACUCCGGAGGAAUUCGGCGGUGAAACCAUCGGGGCCAGGCGCCUUCCCAAGCGGCAAGCUUUUAAUCGCAGCCCAAAUCUCGCCCUCGGAGAAAGGUGCGUCGAGGCUGGAGAGGUCGAAUGGCCCAACGUGGAGCGCGGAGAGGUCUAAGGAGAAAGGCCGCGGCUUCGCCGAUCCAAGGAUGCCGGAGAAGUGACGGUAAGCAGCUUCAGCAAGAGCGGCCGGGUCGGAGAUGGAUGUGUCUCCGACCUGCAACUCGAAGAUCCGGUUCUUUUGCUUGCGGUGCGCUGCAUGCACCCUGAAGAACUUCUGACCCGCGUCGCCGUCCCACAACCAGGAGAGUCUGACACGCUGGCGUGAGAUCGAGCGCUCGAGCGACGCCAGCCCCAGAUACGCCCCUUUGAGGCGCCUACGCAGCCAGGCCUCGGCCGGGGAGAGGGGCUGAAAGUCCUGCGCCGCAUCAAGGCGCGCAAUCAGCUCACGAGCGACAAGGAGCUGUCGAGACACGUCCCCAAUCUUCUUCGCGCUCCAGCUUUGGAGACGCCGCGCUGUGUUCUUGAGGCAUGCCACCAACCUGCGGAAGGGGUCCGGCUCAUCAGCCGCAAUAGCCCAGGCCUCGAGCACGACCUGCGUGUAGCCGUCAGUGCGCGGCCAGAAUCUUUCGAAGUGGAAUCUCCGCGUGCCAGGCGAGCGCGCGGUGCAGUCGAGAAGGAGAGGCGCAUGAUCGGACGCUGCGUGGGAGAGGCAGCGUAGCAUGCAAUGCGGGUGGAGCGCCUCCCAUGCAGAAUUACAGAUCACCCGGUCAAUGCGCGUGAGGGUUGGGGUGCCACGUUCGCUUGACCAAGUAUAUCGCCGCCCGUGCAGGUAAAUAUCGCGCAGUUCCUCAUCAGCGAGGAAGCGGCGGAACCACGACAUGACCCGGUGAUUGAGCGCCCCUGAGAUCAUGUUAAAGUCGCCCCCGAGGAUCCAAGGGCCAGCACGCAACGAUCGGACCUCACUAAGGUCACCGAGGAAAGCAAUCUUGUCAUCAUCUCCUUGCGGGCCAUAAACGCCAGUGAGCCACCAGUGAUGGGUGUUAGGAAAAUAUGCAACUUGUAUUCCCAUGAGGCCAUAGGCCGAUAUAUAUACAUGUACAGGUGUGGUACAUAUGCAGGAAACCCCUUAUACAACGGGAUAAAUACAAAGGGGUAUACAUGACUUAUAUUAUAACUCUAACACCCCCCCUCAAACUCAUGGUGGAGGAACAACACUGAGUUUGGAGAGACAAAAGCCAUGUUGAGCUCUAGUCUGGGCCUUCGUCAGGAAAUCCGCCAACUGUAACUCGGAAGGCACAUACAGAAGAGCAAUGACCUGAUCCUGCACAGCAGCGCGCACAUAGAAAGCAUCAACACCAAUAUGCUUGGUGAGCUCAUGCUUCACAGGAUCGCGCGCAAUGCUAAUAGCACCUGUACUGUCAGAUAAGAGCAUAGUCGGGGUAGUGACAGAAACACCAAAAUCCUGAAGUAACCACCGUAACCAAGUCACCUCUGCCGUCAAAAGAGCCAUAGCUCGCAACUCAGCCUCAGCACUCGAACGGGAAACUGCAAUCUGUUUCUUCGUCUUCCAGGCAAUGAGAGAACCGCCAAGAAAAACACAGUAAGCAGAAAGCGAACGGCGAUCAGAAGGAUCACUAGCCCACGUAGCAUCCGCAUAGGCCUGAAGCUGUAAAGAACUGGAGCUAGGAAAGAAGAGACGGUGAGAGAUCGUGCCCCGAAGAUAUCGGAGAACACGAAGGAGAUGACUAUAAUGAACCGAUGUGGGAGCAGAGACAAACUGACUCAGAAUAUGAACCGGAUAAGAGAUGUCCGGACGAGUGACAGCUAGAUAGACUAGACUGCCAACGAGAUGACGAUAACGCGUCGGGUCAGGGAGAGGAUCACCAUCAGUAGCACGGAGGUGAACAUUGAGCUCCAUAGGAGUCUCAACAGUGCGCUCGUCGGAGAGAGCAGCACGAGCAAGAAGAUCCUGGAUAUACUUUUCCUGGGAUAUAAAAAAGCCAUCAGAGGUAGAAGAGACUUCAAUCCCAAGAAAGUAGCGAAGAGGUCCAAGAUCAGACAUAAGAAACUGCUCACUAAGACGAGCCUUUACAAAGGCAAUAUACUCGGGGUCAUCCCCAGUGAUGACCAUAUCAUCAACAUAGAGAAGAAGAAGAGUCCGGCCACGAGGAGAAAGGUGAAUAAACAAUGCGGGAUCAUGAGCACUUGCUGAAAAACCAGCAGUAGUGACCACAGAAGCAAAACGCUCAAACCAGGCGCGAGGGGCUUGCUUAAGGCCAUAGAGAGAGCGACGAAGACGACACACCAUGCCAUCAGGAACAGAAUACCCAGGUGGUGGCUGCAUGUACACCUCCUCACGCAGCUCACCAUUAAGAAAGGCAUUCUUAACAUCAAGCUGAGAUAUAGACCAGUGGUGUGCAGAGGCAACGGCAAGAAGUGUACGAAUAGUGGUCAUAUGGGCCACAGGAGCAAAAGUCUCGUCAUAAUCACGACCAUGCUCCUGCUGAAAACCACGAGCCACGAGACGAGCUUUGUGACGCUCAAGAGAACCAUCGGAGCGAGUCUUAACCUUGUAGACCCACUUACAAGUGAUGGGACGGACUCCAGGAGGAAGAGAAACAAGAUCCCAGGUACCAGUGCGUUCAAGAGCAGCAAUCUCCUCUGCCAUCGCAAACUGCCAUUCAGGAUGAACAACAGCCUGAUGGUAAGAAGUCGGCUCAAGAACAGCAGCACCAGCGGUGGGAAAUCCAAAGCGAUCAAUAGGCGGACGAGGACGAGAACGCAAGCCAUAAGUAGGCUGAGAGGAAGAGGACGACUCAUCCAAGGAAGCAUCCACAUGUCGUGAACGACGAGUGUAAUGCUUAGGAAGAGAUGGAACAAGAGAAGGAGGAAUCACCAAGGUAGAAUCAGGGGGUGGCGACGAAGAAGUCACCGGAGAUGAAGGUGUAGAAUCCGGUGGCAUGCUAGGUGAGGAGACCGGGGAAGAUGGUGGCGGCGAAUCGACGAGGGGUGGAGAAGCAGAGGGAGUGGAACGAAUAGGCACAGGCGCGACGGGAGUGAUAGGGGAGUCAGGAAAAGUGAGGAAAGAGAUAUCCUCCACUGAAAAAAACGAGGAAGAUGGGCGUGGGUAAAAAGGACGAGACUCAUCAAAAGUCACGUCGAGAGAUACGCAUCCGACGAGAUCCCAACAACGAUAGCCCUUAUGCUCAUCACUGUAGCCUAAGAAGACACACUCAACAGACUGAGCGGUCAGUUUGGUGCGUUCGCGAGGGGCAAGAAGAACAUAGCAAACACAACCAAACAAGCGAAGCAUCGAAUAAUCGGGAGAACGAUCAAACAGACGCUCAAAAGGAACACCACCCUGCAAAGCAGCAGAUGGCUGAAGGUUGAUGAGAUAGACGGAAGUGGAGAUAGCCUCGGCCCAAAAAUGAGGCGGAAGAGAGGCGGCGAUCAUCAUGGCACGAGCCGUCUCAAGAAGGUGACGAUGCUUGCGCUCAGACACGCCAUUCUGAGCAUGAGCACCAGGACAAGAGAACUGGGCAAGAGUACCCUGCUCAGCAAGGACACCACGCAACAUCUUAGAGAUAUACUCACCAGCGGAGUCAGCACGAAAAACACGAAUGGGUGAAGAGAACUGAGUAUGAACCAUGGCAGCAAAACGCUUAUAAAUAGACAACACCUCACUACGUGAAGUCAUGAAAUAAAGCCAUGUGUAACGAGAAAAAUCAUCGAUGAAAAUAAUAUAGUAUUUAUGACCACCUUUCGAAGCGAAAGGAGCCGGACCCCAUACAUCAGAAUGGACUAAAUCGAAAGGACGCUUAGACACUGACUCACUAUGGGAAUAUGGUAACUGAAUCUGCUUGCCAAGACGACAACCCUGACACUCUAAAGAGACAUCUCCUGAGACAGACCCCAGAAGACCUCGACGAACUAAAGACGAUAAUCGAGAACCACCCAGAUGACCAAGUCGAUGAUGCCACUGCUUGAAGGAACCAGUACAGAGGCGACAGCAGCGGAGGGACUGGCGAUGGUGGUGGCAGCGGAAGGAACAUGAAGCUAGUCCAACUCCCAAAGACCCUGAGAAUCACGGCGGCGAGGGCCAGCCCCAACCAGAGUGUGCGUGCGACGAUCCUGGACAGAACAAGAAUCAACAUCAAGGAUGACACGAUAACCAGAAUCAGUAAGUUGACCGGCAGAAAACAGAUUCAUGGUAAGUCGAGGAACAUGAGCAACAUCAGGAACAGAAUAAGGAGUGGAAAGAUGGCCUCUACUAGCAACAGAAAGUGGAGUACCAUCAGCAGUGAAGACAUGAACAGGAGAAUCCAGCGAGCGAAGAGAGGACAAAGCGGAAGAAUGAGAAGACAUAUGAAAAGAAACUCCAGAGUCCAGAACCCAUGGGAAUGUACCUGACUGUGUAGAGGGCGGGUGCUCAGUGCGGGAAGCAUCAGUCACAGAACCAGCAGUACCCGUCGAGGAAGAACCUGAAGCCACGAGCAGACGCUUAAGUCUCAGAAUAUCCUGUUCAGUCAAAGCAAUGGCUGAAGCUAGCGAGGGAGAUGACGAAGUCCCUGAGGAGGAUGAUCGCGCCUUGCGCAGGUGUUUCCGCUUUGUGUAGCACUGGGACUCAAUAUGACCAUCAUUGUUGCAGUAGUCACAAUGUGAACGGGGGCGACCUGAGCCUCCAGAAGGAGUGGGCAAGAGCGGCGGAGCACUCGAGCGAGAAUGGGGCGGUGCAGCCGGCGGAGUGGAAGAAACCCGAGUAGCGAGCACAGAGGGAACCUCCAGCAAACCAGCACCACGUAGGCGAGUCUCCUCAGCACGAAUCUCUGAAAGCGCCUCCAUGAGAGAAAUACGGCCACGAGCAAGCAACUGAGCACGCCGGGGCUCAAACUCCUUACGGAGCCGAGACAGGAACUCGUAGACGCGAUGAAACUCCAAAUCGGCCUGGACAGCCUGGCAGCAGGGGCAAGUACGACAACCAGCACUGCGGAGAGAAUCAAGCUGGCGCCAGAUAGCAGAACUCUGUGCAUAAAAGUCAUCAACAGUAGAGUCACCCUGCUGAAGAGCAUGCUCCUGACGAACCAUAGAAAGGUAUAAGGCAUCACCAGAGGGCUCAUAGCGCUGACGAAGACAGGUCCACAUCUGGAAGACAGUAGGAAGACCCAGAAACUCAGAAGCAAACUGAGGCAGAACACUAGCAGUGAGAACAGCUGCAGCAAGAGCAUCAUCAUCAAGCCACUGGGUGUAAACAGACAAAGCACCAUGAUACGUCUGAAGAGCCUCCUCAUAAGCCAAAGCCCUCUCAUCAUAGGCACGAUCAGCAGCCUCAUCAGCAAUCUUAGCCGCAUCCUUGGCGGCCUGAGUAGCGUCCGGAGGAAGAACCAGUGGAGUCGGCGGAGUAGGGGCCACCGGAGGGACCGGACGUGGCGGACAGCAGACCUCGCCAGAAAGAACACCCCAGAGACGAAUGCCACGCAUGUGAAUGCGCAUGAAGCCAGCGAACUCGGUGUAGUUGGUACCAUCGAAGAUCACCGGACAGCGAGGGACAGCAACAUAGCCUGAUGCAGCAGACAUUUUUUUUGGGGCAAAGAUCCGAAAAUAGCAGAGGCCGGACGAGGACGGCGGCUGGGAGCGAGAUCCGGCGCAGCAGACCUCAGACGACAGCAGUAGACGAUCGGGAGGAGAGGGACCUGGCGAUCCACACAGCAGGAGGACAAGCCACACGGCCCAGUCGAUCGGCCAGAGGAGCCUGGCAGCGACCAAGCGGGAGGAGCGGCACACGGCCCAGACGAGCUUGAGGAGAGGAGCUGGCGAUCACACGGCGGCCGCAGCACGCGAUCGGGAAGAGGCGGCCCAGUCGAUCUUGAGGGGAGGAGCUGGCGAUCCGGAAGAGCCGGCCGCAGCACUCGAUCGAGAAGAGGCAGCCCAGUCGAUCGGGGAGGAGAGACAGCGGCGACGGGGAAACAGAGCGGCGGCCACAGGGACAAUGGCGUCGCGGGGCGGAUCAAUUAGCACGAGUUGCAGCGUGCAAAAAAUUGACCUAGCUCUAAUACCAUGUUAGGAAAAUAUGCAACUUGUAUUCCCAUGAGGCCAUAGGCCGAUAUAUAUACAUGUACAGGUGUGGUACAUAUGCAGGAAACCCCUUAUACAACGGGAUAAAUACAAAGGGGUAUACAUGACUUAUAUUAUAAGUCUAACAAUGGGCACCAUCGAGAGAGGAGGCCAGCGCAGUGAUGUGGUGCUCGCCGCGGCAUGGAUCGGAAAGCGCGAUCAUGUCCGGGCGCCAAGCAAGCAGGAUACCCCCACAGGUCCCAUCCGCGGGAAGGAAGAAAAACUCAGAGAAGGACGAGCCGAGCGUCUCAGUGACAAGCGAGGACGAGAGAGAAACCAUCUUAGUCUCUUGGAUGCAAACAAUACAAGGCGAGGCAGCGGUGAUCACGCUGCGAACGGCGGUGCGCUUGGCCGGGGCAUUAAGGUCACGCACGUUCCAGAAUACAAUGCGAAGGUUGUGAUCCAUGGAGAAAGGUGGAGUCCCGCGGUGGCCUAGGCAGCCACUAGGCCUCGACAGCGCGAGGCAGGGGGAAGGCGAGUUGACAGGCGGAUCGAGAAGCUCGGGUAUGCGCCAGCCGAAGAGGUCGGCGAAUGCUUGCAGCACGUCAUGCGCCAGCGGCCUCUGGAAGAGGCGCUCGUACUUCGCCAGAGUUGCAGCGGAGAUGGGGGCGUCGUCCGAGACAAGUCCGAGGCGACGAAGGAGCAGCUUCUUGGCCUUGAGCUCAGAGUUGAGGCCGCAAUCUGCCUUGGCAAUCCUGCCACUCCGACGGGGCGUGAAGUUCGGCGGUAACUCCUUCCUACGGGAGCGGGAGGGGGGCGCAGGAAGAAUCUGCGCGAUCGGCCUUUGGAUGGAGCCUAAAAACGCGUCCACAGGUUCCACGUCGGCAUGCCCGCAACGUGGUGAGUCCGGAGCGGCUGCAUGAGAAAGAUCAGUCACCGAGGGUGCGGGAUCACUCGGGAUCAGAGCGUGCGAAUCCUGCGCGGCGGGAUCCGAGGCGGGGAUGGCGAGCGGCCCAAUGGCGGGGCAGCGCGAGGGGCCUGGUGGGUCCGCCCCUGGCUGGACAAAACCAACUGCCCAGCAGGGGGAGGGGUGGAUGGCCCGUUGUCGCCUUCCUUGGGAUUGGCUGGCAGGAUGGUCGCGGAUCCUGGUGGGGCCGCGCAAAGCAACAGCAGGCCUGGGGCGACCACGGGGGCGGGAUCAACCUGGGGGCGUGCACCGAUCUUCAGAAGGUGCUCGGGCGAGCCAGGCGAUGUCGCGUUGGCAAGCAGCGGGGUGGUGAGCGCGGGAGCGGUGACCCGGUCAACAGAAUCCGAAUUUGAACUGGCCGCGCCAACGGGCAAAUUUGAUAAAUUUAACCUAUAAUCGAAAUCAAAUCACAGAAUGAACUGUCCGUGAAACUAUUUCACGCGGCUGACCCUUGGCGCCUAACUCUCAGGCGCUGUACUAGUGCAACGCCCAGGAGCUAGGCGCUGCACUGUGUAGUGUGGCGCCUAGCUCUCAGGCGCUGCACGCUGACUUGGGCACAUAUGGGUGCGACGCUGGCCGUGUAGCGCAUAUCUGGGAGGUGUUGCACAGUAGGGUGUGGCGCCGGCGUGGCGGGCGCUAAAGUGAAAUAGUUUCGCAACCAGUUCAUUCUGUGCUUUGAUUUCGAUUAUAGGUCAAAAUUGUCAAAUUUGCCGCGCCAACGGGCUCAGACGGGGUGGGAUGACCAGCUGUCACCGCGGCUUUCUGGAAAGCCGCCUUGUCCCCCAGGCGCAGCUUUGCCGGGCCCCGCGUGACGCCAGCCACGACCGGCGGGUACGGCCCGAGAACCCCAUGCCAGAUGCGCGAAACGGCGAGCGGGCGGUUGCGGCGCGACCUCCACGGCGGCGAUUGGAGCGCCCGGACUGGCGCGAGGGGCCGGCAGCAUCACGUCGUGGCGGCGCAGGAGGGUGAUCAUAGCGGCGCGGCCAGGGCUCAGGGCAGGGUGGAGAGCCCUGGCCUGGGCCAGCGCCAUCAUCAUUGGCCACCAGGGCCCGAUCCUCCGCACGCUGGAAGCGGAUGAGGAAAUCCUCCGGCAAGUGGCGGUGAACCGAGAAGCGCGCCUCUGGGAUGCCAAAACGCGAGCAGAUCACGUCGGAGACCUUCUGACACGAGACCCCGGUCCUGCACCCCGCGACCGUGGCAAGCAACGCGCGCCGGAGCUCCUCCUCGGCGUCGUCGAUCUCCGCGGAAAGAGGUAGGAAACACGCGGGCGCAGCGGCCGGACGCAGCGAGGGGUGGCCGGUGAGGGGGACGGAGGGGGAGGUGGACGUACCGCGCAGCGUGGGAGGCGCGGGGGGAGGGGACGGCGAGCCCGGAGGACGCAGGCUGCCAGGACCCCUGGACGGACGGGGACGAAGCCGAAGGCGAAGGCCGCGGCGGGGAAGGCCCUCGGAGACGCUUGGGCGACGGGCUGGAGCGCGAGGGGGACGACGGCGAGCGCGGGUUGGUGCACAUGCGCGCCACAUGGCCGUAGAAACCGCAGCGCGCGUAGCGGAUGUCGCGGCGGCACUCGGAUCUGGGGUGGCCGUGGUAGCGGCAGCGCGAGCAGAACUCCUCCGAGGCCCGGCGCCGGCCAGGCCCAGCAAGCGGGGCGACGGGGGGUGCGGGCGAGCGCGCGGCGGGAGCACGCCGCCGCGGGCGACGCCGCUGCGGGGGCCGCCUUCGCUUACGACCAGCCACGAGCCACUCGCGCUCCUCGACAGGCUCCUCCUCGGAGAGCCGGUGGAUCUCGGAGCGGAUGACACGCGGAGGCGGCGGGGGCGAGGCCGGUGAAGUGGCGGCGGUCGACGACCCACAGAGCGCCUGACGGUAGGAGGGCCUCGCGGAGUCGCCGGAGGACGGGCUGGACUCGAGCCAGCGCCGGUCACGCCCGCGACCAGGGGCAGCCGGGGAGUCCAUGGGAGCGGGGGAGAGGGGAGGGGACAGGAGGGUGGCCGCCGAACGCCGGAUCGGCGAGCGACGGGAGGCUGUGGUCGCCGGGGCCGGAGCGGCCGUCGGCGAGGUGCGAGGUGCGGGAUACUGGCAUGUCGACUCUUGACCUUCAGAAUGGGUUGGUUUGUCUUCCCAGCAAACUGGGCUCGCAAGCCAUCCAUAAAAUCUUUCGUGGCACCGCUGAGUACGACUUCCUUGAGGCUUGGCAGAGAUGGUAGCCCAGAAAACAUCGAAGCUUCGUUCUCAGCGUACCAGCCAAAUUCCAUAUGCAGCAGCUCAAUCUUACUGGUCGCUGCCGCGUCUUCAAACUUGACCAAUUGGAUGUCCUUGGGGACAUCCAGCGACAACACCUUGAGGCUUGGAAAUGCAUUCUCUUUGAAGCUGAAACACAGCUCUUGACCCUCGAACGACCCGCUCAGCAGACGUAAGAUUGCUAGGUUUGGUAGCUUGCCAAGGACUUGUAGCGUGGUACCAACCUCCUCCUCAGAUAAGCAGCUGCUCCGUAGCUCCAUCUUCACGAGAUUUGUGAGCUUUUCGACCCAUGCCGGCAGUUUGACCAAGUUGCCGUACAACUUGAGGCUUUGAAGGUUCGGACAGGUCAUCCAAGCAGCCAGAUAGACCAGGCUUCCUCUCUGACCGCACAAACAAGGAUUCCAGGAAUUUGAGAUUUGCAAUGGCCGAACAGAAGCUUUUGCGAUUUUUCUUGUUCAGACCAGUCACUCUUAACUUAUGCAACCCGGUAAGAUCUUGGAGCUCUUUAAGAAUGGCAUUUUCCCCAUCGAUAUUGACAAUACCCACUGUGUGCAGGGACUUGAGCUUCCUGGUUCCUCUCGGGAAUUUGACACCAGAUGGAUCUAUCCCCAUAAAGUAAGCAGGCACCCCGGCACAACCAUCUCUUGUUAGCACGCGUAAGAAACGCACAGGUAGAAACAACAAGUACCAGAGGUAAAAUAGUAAGGCAAGUACUAAUAUGCAGAGGAAACGUAGUAAAUACGCCAGCCAGAAGCAGCACUUGCACGGGAUGCAUUUUCUCAGCGAAAAGAAGAUUUUACACUUGCGGAUAAUCCGUAUUAUGGGCUUUUCCCCACUUGUCAUCAUUCAAUGGUACAACGCCCACAUGGAGAUAACGUAACUUGUCAAGCUUGAUAAUUGUUGUUGGCAGAUUUAUUAUGCAUACAUCUCUUACAUCCAGUGUCUGUAGGUGCCUCAGAUUGCCCAUUGAAUCUGGCAGGCGCAAGUGUCCGUCACAUCCUCGCAGAGAAAGGUAGGUUAGGUGAACAAGCUUCCCAAUCUGAUGGAGGUGUUGAUCUGUCAGACCCUUUGUGUCUUCCAAGUCCAGUACUCGGAGUAAUCUCAUCUUAUCAGAAAUGAAAAAUGCCUCCAACCUUCCAAAGACUGUUAAUGAUCUUAAGUGAGACAAGUCCAGUGCACGCUCAAAUGCAUCUUUAUCUCUUUUCCACCUGCUGCUUACAGCAAGGUGACGGAUUUUGCCUUGGGUGUUUAAGUCACAUCCUUCAUCCAGUGUAAAAACAAGACUUUCCUCUGUUGCCUUUGAGAUUGCAAUGUCACGGAUGAGAUCAUGGACGUCCAAGAAACCUUUCCUCCCACUUGCAAUCCCAUCUCCUUGUAAUGGUCGGACCAUACUCCUAUUGAUAAGCUCGGUGAUGUAGCUAUUCCCGGUUUCAACUGCAGUCUUGUCGCGUAUUCGCCUCGAAUACCCCUCUGCAAUCCAGCGCCUCACCAAACGAGACCAUCUGAUGCGGUGGUCUUCAGGAAAAAUGGAUAAAUACAAGAAGCAAGCCUUGAGAUAAUAAGGUAAACCUUCGUAACUUGAAGCAAGGACUGUCUGUAUCAUCUCAAGCUCUUUAUUCAUCUCUAGCUCUGCAUUGAUGUGUUUGUUCAAAUUCCUCCACUCUAUAGCAGUUUUAGGUUUGGUUGCCAGGAAGCUACCUAUGGUGGAUAUUGCAAGAGGGAGGCCGUCACACUUCUUCAAUAUAAGAUUUGCUUGCUCAGCCAGGCCCGGAAUAUGAGCAUAACUUUCCCUCUCUUCGAUAUCCUUGAAUACCUGUUAUUCAUAUGAUUUAGCAAACCAGGUUAGGCGAUAUAACAUUUCAUAUUCCAUUUCUUCUUACUUUGGAAUGCUUAUAUACAGUUCAUUAUGUAAUUGUCAUCCAUCGCCAUGUUAAGUUGUAAACACUAAAGAAGUACUCACUACAUUCGAAUACAAUUCCUUUUUAAGAGAAGAAAUGCUAUUUCUUUACAACAUUUGUUGCCAUUUAUAGUUUCAAGUAUACAAUUUUCACGUGUAGUGUUCUUCACUAUCCAACACGGGAAGAUGGUUAUGUGGCCUAGUUGUCGGAGGAAUGUUCGUUUCUACACAGCAGGUUUGGACUUAGGGUUGACACUCUGUGUGAUACUUAAUAUCUGUGUGAGUCCAAUGGGUAAGUAUGUGUCUGUUGAGAACUUGAGAUUCUCAUGUGGUGCAUUCCUUUUUUGAGAAAGUCCAUUUUAAACUGCAAAUUAUGAUGUCAAGUCUGAUUUGAAUCCUGAACUAUGAAACCACACAUAUUAAAACAGAAAUUUAUAAAAUCAUUUAACUUUAACCCUAGCCCAAUUUUAGACAGUGCUUUGUAUUUCAAAGUUUCCAAAAAAUGUGAAAAUUUAUAGAUAGAAGGAAUGGUACAUUUUAGUUCAAAUUAAAACUGAACUUUAUAAAACAAAUAACUGUCACAUUUUAGUUCAAAUUUGCGCGGUUCCNNNNNNNNNNNNNNNNNNNNNNNNNNNNNNNNNNNNNNNNNNNNNNNNNNNNNNNNNNNNNNNNNNNNNNNNNNNNNNNNNNNNNNNNNNNNNNNNNNNNNNNNNNNNNNNNNNNNNNNNNNNNNNNNNNNNNNNNNNNNNNNNNNNNNNNNNNNNNNNNNNNNNNNNNNNNNNNNNNNNNNNNNNNNNNNNNNNNNNNNNNNNNNNNNNNNNNNNNNNNNNNNNNNNNNNNNNNNNNNNNNCCCCUCAAAGAUGCAAUAAACUGGCUUAAUGUUUGGAUGGUUUAUAACUUCUCGCGGAGGACUAGAUCCAGUACUGCACACCAUAUUUACCUAUUGUUAUUCUUUUCCUAAUCGCAAGUCUUAUGUAUAGGACCUAAAGGUAUACGGCAUGGACUUACAAUUUGUAGGCUCACAAGGGCCCAUUUAUGGGACAAGGCCAUAAGGGUCUUUAUGAAAUCUUAACAACGUCAUGGCAUGCACAAUUAUCUCUUGACCUGCCUAGCUAGGCUCUAUAACCAUUGCGGUUUCUUAUUCCGAGGCUCUAAAAAAUAUAUGUAAAAAAUAGUGGAGAAUACCAGAAAUUAAGAACCAGGAAAAAGAUCAUCACCCAAUUUCUCCAUACAAAGACACACAAAAAAAUGAAUUCCUCUGUCGUUUUUGCACAUGACGUGAAUAAUCACAAUUUUAGGUAUGUUAUCAUUCCUUCACCAAUCCUUAUAUUUUUUUCCCCGGGGGAAAUCCUUAUAUGUUUUGAAAGGCCCAAAAUGCAAAACUACUUUUCCAAACCCGGUAUAGGGUUCACUUUGAAUUGUUUGCGGAAGUCCAGAGUUUGAUUUAGGCGAUCUCAUAUCUUAAGGUUUAAGUCGGGCCAAGCAUAAUAGUUUUGGGUUUAAAAUGUGAUUUCCUUCUUUAUCGGGUUACUCUAGUGUGCUUCAUAACUCAUACAUCUCCUAUUUUUUAUUUAUAACAAUUGGUGCUAUUUAUGACAGUCGAAUACUUUCAAGUGCAAAUAAGUUAAGAGGCAACACUUUUGCUAGAUCUAUACAAUAAUAUUACUUUUACAAAGCCAAAAAAGCGUGACUGCUAUUAUACUAACAGCAAAAAUUUGGAAACAUCCAAGUACAGUAAUGGUCAGAGUUUGAAAAUGUCCACUAUAUGGACCCCACAAAGACCAACACUGAAUGGGGAGUACAUAAUAUUGUGUCCACGGGACAAUAUAAAACUAUAAAGCUACAUAUACAUUUGCAUGAAAAUUUUGGCAUAGCCACAAAGAAAAAUAUAAUCUCGUUGUUCUAACUGUAGGGUGUGUUUUGAUUCGCUAAGAGAAGAGAAGCUUUUGAACAACAAAUAUUGCGUUAAUAUGUGUUUUAUGUGAUAUAAAAUAAAUCAUAGAUAAGUAUCUUGGAAUACGGAUCUCACAACAUAAGGUUUCUGUUGCAUAGUAGUUGUUGGUCAAAGUGUACUCUGAAUGAAUUCUAUUUCUUACAUUUUGAACGAGCGAGGUACAUUCUAGUUUGCAUUCAUGAAACAUGGAUUGAUUCUGAAUAAAGGGACAUAAUCAAGUGAGUAAGACCAACACUCAUCAGUAUAUGUAGCCUCAGUGAAGCACAAACUGAAAUUAUUUUGUGUUUACUAAUUAUACCAAAAACAUGUAUAGUUUCAUGUAAUUUACUCUGUAAUGCCAUAUAUGGUAGCAUAAAUGAAUAUGUACAGAACUGCAUUUCUCAGUAAAAUAUGUUUAGAAGGUGUCUAUAUUGCAGCCAUCUUGCAAAAAACAAAAAAUUAUAAUAAAUUAAUUAAAAGAUGUUCUCGCAGAAAAAAACUGCUUUUACGAAAUAAGGAUGGGUUGCCCGCCCAUCAGUACAAUAUUUGUACAAAUGUUUGUAUGACAAGAAAAUAUGUACCAUCUUAAAAACAAAAUAGCUUAAUAUAAUGCUUCUACUAUUUCACAUGUAAAAUAGAGUACCUUCUUUUCAAAUAGGCGGAGAGCAUCCUGUUUAGUUAGAAGCUCGAGAUUGUAUAUUUUGCGUUCUUUCUCCGAACAACACAUUGCAACAUUCAGUUCCCGCGCAGUGACAAUGAUCCGGUUAGCGGUAUUGUCCUUCGAUGAUGGCAAGAGCUUCCUUAUCAAUUGCCAUUCCAUGGUCGAUGAUAGAUCAUCAAAAACAAUGAGGCAUUUGUUUUCCAAUAAAAUCUUUGCCAAAAUGUCAACUGGUUUUUGCUCUUUCUUUGGUUGUGUCUCCUUUCCAUUGUUACUUUAUUGUGUUUCAGUGGCGUGCUUUUCUUUGUCUCCAUGAAAAUCCACACAUAAUUGCUGUAACAAAUCAUUGUAAAAUUCUUGAUGGUUUAGACGCGGCACCGUUAACCAAGCGCGCCUCUGAAACCUUCCACUGAGUUCUUGUUGGUAGAGACUUGUGACAAGAGUGGUUUUCCCAAGACCACCCAUUCCACAAAUGCUGAUCACCUCGCCAUCUUGAUCGAUGAAAUCAAUAACUUUAGCUUUUGCUGCCACCCGGUCGAUAAGCUGAUCUUCAUCCAAAGCGGCUGCCACUACACUGGCACCAGUGGGCUUCUGAUCUGCAUGCUGCUGUUUCUCACAAGUGGCUUCUUCAGCGCUAGUGAUCUCACCAUUUGAGCUGGACUCGGCCUUGCCAUCCUCUUUGAUUCGAGCCGCCUCCGCCUGAACAUAAGUUAAGCCACGUUAGUUAAUUUAGGCGAACUACUCUACCUGCUAGAUACCUACAUCAAAACAACGAUGCACUGAUUCAUAUAUAAUUCAUAUAUGGGGCGUCAAAGAUUACAUUCGAUUAUCUAAAUCAAGACGAAGAGGAGAUAUGCAUACUUAUGGUUACCUUGUGGUAAAAGACAUAUAAGUCCUUAUCGAAUGACCAUAUUUGUUUUAUCUCUGAUAUUGUGCAAGGCUGCUCAGUGCACAGCCUUGCAACUUCAAAUUGCUGCGUGGACACAAUAAUCCGGCCCCCAUUCAAUCUCGGGAAGUAUGUUUUGAUCCAGUCCCACUCUUCUAUGGUAGACACAUCAGCAAUAACAACCAAGUACCUCUUCUCAGUCACAUAUCGAUUAAACUCAUCGACCAAACUAUGAUCUGGUGCUGCCAUCUUCUUCAGAACUGUCAGCCCAGUGGCUGUUCCUCCUCCUUGCAUGCUUGCUUUACCAGAUUCUUCACAUGAAUCUUGGUAGAACUGCCUCACCAAGCUGACAAAGAGGUCAUUUGGAUUGAAGGGAUGCAUCAGCCUUACCCAGGCUCGGCACUGAAACUUAUCUUUCACUUGUUUACUGUCAUAGGCAGCUCUGAUGAUAGAUGUGACCCCAACAUCGGUGCUUGCUCCCCACACCGCGAUUACCGACCCAAGGUCAUCUCCAUCCUCGGUGAUAAUCUCGGCAAGAUCCACCUUUUCCUCUUCCUGAUGAAGUGCAGCGCGUAUCUUUGCUUCGGCGACGUGAAGUAUCACCUCACUGCUGAUGGUGGUAGACGAUGGCUGCCCAGAUGUUUCCUUGAUAAGGUGGUACCGGACAUUCCUCUGGCUGAUGUCCUCCACCUUGGAUCUAAGCUCCUUCAUUUCCUUGGCCACGAAACGCCGGUCAAGCAGCCUUCGAGGGAUACGCCACCACGACUGUUGGUGAUCUAACCUGACGGCAAAGUCCAUGAGGCAGUCCUCGACGCCAUAUGCCACGUCGCGGACUUGCUUCACCCAGAUCUUGACCACCAUGCUGCUGCCAUCUCGCCCCUCCUCGUGUGCACACAUCAGGAAGCCCUGCAUCAUCUCGAGCUCACCCGUGAUGAAGGCCUGAUCACGCCGUACUCCCAGCUGCAGGGCCACCUCCUCGGCUAAGGCGGAUUGGGAGUAGCUAAGCGCUCCACUCAGCACGGACUUGCCGACGAUCAGCACCGUCGCCUACAUUUUCGCUUAGCUGGUGUUUGAUGUCUGGUGGGGGUUUGCUUGUGUCGAUCGGUAGUGAUGGCGUGCACACUGUAGUUAAGGCUGUGGCUGCAUGUACAAGCACAACAAGCCAACAAAUGAGAGAUUGAAAAAGAGGAGCUCGGCUGGAAGUGCGAGCUGAGCACGUUCGCAAGUUGGCUUUGCUCUGCUAUAAGCAUCUACAGAGAUGGGGAGAGAACUAGUUUAUCCAGCGGAUUUCAUAAAUUUUCAUCGGUAGCGCAGUGCUGCAGAAAAAAACUAGUUGGGUCCGGUCUCCAAUGGGGCUAAGCACAAGACAGCAAAGGAGAGAUUAAGAAAGAGGAGCUCGAAGCGCGAGCUCAGCACGUUCGCGAGUGGAUCUUNNNNNNNNNNNNNNNNNNNNNNNNNNNNNNNNNNNNNNNNNNNNNNNNNNNNNNNNNNNNNNNNNNNNNNNNNNNNNNNNNNNNNNNNNNNNNNNNNNNNNNNNNNNNNNNNNNNNNNNNNNNNNNNNNNNNNNNNNNNNNNNNNNNNNNNNNNNNNNNNNNNNNNNNNNNNNNNNNNNNNNNNNNNNNNGGGUUAAGGUUUAGGGUUUAGUUGGAUCCGUUCUUCAACGGUGCUAAGCACAAGACAGCAAAGGAGAGAUUAAGAAAGAGGAGCUCGAAGUGCAAGCUCAGCACGUUUGCGAGUGGAUCUUUUGAGAGAGAGAGAAAUAGGGGUUUAGGGUUUAGGGUUUAAUUGGAUCCGUUCUCCAACGGCGCUAAGCACAAGACAACAAAGGAGAGAUUAAGAAAGAGGAGCUUAUUUUUUUUGCGACUGAAGAAAGAGGAGCUUAAAGUGCGAGCUCAGCAUGUUCGCAAGUGGACCUUUUGAGAGAUUGAGAGAGAGGGGGAGGGAGGGAAAGAGAGAGUUUAUCCAGUGGAUUUCAUAAAUUUUCACUGACAGCAGUGCUACUUAAUUUAUGGUAGAUGUUAGUUUGAAUCAAGUAUUUGUAGAUCGCAAAGUGAGCGGUACAACCACAUAUUUUGUGACGCUUUGCACUAGAUUUUGCGUCAUUGCUCAAUUUUACGAAUUACAUGCUUCCAGUGUCAAAUUCCAGCUGGUAUUGAUCCAUGCCUGGUCAGAGAGAUAAAAAAAUGGUGCUUAUGACGUCAGUUUGAAAAAUAUCUGGUGGUGAUAGAGAAGCUAUUUAAACAAGACUGGUAGAGAAACUCAUUAAUAAUGGGGGAGGUUAGCUACAGUUCAAAAAAAGAAAGAAUGGGGGAGGUUAGCUAACAACAGAGUAAUUCUGGUGAAUCCUUUUUCAGUCUUGCUAAUUCUCAGUCGGCUAAGAUUUCGCUAAGUCUCAGUCGACUGAGAUUUCGUUAAGUCUCCGUCGAUGCUAUACCCGUGAGAUCUUAUAUUGAUAUCCGUGCAAAAGAAAAACAGUUUUUUUUCCUUUUUCUCUCUUGCAUGUUAUGUUACUUGAUUGAGACUUGGUUAAAUCCCACUCGCUUGAGGCCUAGCCACACCCAUCUUUUUUAUCAAGACGGUCUUCCUAAUAAUUCAAAGUUUUAUCAGGAGGAUAUGUCGUUAGCCUAUUAUAGAUGUGGAAACACCAGCAAUGCCAUAACGGCGCUGGCAAUAUUUUUGUUUGCAAUGGACUAGAGACAGUUUAAUUACAUGUUCUCACAUGCUCGUUGCUGCGUCAAGCUCAGCCAUGGCAUUGCUUGCUCGAACUAAUCACCUCGUAGAUUACAAACGGUGGCCUGCUAGCUCGGACAAUGAUGUUAUAACACUGCCUACAAAAAAUGAUGAUAUAACACAAAGUUUUUGUUUUCCAUACAACUUCCCCAAAGCUUGUGAAGUCGGGUUCCAUUAUCAAAGGAAAUAGGUCCAGCUAGGGAAUCUGAAGUUUGAGCCAAGCAUGAAGAGAUGACUAAACGGUCAUGUAGGAGUACAAUACAAUUGUUCAGUUACUUGGAACAAACAGUAAUGUUUCACAGUGAGCUUCUAAGUUAACUGUUUGGAGGAAACUUUUCAAUCCAACAAGGUGUAUAUGGAAAACAAGAAAUGAUUUCGCGAUGUGCACUAGAUAUAUAGGCAAAAUCAUCAUAACAAGCUGGGUACAUGCAUAUUGCCUAUGAUUUCAACCUUGUUGCAUUGAAAUGAUACGCUAGACCUAUCUCCUGGGAUACACUCAAGAACAAAUUGUCUUUCUAUGGAUCCUAGUACGUCAACAGGACCACAGUAAGACUCCUCAGCCUCGUAUCCUGCGUCAAUAGCAUCAUCUUCAUCAGAUGCCCAUUCAAAGUUCUGUCCAGCUCUCUUUUUGAAUUUUGGAAGACUGGACCGGAAGAAUUCACAAUUGAUGUCUUUCAAGACCCAGGGUCCAUGAACGUGUUGAUCAAAUCGAAUACGUGAUAGCACAUGCUUAAACUCAAUGUCCUGCUUCAUCGUCCAGCCCAUCUUACCACAUGAUUCACCGAGGAUCUAAAUCCGAAUCCUGUAGUCAUCUGAAAGGAAAUACACUCUUUUUUCUGAUUUAUCGAGAUGAGGGUUAUUUAUCCAGCUCCUUUCCAUGUAUGGGUUUCCAUAGUGGUCGGGUGUGCUAUCCAUCGGCGGUUUAAUUACAUGGUAGUCAUCGAUCAUCAGACAAGGAUAUUCUGGAAGUACAAAUUAUGUACCAAAUAAGAUGUUUAAAAUUUAGAGAACCAUCCGUAGAGUAAUCGGAACAAAUUUAAAUUCUAAUAAUGAAAUAUAGCGACUGAGGCUUUUUUUUAAAAAGAGCUCCAUAGUGCUCGUGCUCUCUUUUGCAUUUUUUAAAUACAGCAUGCUCCUACCUCAUGACAAAGUCGGCUUGGUCACGCGGAUAAAGUGCAUGCACAUAAAGUGCUCCUCGCCAAUAGACAGCGCGGAGUGUAGACCAAUUCAUUGCUUGUAUCUCGCCGACAGCUAGUUCCCGCAGCAUCCCCUUGUCAAACAAGAAACCUUUUCUCCCAACAUCCUGUCCUUGACGAGAAGACAUGCAAGCAAGUAGCAAUGGUGGCCACUCAGAUGCCUCCAUUGCAGGGUCCAAACAGCAUUCAGAAUCUCCGUUGUGACACAAACUGGGGGCUGCGAGCACCUCGUAGUGAGGCGACACCAUGGGAUCAUAGAGAAGAAAUUCAAUGUCGUCGUAUGGCUCCAACCCUGCCAUGUGCUGCAUGGUGCGCAAAGCAUAACGCUGUUCUGUGGCGCAUUGACCUAUUUUUUGGGAGACGCAUUGACCUGCCGUGUUCGGCCCGGGCUGCUGCCUCUUUGGCCCAUUGAUGACCUGGUGGGCCGGCACAAGCCCACUUGUUCGGCCCCGCUCAUCCGUGUCCUCCCGUGUAUUUUCAGGGCUUCCUCUCAUCCGGCGCGCUGCCGUCUCCACGCCGCCGCGCAUCGCCAUGACGCUGCACGGGUCACCUAAACGCUGCCGCCUUCUUAGGCCUCCUGCACCGGCGGAAUGCGCUGUCCCUAUGCCAGUGAGGUCCGUGUGCCGUUUCCUGUGCGUGUCCAAGGAGUGGUACGUCCUCAUCUCUGAUCCAGCCUUCGUCGCCGCGCAUAAAUCUCGCCAUGCCGAGCCGCUCAUGGUGGCCAGCUGCGCUGAGGACGAAGCCAAGAGCUGGUGCCGCGACCUGCGGUUGAUGGACAUGGAGGAUGGUAAUGUCGUCAAGGUGCUGAAGGGCAUAGACGGCUCUCCCGUGAUCUCCACGAGCUCAGACGACCUCAUAUGCAUGGCAGAUUACUCUUAUUCUUAUGCUAGCGCCCAGGUGAUCGACCCGGCCUCGGGGAAGGUGCUCGUGGACUGUCCGAAGCAACAAAACAGGAUGGUGUGCACCUUCUUCGGCUCCGGCCGUGUCUCGCACUUACAAGGUGGUCAAGGUCGAUGAUGGUUCGGCAUGCAAGGUUUUCACUUUAGGGGAGGACACCGGCUGGAGGGUGUCGGAGCCGCCCCAAACCAAAAUCUCCUACAUGGAAAACUCCCCGGUCACUGUGAAUGGUGUCAUGUAUUUCUUAGAGACGCAACAUCGACGCGGUUACACAUUACAUUGCUUUGACAUCGAGAGCGAAGCGUGGAGGAAGACGAUCAGUGGCUCGCACAAACCCAUGGGCCCUGAUGUGUGCCUGGCUGUGCUCAUGGCCGAGCUCAACGGCGCUUUGUGCAUGGUCCAAACAGAGAGAGAGUACCACACACCCAUGACAAAUAACCGACGUGCCAACAUAUGGAUCUUAGCCGAUCUGGAUAUGGGUACAUGGAUUAAGGCGUAUUCCAUUCCAAUGGACGCGUCCACCGAUUAUUGUAGGCCUCUGAGGGUAACACGUGAUGGUGGUAAGUUGAUUUUCUGCAAUGCCUUUUAUGGACACUUUUGUCUGGACACUUUUGAUGGUAAAUUCUUUGUCUGGACACUUUUGCAGAACAGACUCUGGACUGCUGACAGGUUGCUUGCGAGGCGGUGGGAUCAUAACGAUGCUUGUUCAGGCUGUGAUCAAACCCUGGAAACUGCCAAACACCUGAUCCUUGAAUGCCCAUUCGCUAAAGAGGUGUGGUUCAGAGCCAGUGCUUCUUUUCCCCUAGCCGCCCAGGCUGCAUCGAGUGCAUCUUCUAUUAAUUCUAUCGUGGUGGCGCAAGGUUAGAGCCCUGAAGAAGAAAGGAAAAGAGACGGAUAACUGUACUGCGGCUGUAUACAUUGCUUGGCAUCUGUGGCUUGAGAGAAACAACAGGAUUUUCCUGGCAAAGUGUAGCACAAGCUCCACGGUCCUCAUGCUUGUUAGAGACGAGAUCAGCCUCCUAAUGGAGGCCUGGGAGUAGUCGUUAUUGUUUCGGCAGCGUGGCUGCCUGUUUUUCUUUCUUCUUCCUAAUCUACUCUCUCUGGCUGUACUCACGUUACAGUCUUGUACAGUUGUUCCCCCUCCUAUAAUGAAAAGCAGAGCUUCUGCAGUUCCGGUCAAAAAAAAAUGCCUUUUAUGCAGAAAGACAGGAAAUUCGAGCCUACAAUCUUCACACCGAGGCAUGCACGUUACUAUGCAAACUAGAUAGAACCAUGGGCAGAAUUGCUCUUUGCAGCUUGCAGUUGGACCACCUCUUGUCUCAGCCAAGAUUUAGUGUCCGCAGUAGCUGAGUACACUGUGUUUUCUGGAUCUCUUGAAUGCAUGCAUCCAACAAGACACAUAUAUUUUGCUUCGGAUAUUUUUGGACUAGUUCUUCCAAGUCUUUAUGAUCAUUUUUUACAAGUUGUUGCUAGAUUGUGUGUGCUCAUUUUUGGAGAUAAGCAAUAGGCCAAUUAUCAAUUAUGUAAUCUAGAGCUAUGAACUGAUCGUUGGUUUUGUUAACCGCUUGCUUAUGGUUCAAUUAUCUUUUUCUAUGGUGCAUUCAUUUAUUAUUACAAUGUAUAUAGUCGACUAUAUACACCGUACAUUGUAUGGGUGUAAAUCUGAAGAUAAUUCCAACAUGAUGCAGUAGCAAUGACAUCCUUACUGGCAAUGUCGUCUCCAUUUUACUAGAUGCCUCUUUACCGAAGUCUUUGGAGUAUUUCUUCCAGCAGAGAUUGACGCCGUGAAGAAGGUGUUUUUUAAAGAUUUCAUUGUAAUUCUUAGUUAUAGGAGUUACUUUGUAUUUUCUUAGAUCUUAAGUCCAAACCAGUGUAUCUGUAAUUGUUAUGAGUAUCAAUAAAGUUACAGGUGCUUUUAAAAAAAGCUCGCUCGAUGGGUUGCUUCACUCGGUCGUCCCUUGACCUUGACCACUAAUCCUUUGACCCACUGACCGUUGACUUUUCAAUAAAUGAAAAAAUAUUACAAAUUUGAAAGAAGUUUGUGAAUACAAUAUAAGUGGUACGCGCCAUUUGCAAAAAUGCCUAUAAGUGGUGCCUGAAGCACCAAAUAGGAAUUGGCCAAUGAUUAGUAAUCCCUCCGUAAAGAAAUAUAAGAGCGUUUACGUCACUACUUUAGUGAGCUAAACGCUCUUAUAUUUCUUUACAGAGGAAGUACUUUGCACAUUAAACCUAUGGCCUUCUUAUGUUGCAGCUUGGGCCAAGAAAUUCAAUUGUGCCAAUUUCAAUCAUUAUAAGAGGAGUUCAAAUAUGACCUAUGAGUUCAAAUAUGACGUUUAAGUCACUACUUUAGUGAGCUAAACGCUUGUUAGACUAGCUAUGACCUAUGAGUCCAAUUUUUCGCACAGACGGCCAUCACGUCUGUUUUGUAAAUCCGCCAUUAAGCGUUGGCAUUCCACAACUGUUUGAUUCUGUUUAAUAAAUGGUGGAAGUUCUAUAAAAAACUUUAAACUUGGUGUUUUUUUCCUACAGGAUUUUAAGCAUUAGGACUCUUUUUUUUCUAUGCAUGCCAUUUAUUUGUUCUAUAAGUUCCUAGAUUUGUUUAGUAUUGUAUUCAAGCUGUCCACAUUGGCCUAAUUCCUAAGGAUUCUUAGCAUCAUGUGAUCUCGUGAAAAAAUUCUAAGGAUUGAAGUGAACAGGGCAUUCAGAUACUUUACUUUUCCUAUUAUACUUCCGAAUGAGCGCUAAGCAUCCCCGGGAGCUAAUUCACUACCCGACAAGAAAAGUUUGUAGUUCCACUGAGCCGUGCAAGUACGAUGCAGUUCAAAUGCACAUGUAUCAACAUCAUUUUGACCCACGGCAAGUAUUAAGGAAACGAAACUAGCAAAUCAAAUGCAAAUAGCAGUUUCAGACAGCCAAGAAAAAAGCAAUGUUCAGAACAACCAGCAGUAUAAAUCUGCGCUGAACUCCAACCAAAAAACUUCUCGUUCAAGCAGGAAUGACACCAUUUGGGUUCUGAUCCCAUCUUCAUACAUAAACAGACUGCAAGAAGCUUCAGGUCCGGGGAUCCGUGUUUUGCACCACAAAUAUUCAAGGGACUGCUGCAGCUCAUAAGCUCGUACGAGUAAACAAUGUUACAAUUUACGGAUAGAUGGAGUACAAACAUCAGCGCCCUGUAAACAAACUUCUAAGCUCGAGUAAGACACUAGUGAUAGUGAUGUACCUGCAGUCUAGAUCAGAGACCAAGAAGUAACUCGUGAAGCCUGAUCAAAGUAGCCAGACAAAAGCACUACAGACCAAAAGGAUCUCACUUUGUCGAGAGCAUUUCAAUAAUCCUGAAGUAAUAGAACAAAGUACAAUCACCAGUUUAGGUCACACUGAGUUGCGCGGCUGUUUGUCCUCCUUAACUCCAUCGCUAGCUUCGAGCCUUUUUGGACUCCUGCCUUUAUCAGGACCACCAAUAACUCCCCAUGUCUUAAACUGCCGGUGCCGAGCCCUUGCCCUUUCCUUCUCCUCCUCAGAUCUCCUGGAGAAGCAGUAUGGGCAUGAUACACCAUACUCCCAUUUAGGAGAUUCCAUGUCUUCGUCACUAACUGGUUGUUUACAUCCAUAGCAAAGUUUGUGGGUUCCUUGAGCUAACCCGUGCUCCACUGAAACACGCUUGUCAAACACGAAGCAUUCACCUUCCCACAAGCUUUCAGCUUCCGGGAUUUCCUCUAGGUACUUUAAUAUCCCACCCUCCAGAUGGUAAACCUGGCAUGCACAGGUAUGAAACCUCCCAUUAGGGUCGCAACUAUAAGAUAUGUUGCUGUACUAUAUAGAAGUUGAUAGCAUAAAAAUCUUUCAUGCACUAAUUGGUUUUAUAACAGAACUUAUCCACUAGGUUCACUACAUAACCUAGUGCUAUUGAUGGUACAGCACAUGACUAGGUUAACUGUACACAAGAUGCAAUAUUCAACCUAAGGACAAAUUCAUUUCAGUGGUAUAAAAAGUAAUAUGUAGUCAAUUUGUAUACAAUUUAUUUUUAAUCAAGAGGAAAUGCUUCAUGAGGAAAGUCAACAGAAGAAUAAGAAGAGAAAGCCCUCCUGGCAUACCUCUUUAAAUCCCUUGUCAAGGAGAAAGCUCGAUGCCUUCUCACAUCUAAUACCACCAGUGCAAUACAUAGCAACUCGUGGUAGCUCUUUGGGUCCACUGGAAUUCAGAUCUUCUGCUCCCUCAGUUACAGUGUUAUCAUUUACUGAUGACUGGUGACUAUCAGAUUCAGCCAACUGGAAUUGAUUAUCAACCCAAGAUGGGAAUUCUCUAAAUGAUUCCGUGCAUGGAUCAACAGCCCUCUUGAAUUUUCCUAUGCGUAUCUCAUACAUGUUACGCACAUCAAUGACAACCUGCAACAUGGAUAGUGUGAAUGCAUCACGCAGAUGGCAGGGAACUAGACAAAAAUAAAUUCUGAGAUGAAUAAAAGACUCACGGUGUCUGGAUCGCUUAUCAACGAAUUCCAAUCUUUUGGCUUUAUAUACUUGCCAACCCUUUUAGUUGGCAUCACACCAGGGUCUCCAAAACUCACUAUCUGAGAAAUAGUCAAUAAAACAUAAUAAUCUGCAUCACUAAAUACUCAGGUAUUCAAUCAAACAACCAGUAAUAUUUACUAUUAUGCAAGCAAACUAACCAACCUCCUUUUUCAAUUUCACACGGACAUGAUCCCAUCGGAAUGGUGCAUCUUCUCCAGGACCAACAGGAGAAUGGCUGGUAUGUCCAUGAUGGAUAGCCUCGUCCUCUGGAGUAACAGGUGUCUGGAUCACCCUCAAUCCUUUUAACCGAUUGUCUGUUUGAAUAAAGUUCAAAACUUUCUCCACAGCUUCUGGUGUUCCACAUAAACUACCAUUGAUUCCCUCUGGUGCAAGAAUAAUGCCACCUGAAACACGCUGAACAGAAUCAGCCAACCAACCAUGUGAGUGCCCGGUUUCACAGAAACAUUAAUAAAUAAAUACUACUCCCUCCGAUCCAAAAAAUUGUCGUGGCUUUAGUUCAAAUUUGAACUAAAGCUGAACUAAAGCCAUUACACUUUUUUUUGGAUUGGAGGGAGUAGCAGAUAUGGGCAAUUUAUACACAAUAUGAACACCAAGUUACGUUACUGUCAUUAGCCACUUAAUAUUUCGAAGUUGUAAAAGAGUAUAACACAGGAUACAACCAUUAGACCACACAUACUUUUUAACUUUACAUAAGAAAAUAACCAAAUUUAUCAGGUCGACCAUAAAUUGGGUAAUAAUUAUCCCAUAUCAUAUCACUACUGUUCUAGUUAGCAAGAUUCAUCUUAUACAUUAAAUAAAUCAAGUAACAGAACUGAACAUCUUAAUGUAACAAAACAGUAACAAGUACCAGAGAAUUUAAAAACCUAAAUAAAACAAUAGAUGCUCACAAAUUGAACAUCUUGGUGUAACACGCAUCAAGAACUAGAAAUGAGCUGAAGUCGUAAGAAUUAUAAAAUGUACUUAAAUGACAACUCCACGGGAGACAAACCUCUCAAUAAUAUAAUGUGGUUUCUGUGUUACGAGUUUGUGUAGCUUUUCACAUUGGUAAUCCUCGCAUUUGGUAUGCCAUAUCUACGCGCAAUUUGCAAUGGGUUUACAAACAUAAUACAGUAUCUAGCUCAAAAUGGUCAUACAUAUGCACUAUACAAUCCUUUGCGUAUCUAAAAAACUUGGUUAUUUUCCAAUUCAAGGAAAGAACUUUCUAAGCUCCAUGAUCAAUUGAUCUUAAUAUACAAAGUUCAUGACAUGAAUGCAUCAAACAUUUAGUAGAGCACACGCAACAAAAGAGGAAUGUAACAUAGCACAAAAGCUGGUACAAUACAUCACUCGCCAGAUGAUGACACCUCACUAUAACAAAUGCAACCUAUAAAGGAAACAUGUGCAGUAUAGGCAGAUCCGCGGAAUGUUGCUACCACAAUAUCCAUAAAAUGCUUAUUUCGCCCCUGACCUAUCCGUGUCAUUUUUCUAGUCUUCCCUGGCAGGUUAGCUCGAGGUUUUGCAACAUUGCCCACCACUUCAAUUCUUAUAUCUCAUUAGGUCACAAGCGAUGGCCAUCGAUGCAAAGUGAUAAAAAAAAAAAAGCACCAGGAUGGUAUCUGGGUGCGCUCACCAGCUCCUCGCAGAGCUCCUUGAGCGGCCGCCGCAGGUCGGCGUGGUCGGGGAAGUCGGCGAACCUGUAGAACGAGACCACCACCAGCGCCGGAGCCUCGCCUUCUGCGCCUCCAUCCCCCGCGGCCACCGCGAAGCUCCUCCCGUGCGGCGGCGGGGAGACGAGCGGGGCGCUGUUCCGCAGCGGCAUUAGGCGGACGCGACGGCGGGAGACGGCAGGGCUGGGGGCGGGCGGGUCGAGGAUGAGCGAGGUGAUGGAGGGGAGGAGGUGGCGGGCGGCGGCCGUGGCGGCGCGGCGGGCGACAGAAAGUGGUGGGGAGGGCAGCAUCCGGCCUGUCGGGUUUGGGUUGGGUUGGGGCAGAAUUACCGCAGAUUUGGUCUCGUGUUUAUCUUUUGGGAUGGGCUUUUGGGCCACGCUGUUAUUUCCUCAGCGCACCUUACGGCUCUGGCCUUCAGAAAGAUGUGAACUAUUUAAUCCCCAAGAUUCUUAAAAGAGGAUUUUAAAAAAACACCACUGUUUUUCUACAUAACUAACAUUUUUAAAAACAGAAAAUAUUAGAGGUUUUCUAACAUUUUUGGAAAAAUACGAACAAUUUUUUAAAAUGCUAAUACUUUCAUCAAAUUUCUGUACUUUUAAAAAAAAUGUAAAUUGAAAAAGGAAAAACCCGAAGAAAACCAGUAAAAAGGAAGAAAAUACAAAACUGGACCCGAACCAGACCAGAAUCUUCCGGAAAUUCUCAAAAUCAGGAAAAAUCAUACCUAAGCGGGCCAGCCCAGUUAAACGUGUGCGCUAUGUUCCCAUGUACGAAUCAGUGAUUAUUCGCCGGAAUGCAGCAAAUACCAAUUGCCGAUUUCCUAUUAGCCGCAUUCUGCGGCGAAGUGUCGAGUCUAUGCACAGAGAUAUAGCAAGACCUUCUACCCGAGGUUUACUGGUUUGGGGAGCAUUCUCCUAUUUGUUUUCUUUACAAGAUUUUAUUUUUUUAGAGUUUUUCAUUUCCUUUUUAUUUUUUAUUUCAUUUAUUUUUCAAAAAAAAUACAAAGCCAUAAAAAAGAUUAUUUUACAAAAAUAUUGUUUAUUUUUUCAUUAUUUUAAAAUUCUGCGUUUUUUAAAAAAUUGUUUGGAUUUUCAAAAAUUAUUCGCUAAACCAAAAAAGUAUUCAAAAAUUGUUCACCAUUUUAAAAGUCAUUCGCAAUUUGAUAAAAAAUGUUCAGAUAUUUCAAGAUUGAUUUAAUUUCAUAAAGUUUUCACGUUUUAGAAAAAUAUGUGAAUUCAAAAUUAAAAAAAAUCAAAUUUUCAAAAAAUGGCCGUGUCUUCAAAUUUUUUUAAAUGUUUGCAUUUAUGUAAAAUUGCUCGGAGUUUCAAAAAAUGUUUCCAUUUCCAAACAGUCACAAUUUCAAAAGAAGAACUAAAUUUUGUAAAAUGUUCGCUACAUGCCCGGGCGCUACAUUGCAUCAACUGCUACAGUAGCUGGUCCACGACAAUGUCGUUGUUUUAGAGAAGUGUCGGUUGCUACAUUGGAUCGUUUUUACUAAAGUCUAUUGCCAAAAAAAACUAAUGGUUACAGCUAAUGGGAGUGGGCCGGCCUAUCAGCAUGCGCGCUGUCGUUUCCCCUCCGAUUUAAUUCAACUAGUGUUAAAUAGGAGGUCCCACGUGCACAUAGGUAUUGACAUGUGGCGAAGUGCAUGUGCAUCAUUUGUCGCAAUUAGAGAGUUUUCAUGUAAUUUCUUCUUACGCGCAGAAGAGAUCGGUGGGUUUAUUUGUACUUUUUCAUAGAUUUUUUUUCUAAACGAUUUAUCUCUCAAACAUGCAUCCAAAUAACGAACCAUUUUCUCCUUUGCGUUUCUCGCCUCAAGGUCUUAAAAAUUACUCCCUCUGUCUCAUAAUGUAGUGUCAAGAAACGUUUUACAUUAUAGGACGGAGGGAGUAGAUCAUAUGAACUUUUUUGAGGCACCAAAAAUGUACUAACUCGUGUUUCAAAAUUAUACUAACCCGUGCUUGAAAAACUAUACUAACUUUGGUUUACUUUUGAGGAAGCACAACUAUGCUUUUUCACAUCAGAAGCACAUUUGGGUUUUCGCACUAGAAGCAUAAUUAUGCUUCUCUACUUCACUUUUUGGGGAAGGAGAAACCACAACCGUGCUUUCAUGCAAGAAGCACAGUUGCGCUUUCACGCUCCACGUUCAUGAUAGAAAAAACAAAACAAAAACACAAAGAAAAAAGGAAAAGUUAAAAAAGAAAAAUAAACACAGAAAAAACUAAAACCAUGAAGUUAUGUUGAGUGGUUACGUUGAGUGGUUACUUUGGGUCCGUGCAAUUGAGAAAUGAUAAAUUGAACAUUUUAAUCAUAGAAUUGUUUGUCUUUUGGAUGAUUGCAUAGUCACACUGAGCAACACUACUAGAAAUCCACAUUUUACCUAGGGCCAUAUACCCUAGAUGAAAUGUAAAAAACCAUAGGGAAAGACUUUACCUAGAGCUUGCCCUAGGUAAAGAACCCUAGGUGUAGUAUAGUCGGGAAAUAGCUCUUUUCCCUAGAGUGCAUGAGGGAAGCCCUAGGGAAACCAUCUUUACCUAGGGGCACAAACCCUAGGGAAAGAUUGUAGGGUCCAUCUAAAUUGUGCCACCCCACAACUUUUCCUAGAGUUCUUUCCCUACCAAAUGUUUGAAUAAUACCCUAGGGAUACAUCAUAUUCAUAUCUUUCCUGUACAAAUAUGCAAUUUGAAUAUAAAUUCAUAUCAACCAUAAUUCAAAUAAUUAAAUCAGAGCAAAAUUUCAAAUUUGUAAAUCACAUCCAAAAUUCAUCACACACCACAUCCGAUUCAUAAUCAAUGAACACAUACAUCAGAUAUGUAGUCUACUAAAGGCCAAAUUCAAAAAAUAAGCUAUGACAAGCUAGUCGUUGCAAGUAGAACACCGUGACCAACAUGUACAAGCAUUGUUGGUCACGCGGAGUAUCAAAUAAACUUGUUACAACAUGCUAUCUAUACAUGCACCCGACAUCAUUAACUAUCAAGAGGUUGGCUUCCGAGGAGUGACAAGCUGAGGUAGUUCCAGAUGCAUUAUCAAUAAAAAUCCAAACAUCCCUACAACACCAGCGUCAGGCUCCAGAAUCAAAUCUUGUGGAGAAGCAUCCAGAGUGACAUUAUGGUCCUGAAAUUAUGAUGACAAGCAGUUUAGCACAUAGUUAUAAGGGAAACACUUCACAUCAGUAGUCUGAUAGUUUUCAUUCCCUCGGACGUCUUCUGUGCCGUCCAUCUUGUAUCACAUCCAAUGGCUCGUGUAGUUAGCUUCUAAUGUCCUGAAAUUGCUCAUAACUGCCAUCAAAUUACGUGGUUUUCAUUAAUGGUUGAAACCAGCGUCCGUCUUCCCACGACCGACAAAUCGGGCGACUAUCCUCUCUGUCAUUCUCACCCACGGCCGUGAAGCCUUCCUCCACCUGCCGCUCCGCCUGUCCUUGUGGUGCUCUUCCCCACCCGCGGCGACGACAUCCCCUACACGAUCGCGGCACGCCCCGUAGAUGAACCCAAACCCUCGAUCUUCUCCGUGAUGCAUCCUAAUUCUCCACCAUAAUGCCAGAUGUGAUCUACAAAUUAGGACGGGAGAGGACGGUGAAUGUCUGUUGUUCUAGUCACCAUCAUGGGAGCAAAUUGGCAACGCACGCUUAACUGCCGGCCAGUCGACGGUGCCGACCGCGCUGCUCCUUGCUACUCGCCGGUGUUGACACUCACAGCUUUUGGGAAGAAGAGGAGGUCGUCAAGAUGGCGGCCGGAGCGGAGCGUCGAGGGAUGGGUUUGACGCCCACAAAUCAGGCAUGAAGCAUGCAUGCUUCCUUACAUGGGAUUCCCUGCUUCUUUCAUGUCUGACCAUUGCUUCCGACCCCAGCCUCGCAUGUGCAAGAGGACGUUAGGCAUGUCAAGUCUUCCCUGGCCCUGUCUAACCACCACACUCUCGCUACGUUGGUCCGAUCUGAUCGUUGCUGCUCCGAUCUCGUCGAAGCUAAAGACAUCACACUUCGUAUGGUGCUCAUCUUCCAGGAUGGGCAUCAUCCGGUUGGGCUUCCAUGUUCAUGUGUUGUUAUAUCUUGUAUGGAAGCAAUCUCCAAUAUAUACUGAAAGAAAUUUUUGUUUUCUUUGGUAGCAAAUUAUGAUCUCAUUUGAAAGAAAUUUUGAUGGAAACAUACACCCAUCAGAAAAUUGGUCAUUGGAAAAUGUACAUGCAACAUUCUGGAAAUAAAGCUCAACCUCUCUGGAAGCACAUGCUCAUUUUGUUGGAAGCAGACGCAAUUGUUACAUAGCACAUGUAUGCCGCAUCAUCUUCUUAAUUUUUUAUCCAAGAUAUCUACUUCGCUUCUUUCCCACAAAAAUGAAGCUUCGGUUACACAAUGACCAAACGUCGUAUGUUUCACGAAACAUGUAUGCUUGCUAUAUAGUUGAACAAAGUUUGAGUUAGACACAAAUUAUGCUUCUAACAAUAGUGCACUAUGCUUCCUAUGCAUCCAAAUAAAUCAAGCGUCUCUUACACAGUAAUCAGGUUUGCUUCCACCAUUACUGCUUGAUGCACGUCCAGAUUACAUGUUGACUACAACGAAUCAUUUCAGUUUAGACAUCCUAGUUUCAUCCGAGAAUAUAUACAUUUGGAACGAUUUUUUGGAGUAUCUUUAUUUUGGAACCAUUUUUUUAAUAAUAUGUUUCCGUGGCAUGGUUUUCAAUGAUAAAAAGGUAAAUUUGCCAUACCAUGUUUGCGCUGCAAAAAAAAAAAGAACAUAUCCAGAAAAUAAUUGAUUUUUUAUCAGCUUAUUGGAAGCAAGUCCGCAAUUAGAAGGAAGCAUUAUUUUUUGUAUUUGUUUGUUGGAAGCAAUCACGGCUUACCAAAAUAAUUAACGUAAUUUCUGGACGCAGUUAUUUAUUAGAAGCAUAGAUUUAGGAAGGGUGGAAAGGUCAGCGGGAGGACUUGCUAAAUAUUUGUGAGAGUACUUAUCAGAAGCAUUUAAUUAGGAAAGAAAUAACUCGGAGCCUAACAAAUAGUAUCAGAUCGGAUGAAUAGCAUGAAGUUAAUCCUAGUGGUCUGAUGGGAAGCAAGGGAUCAGUAGUCUGAUCCCUAGCAGUUCCCUAGUUAUAAGGCUCGAGUAUUCUGGUAGAAUUUUGGAAGCAUAAUUAUAAUGUGCACAAUAUGGAGAGGACAAGAGAAUGUAAUCCCUCCCCACAGCACACAUAGCCCUGGUAAUAAUAUGAUCAUGCUUCGCACCAAAGCAGCAGAACCAUACAUACCACCACACAUAAAGCUUUGCUCAUCGCAAAAGCAGGCAUUUGAACAUCAGAAUUGCAGGAACAUCCAAAGUUUGUAUAAUCCGAAGUUAAUUUCAGAAAACUUACAUGAUCUGCAUGUUGCUAAGCACACAAAUUUAGUGGUUCUUGGCUCUUUUCAAGGGUCUGCAAGACAAGGUCCCGGUUGUGAAAAGAUACAUGUGCAUGCUCAUGUAAAUCAACUUGUUAGCCGUGUCUCAAAUAGAUUAUAUUACGUACAUGGCCAGUUAAGCGAUGUGUUGUGUACACACUACUCAGAUCAUGCUUACUCUGUUCUACAGGAAAAACGAAGCAAAGGAAAGGAUAGCUCUAUGGAUUAGUGUUCCCCUAGUUCUGUAAAGCUUCAUUCACUGCUGGGGGCCCGUCAGUUUGACAAGCUCACAGAUUAGUGCAGUGUUUCGUGAAGAGACUGAUAGCAUAGUUGCUCGCCACCCAUCUAUGUGGGACAUCGAUCCAACACUGGUUACAGUUUGUUGUCUCUACAGAUUGCUAAUGCAACACAUUUCUCAGAGUAAUACUAUAUUUGCUUGGACUUCAGCUCAUGCUCCCAACUAUUGGAUGUACGAUGGCAUCAUUCAAGGGAGUCGAGCAAGGGAGAUUACUAAUGCAUUGCAUAAAGAAAUAAGUUUUUCUGAGUGUGAUGCCGAUGAUCUCAAGAUGGUGUGUGGCAAUUUAAUGAAAGAUUCAAAGAUUCCUUUUUGUGGUGGUUACAGAUGACAAUAUGCCUUUCAGAAAAGGGUCUCCCCGUUGGGUUUCUAUCACCUUGAAGCACAAGAAACUACAUGAGGAUACAAAAACUCUGCUGACAAGGGCAUCAUCAAUCUUCGUACAAUUUCAAGGAACUAAUAGCUCAUCUGGAUUACCAAAUGUCUUGUUUCAAGGGUGCAGCAACCUUGCUGUGCUUACUCUGUCUUGUUGUGCCUUCAGUUUUGCAUGGCCUCCUUUCCACCACUGCAAUAAAUUAAAAUUCCUUGGAUUAGACCACUGCACAGAUCUUGACAAGGCCAAACUUGAAGAACAGAGCUGCAGCACCAAGUGGGCAUGUCUGCAUAGCCUGUAUGUGCUUGAUCUGCGUUACACAUGUUGGGAUGAGAUUUUAUCGGGGGAGAAUGUGGAUGUUAUGGCCAACGUCAUGGAGCUAAACAUAGAGGGAGUCAAGGGUUGGCAGUACACAAAUCUAUUACAAAAAAGGCUGCCUUACCUCGAGUACGUUGCAUUUGGAUGGCCCGUUGCAUUUGGAUGAAAGGCUCCAGCUAUGGUUACGACUUGACAAAUCUGCAACAUCUGCACCUUCAUUCAUGCCCAAGCCUCGAGUACGCGCUUCCAGUAUGCACAGUCGACAACUCUUUCCCCAGCUUGAAGACCCUCUACAUCAUCCGCUGCGGCGACCUCAUGCACGUAUUUAUGCAAAGCAACCAGGAGGAUCCUCCAAGCAGCGUCAAGUUCCCAAAGCUGACCACGAUCCACCUGUACGACCUGCCGUCGCUGCAGCAGAUAUGCGAGGACGCCGAGACACUGGCGCCCGCACUGGAGAACACCAGGAUCAGGGGAUGCUGGAGCUUGCGUCGGCUGCCAGCCUUGAAGGGCCGCGAGCCGGACACGAGGAGGCCCACAGUGGAGAUAGAGAAGGACGUGUGGGACGCUCUGGAGUGGGGCGGGGUGGAAUCGGGGCACCACCCUUCCCUCUACGAGGCGCCCGUGCAGUCGCGGUACUACAAGAGGUCCAUGCCCAGGGGCACAGUUCUCAGGUAUACUUUCUAAGUAGACACGCUAAAGGACUAGGCUGUAGCCUAGUGGCAAGGGACGCGGUGGCAAAUUUGUGGUGACUCACCCGGUUGGGCCUAUAAAAAUAUGUCCAUGGUUGCUAGUGCCCAUGGAUCUUUUUUUUUUAUUAGGCACGCUAUCAUUACUACAGUGUAUAUCAUCAUGUAGGCAUAGUCACUGCAUGUAAUGUUGUAUUAUAAACAUUGUAGCUAGCUAAUUGGUUUGCUUCGCAAUCUGCCCAGGUGAAAAUCGUUCUAAACUAUGCAUCUGCUGCUGCCGUUGGUUAUGUCAUCAGAUUCGGUGGCGUGUUCCCCUCCAAAAUGAAAACAAGAUUCAGUGUGUUGGUGUGACGCGAUGGAUGCUUGCCGACAAUGCUAGCAGGUGUUGGUUGAUCAGUUGGUGUGUGUAGCAAGCGAAGGAAUGGAGCUGCUUCAGGCUUGGUUGCUGCCGUGACGGCCGGCCGACUUGGCCUGCAUCCGUUUGCUGUGUGUUUUACCUUUGAAAUAAGAAAGGCAACCGGCCGACUUGGCUUGGUUGCUUCCUGCGUGCAAACCUGCCCGUGGUCGAGGUGCGACCACCGACAGUGUAUCUGUGUGUGUUUGGUUUCUGUGGCUUCAGUUCCACAGGUGUUUGUCCGUUGGUCUGUCUCCCGGCCCGUUUGAGAGCAUGGUUAAUAGUAUAGCCAAUUGCUGGCUAUAAGCCAUUGCCAUGUCAUCUAUAGCCCAUUUUAUAGCUAAUAUGUAUAAUAGUUGAUCAAAAGAGUGUACUAUUUUUUAUUAUAUGACCCACAUUUCACUCCACAAAAUGUAUAGAAGCACGUGCUAGAGCUGGCUCUUCACCAAGAGCCUGCUUAUCUUCUCUCUCCUUUUUUCUUUCCUCCAACUAAGCAAGAAUAUAUAUACUAGUUUAUUUUUUAUAACCAGCUGACUCAGCUCUAUUGUACUUGCUCUGAGACGGAGCAGAGUAGCAACUGAAACUGUAAUAAUCAGCGUGGCUGCUCGUGUUGUGUGCGAUUUGAUUGCUGCUCGCUCGUGGGAGCGGGAGUGCUACCUAUUUAUCUGUACUAUCUGUUAUAGACCAAAACUGAGGCCGAUUCCUCAUUGCUAAUGCUUAAUUAUCCAUGAGUUUGGUGUGCCAAUCACAAUCAUGUUUUGCUUUUCACUUUUUUUUUCGAAAAGGAGGAUAGCACACUCGGCUUCGGCUUGCAUAGAUUAAUAUACACAACCAAUAUAUUAUUUGAUUAUGUGGGUUCCAGUUUCUACCUCCUAAUUUACAUUUGUCUUACACUGAUUACCUCAUUUAGCAAUAUUUCAUUCGUUUUACAGCAUUUAGUAAAAAUGUUGUCAGAUUUUACACCGUUUUAAAUCUUGUGAGGGGUCCGACUGGUGGGUCAUCAACCAACAGGUAGACAACUCUAAUUUUUUAAGAAAAAACAACAGCCCUUUUUGUCUUUUUUAGAAGAACAGUCUUUUUUGACUGGCCGGCUAUGGAAGGCCAACAGACAAUCCAUUUGCCUGCUGCCUCUUGGACCCACUGAGACAUGUAUGCGUACCAGCGCAAGCCCACUUUUUUGGGCUCAACUCAUUACACAGCAAACUUUGUAUGGUGUUUCUCUUCCUCAAGGGAGGCAUUUGCGGUUGGACACUCCUCAUGACCCAGCCAUUAUUCAUGUAAACACUGUGAUACAUCAAUUAAGAGCCUACCUUUGUUGGCUUAAAAAAAUCAAACUCAGAACGACAAAGUCAACAUACUACCGCAUUAACUGCUAGACCAAACUUGACUUGUCGUCUAAUAGUAGUAAAUAACACUAUUUGACCCUUGUACUACUGCAUAUAACAUAUAUUAUAUACCAGAGGCGGAGCCAGGAUUUGUCGAAGCCUAGGGCUAAAUCGAAACAGCUAUAAAUAAGCCAAAUACCAUCACCCCAAAAAUACCUAAAAAUACUAAAUUAUCACACAUACUAAUGCAUGUUAUAAGUAUAACACAAAUUCAAAUUCAUUAUUAGCAUGAGAGCAAAUUUAAUAAACAUUUGCGUCAUCGCAAACGUUCGUACUAAAUUAGUGAAGAUUGGCUUCAUUUGAGGCCAUUAUUUCUUCAUCAAGAAUAGUAGAAGGGCCACGAGUUGUGAACAUAAAAUUGAGUAUUUACUCAAAAACUAGACGUAUACCAAGUCAAUUGCUCAUAUGAAAUUGUGUAGAAAAUAACAUAUUAUACCAUUAUCACAAAGUGCACGAGGUAGAAGCCCCAUGCGUUUCCUUAUUUUUCUGUUAGCACUGUAUAAUCUUAAUUGUCCGGGUCCUCUUCAUCUUUGAUCUAUUUAAUAUCCCCAAUUCAUUGAUUUCCGCUGAUAAAGGAAACAAGGAAGAAGUAUUACUAGAUGAUACAACAAACUUAAAAUUACCUCUCCAGCCGGUUGUGGGAAUCGUGAGAUUGGUUGAUGGAGCACACGACGCAUCGAUGGGGCUUCUCCAACGAUACGAUGCGAAAGAUCUGAGUUCGAAGUGCCGGCCGCCGGGGCGCGCGUCUGGUGGAGACGGAGUCGGGCAGUACAGGAGAGUCGGCGGGGCAGUUUUUCUAUGGAUCGAUCUGGCAAGACGAGGAUCGUGCGUCGUGGGGUGAGGGGGCUAGCGAUUGCUUGGACAGGUUGUGUCAACUGGGCUUCUCGGGAUGGAGAACUCUGUUGAAAUUGGAUGCAGGAUUGUUUAUGGCUGAGACCUGGGGCUGCUGGGUUUGCUUGCCUGGGGCUGGGCCUCUACUCUUAACACAGGAAAAUUCUUGCUAGAUAUAUAACCUACUAGAUGGGCCACGCCUGGGGCUACAGCCCCAGUUGCCCCAGGCCUGAUUCCGCCCCUGUUAUAUACUGAGUAUAAAUUAACUGAAAACGCAUAAUCUUGAAAAAGAAUUCUCAAAAAUAUGAAAAAACGAACAUGAAUAAAAACAUAUGAACUUGGAAAUGUUCAAAUUUUGAAAAACAAUUCAUGAAUAUGAAAAAAAGUUCAUCUAUUUUAAACAAAAAUUGAAAAAAGUUCAUUGAUUUUGAAAAAAAAAUGUUCAUAGAAUUGAAAAAAAGACUUAAUCGAAUUUGAAAAAAAUCACUGAAUUGCAAGAAAAAUCGUUUCUAAAAAUUCAUCAAUUUAAAAAAAUCGCUGAAUUUGAAAGAAAAGCACAUCUUAUGUGAAAAUGUUUACCGAUUUUUUUAAAAAAAUCUUCAAUUUGAGAAAAAGUUCAUAAAAUUUUAACAAAAGUUCAUCAAAUUUGUAGAAAUGUUGUGAAAUUAAUAAAAGAUAAAGAUUGUUAAGGAAAAGUCACGAAUUUUAAAAAAUAAAAUGAAAAGAAAAAAUAAAGAGAAAGAGAAAAUGAAAAGACUAGAAGAAAAAUCAGACAAAACAAAAACUGAAUAAAAAAAUAGGGGAACUCUAGCGUUUUUGUGUUUUAUUAAAGAAGCCGAAAGAAGUAUGAACAUCACAAGAGUCAAGAGCCAUGGUGUCCCGAUGGUCGCCACUGUUUGCUCUAUGCAUGGCUUCUCGAGUUCAAAUCAACAGCAGCAUAGAAUGUUUUCAAUUUUUCUCGAGUUUGCUCUAUUGGGCACUUUACGCCCUAUUUGUUUGGGCUUUUGCUUAUGCUUUUAUAGCUUUUCCACUUUGGCGAAGAAGCCAUAAAAGCUCCUAAAUAUGUGCUUUUGGAGGUUUUAUGGCUCUUUUGGAGGUUUUAUGGCUUCUGGAGCGCAAUAUUGUUAUAUUGAUUCAUCAAUAGCCAUAAAAGCUCUAAAAGCACCUAUUUAGGAGCUUUUAAGGUUUUUUAUCAAAGUGGAAAAGCUACAAAAGCAUAAGCAAAAGCCCAAACAAACAGGGCAUUAAGAACGAGCUUUUUUGAGAAUUAAUUUAAGCGCCGCCUACCAUGGGGAAUCCUACACACCGCGCAGGUCGUCCGCCAGGGACCUGGUGCGAACCACCCUAGCGCGCUGGGCGUUGCCGGCCCAUUUUACAGAUUUCCCUUUCUUUUUCUUUUUGUGUUUUUCUUUUCUAAUUCCAUUUUCUUUUCUCUUUUUCGUUCUUUACUUUUUCAGUUUUUUGCAAAUUUGUUUUUUCAAAUUCGUUAACAUUUUUUACAUGAUCAAAUUCGAAACAUGUCCGUCCAUGUAAAAAAUUGUUCAAUAAUUCAAAAAAAAUCAUGGAAUUCAUUUUUGUCAUUGGGUUUAGAAAAUGUUCACCAAGAUUCAAAAGCAAAUCAUUGAAUUAAAAUAAUGUUCAUCAAAUUUUAAAUUUGUUCAUCGAUUUCACAAAAUGUUCAUCAAACUCAAAAUUUUAUCAUAGAAUUUAAAAUUUGUUCAUCCAUUUUUCCAAAAAAAACAUCUUCAAUACAUACUUGUUGCAUCAAGGCCAAAAAUUGUUCAUCAUUAUUAAAAAUGUUCAUUCUUUUGAAAUCAUGGGCAUUUUUUUAAUUCAAGAACUAUUCUUGACAACUCACAAUUAAUUAGUUUUUUGAAAUUUUAGAACCUUUUCUAAUCCUGAAUUAUUUUAGCAAAGAAUAAAAAACCGAAAGUAAACAACAACAAAAAACUUCAUCCCCGCAAAUGGGCUGUCCCAAACAGGAGCGUGCGGUAUAGGGAGGUUGUUUAUUGGAACGACGGGAGCUGCUAGUCAGCGCCUUAGGCGCCAGCGUGGUGUUUUCAGUGCUGCUCACUCGGUCAUGUUAGACUGGUGGACCCCUAAAAAAAUGUUAGGCUAGUUGACCAUUGACUGACGCCUUGAAAGAAUGACCGUUGACUUUCUUUAAAAUGUUUAAGGGUUUGAAAAAAUUCGUGAAUUUGAAAACGUUCAUCGAUUUGGAAAAAAAAGUUCAUCAUUUUGAAGAAAAAGUUCACAAACUUGAAAAAGGUUCAUCAAUAUUUAAAAAAGUUUGUCGAUACAACAAAACAUUAAUUUUGAAAAAAGUUCUUAAAAACAAAAAAGAUCAUCAAUUUUGAAAAAUGUUUUCGAAAAAAGAAAAAAUAUAAUCAAUUUGGAAAAACUUCGUCAUCAAAUUUUAAAAAAGUUCAUCAAUUUUGAAAAACAGUUCAUCAAUUAUGGAGAAAGUGCACCGGAUUAAAAAAAUGUUGAUCCGUUUAAAUAAAGUUCAUCGAAUUAGAAAACAAGUUCAUCGAUCUUGAAGAAAAGCUCAUCGAUUUUCAAAAAGGUUCAUGUAAUUUGAAAGGAGUUCGUCUAUUUUGAAAAUAAUCAUCAAAUUUGAAAAAAGUUCAUGGAAUCUGAAAAAAAUCAUCAAUUUUAAAAAACAUGAAAUUCGUUAAAAAAGAUCACACAUUAAAAAAAGGAAAAAACAGGAAAACCGUAUAAAGAUAUCCGUGAAUUAAACCGCAAACCGGGUUUUCACGAUGUGAAGAAACGAAAUAAAAUUGGGAAGCAAAAAUCUUUGCAGACUAGAUGGUCUAUCCUGGUGGUUAGACCUAAGCGGUCACAACGAUCAGGACGAUGGUUUGAAUCCCAGUUCUUGCACCUUUUUUAAUGUUUUUGAAUCACAAGAAAAAAAUGGGCCGGCCCAGUUUGGACUACUGCAGGCGCCCGUUUGCAAAUUGCACUAUAACGGGCGCCUGCAACGCCAAAUAGAAAUUGCCUGGAACGACCUCUGGUGUGCAUCGUGCCAUAUAGGAGGUCCCAGUUAGCGUUGUUGGCACUGGCACGCGACGCGUAGCUUGCAGGCCCAGAAACAUUUACCCUUCAAAUAAAAGAAGCAAUUAUGUCCUGACAACGUGGUAUGACAACCACUAUACUAAGUUCAGUUAGUUGUAUACUAAUAGGAAAACAUGAGCUAUCUGACCAGUACAUAAUAUUUCAAAAAGAAAAACGUAAAUUACUAAAAGAAUUCACAAAAAAUUGAAAGGACCAAGAAUUUGAAUAAGGUUCGUACAAAUUGAGAAAAGUUGGCGAAUUUGAGAAAUAUUCACGAACUUGAAAAGGUUCGUACAAAGUUGUUAAAAGUUCAUGCAUUUGAAAAAUAAUAAUGAAUCUAGAAUAAGUUCAUCAAUUUUGAAAAACAGUUCACCGAAUUUGGAAAUAAGUCAUCAAGCUUGCAAAACAUUCUAAAAUUGGAAAAAGGUCCAUCCAUUUUGAAUCUAUUCAAAAAAUGCAUACAGAUUUUUAAAAUUUCACAGACAGAAUUUUGUAUUGGGUGAUUUUUUUUUGAAAUGUAUGAAACUUGUUUGUUAAUAAAACAAACCUAUUUUACAUUUUAUUGCAUUUUUUAAAAUCUGAAAUACAUAUUUUUAAAUGUGCAAAAUUGCACUUUUUAAAUGUCACAAUUUUGUUUGCUAUCAUUAUUUGUAUAAAAUUACAAUAGAAAAACAAUUACUGGACGUUAACAUUUUUAGAACAUUCGUGGUUAACAUUUAAGAAAAAUUAGUACUGCAACUUUUUGGAACAUAUGUAUUUCUAAUAUUUUUAUAAAUAACACAAACGGAAAGAAGGACAAAAGCUGGUGCUCAUGUACCUGCAUGAAUAUGGGCCAGCCCAUUGGUGGCGUCCUUGAGGCGAGAGGUGCUUGUGACUCGCAGCAGGCGAAACACAGACGCUCUGAAGGCCGAGCCAUUCGAUCGGGCUAGCCUUGCCGAGUGCGCGUCGCCUAAAGAAUAAACCAUGGAAAAUGUCAGAUUGCUUACUUUAGAAAAAAUAAAGUGGAAAUGUUUUCUAGAGAAAGAUUGGCGUGAAUUUUUGGGACAUGGGUCUAGGCACACCCAAUUUAGGAAAAUCAUUUUUUAAUGUUUGAAAGAGUCAAUAUUUUUGAAACUUUUUUGUGGCAAACAUGUUGUAUUGUUAUACAUGUGUAUAAAGUUUCACAACAAAAUGUUUUUUUGUGGAAAUCCUGGCAAAAAAACAACAAUAUUGCGUGCACGAAGAGGAUGCAUAGUAACUUUUAUAUUGUAUCGUUUUUAUUUUAAUUCGGCCAGGAUAGAAUGUAAGUCAUUUUGUUGUGAAAUUAUACGGACAUGCAUGACGUAGACCAUUUUUGUUCCAAUAAACUUCCAAAAUAUUUACUUUUUUCUAAAAAGAAAGAAAUCGGGUCCAUGUGCACCCAUGUCCAUCGUUGUAUUUUCGGUGAAAGAUGAACUAAUUUAUAGUGAAUAUGAAUAGUGCAACUUCAUGAUGCGGUCUUUAUGAUGAUAGUAUGUUGACGUACAUUUUUUUACAACGAUAAUGAAAUGGUGCAUAUUUUUAUGAUGCGUUUUUCUCCACAUGGCUAACAUUCAUGUUUGUGAAUAUUCGAAGUGAAUGAGACGAUCCCUAAAGGACUGUCUUUGUCUUAGGUUCACAACGUCAGUGGUAAUAUAUAGAGAGAGUACAACAUGAAUGCUACCUUCUUAAUUUGACAUUCACGUAGGACGGGGAAUUAAUCAUGAUGUGUGUAAACUAGAAAUUACUCCCUCUGUCUUAAAAUGUAAGACGUUUUUUAACACUACGAACAGAGGGAGUACUUUGCAACACAUUGUUACCAAACACAAGCAUGCACAUCCGUGAUGGAAGUACCAGAGUAGAAGAGAAGCAGCGACGGAGUAAAACUACUACACCAAGGUAGAUCGAUGUUACUGGUGUGACAGCGAGCUUGGUUCGAAAGCUAUUGUUGGGACCAUAGUCCAUAGGUGAAGUGAACACAUGGUCGAGAAAGUGACAAGAGGCAUUUAGUUGGGGUUUGCCGCGGCAGGCAGCCGCGCAUCUGGUCCCAACCACAUGCCACGGCCGAAACCAUCCAAUCUAAUCCACCCACUAGCCAGGUGUGAGCAGUACGUACAAACACGGCUACACCAACUAUGUACACCACGCAGCUCAAAUCAAGAAAAAUAUGUACACCUCAUACACCGACGACAUCGAUCACUUUCACUUCUCAUUUUACUGGUAAUUGUACCGAGGUAAAUACCCCUCCACUUUUUCUUUUUCUUUUUCUUUUUGCAAGUAAGGCUCGACUAGCUAAAAAAUCAAAAAUAUUUUAGUGAUGUAAUAUCUCCACAAUCCAUGUCACACUAACAGAUUAAAGUUCAACUAAAAAUUUAAAGUUAGUUUACAUGUGAGAAUUUUCAUAUGUGAACAGGGAGAGAAAUGCAGGACGGCAUAACACGUUGGCCUAUGUGAAAACCCCACGAACUAUAGUAUGCUUUUCUAAAAGAUACUCUUUUGAUUUUGUAGAGAUCAAAAAAAGAAUUGCAAAGUUUGUGACCAAAGGUCCGUAUGAAAAUUGAAAUGUUACGCUGCCCUGCCCCGCUGAAUCCGAAUCUUCUCUAGGUAAUCCACGGAGCAAGAUUUAUCUGGUUGGUCGAGGCGGUGGCUAUAAUUGCGCUCGGAAGGACGUCGCGGGUCGACGUGGCUAGCUGGCAUCCCAUGUGGGCUGCAAGAAGAGCCUUCGUUAAAUGGUGGAGACAGAGGUAAUCGGCGAUGUGUGCGAGCGUGUUGCAAGGAUCAAUGGCCGUAACCGUGGACAUAUGUGGUUGGGACGGCCUGUCUCGAGGCCUGGGGCAGUGGCAGAUCUAGGGUGGGGCCAUGGGGCCAUGGCCCCCUCAAACAAUUUACAAAUUCUAUUUUACUACUGCAAUGUUUGUUCAUCAUACUAAUUUAUGUGCAUUGUAGUGUAUAUUUUUUCUAACCAUUGGAAUGUAGUUCAUGGUUGGCCCCCACAUUGUCAAAUCCUAGAUCCGCCACUGCCUGGGGUUACAUCAUUCAUCUCCUGCCAAUUAAGUUCGGCUACACCAACUAGCCAGGUGUGAGCAGUACGUACCAAACACGGCUACACUAACUAUAUAUGUACACCACGCAACUCAAAACAAGAAAAACAUGUACACCUCCUACACCGACGACAUCGACCACUUUCACUUCUCAUUUUACUGCUAACUUUACCAGGGUAAAUACCCCUCCACUUUUUCUUUUUCUUUUUGCCAGUAAGGCUCCACUAACUAAAAUAAAUCAAAAAUAUUUUAGUGAUGUAAUAUUUCCACAAUCCAUGUCACACUAACAGAUUAAAGUUCAACUAAAAAAUUAAAGUUAGUUUACAUGUGAGAAUUUUCAUAUGUGAACAGGGAGAGAAAUGCAGGACAGCAUAACACGUUGGCCUAUGUGAAAAACCCGCGAACUAUAGUAUGCUUUUCUAAAAGAUACUCUUUUAAUUUUGUAGAGAUCAGAAAAAAGAAAUGCAAAGUUUGCGACCAAAGGUCCAUAUGAAAAUUGAAAUGUUAUGCUGCCCCGCUGAUCCGAAUCUUCUCUAGGUGACCCACGGAGGCAAGAUUAAUCUAGUUGGUCGAGGCAGGGGCUAUAAUUGCGCUCGGAAGGAUGUCGCGGGUCGACGUGGCUAGGUGACAUCCCAUGUGGGCUGCAAGAAGAGCCUUCGUUAAAUGGUGGAGGCAGAGGUAAUCGACAAUGUGUGCGAGCGUGUUGCGAGGAUCGAUGGUCGUAGCCGUGGACAUAUGUGGUCGGGACGGCGUGUCUCAAGGCCUGGGGAUUGCAUCAUUCAUCUCCUGCCAAUUAAGUUUGGGGUGAGGCAACCUUGAAUAGUCGUGUCGCUGUUUCUUAUAAGUUACAACUCAGUGUUGCAAAGGGCUCCCAUAUCUCUAAUGUGAGUUGAGGGCAAAAUCUUGGCAUCUGUUCUGAUGGGAGACAGAAGGAAAUAUGCCCUAGAGGCAAUAAUAAAGUUGUUAUUUAUAUUUCCUUAUAUCAUGAUAAAUGUUUAUUAUUCAUGCUAGAAUUGUAUUAACCGGAAACUUAGUACAUGUGUGAAUAUAUAUUGACAAACUAAGUGUCACUAGUAUGCCUCUACUUCACUAGCUCGUUGAAUCAAAGAUGGUUAAGUUUCCUAGUGUAAGUGCAUCUAGUGCCCCUUAGUGAUUUUGGUGUAUUGAAGACUUAUAGGUUAAGGGAAUAAUAUGUUUAUGAGUGUACACAGGUCUAUAAGUCUAUGAGGAGUUUGAUAUUUACAUAGAAAGUCGACCCCUGAAAAUGAAGUUCUUUGACUAAAGACUUUGGAUUUCUGAAGACUUUCUGAAGACUUAGAAAGUGAAGAAAUUGGUGUAACCUUGAAGACUUGGUAUUCAUUUGAGGAACAUGAAGCGUGAAGACUUUUGUUUUCGUAGUUUCAUUUUCCCUUUCCUGAGUCAUAGGAAACACCGUACUGUUAAAGGGGGUCGAGGAAAUAUUAAGGAAAAAUUUCCAUGUGAUGCUCAACUCAAAAUCCUACAACUACCAAUCCCUUCGAGUGAAGCCAUUGGAAAUCUCAUACAGUUCAGUCAUAUUUUUCAGUGACAGAGACGAAGUUCUUCUGGUCUCUGAGGAAUUUGUUCUGACUGAGGAGUUAGGAAUUCGCCAGUGCGGAUUGCCUACACAGUGAGUGAAAGAUCGUGGAUGUCGCCUAGAGGGGGGGGGGGUGAAUAGGCGCUUUAAAAUAAUUACGGUUUAGGCUUGAACAAAUGCGGAAUAAACCUAGCGGUUAAUUUGACAAGCACAAAACCUACAACAACUAGGCUCACCUAUGUGCACCAACAACUUAUGCUAAGCAAGAUAAACAACUAAGUGAUAGCAAGAUAUAUGACAAGAAACAAUAUGGCUAUCACAAAGUAAAGUGCAUAAGUAAAGGGUUCGGGUAAGAGAUAACCGAGACAUGCGGAGACGACGAUGUAUCCCGAAGUUCACACCCUUGCGGAUGCUAAUCUCCGUUUGGAGCGGUGUCGGAGGCACAAUGCUCCCCAAGAAGCCACUAGGGCCACCGUAAUCUCCUCACGACCUCGCACAAUGCAAGAUGCCGUGAUUCCACUAAGGGACCCUUGAGGGCGGUCACCGAACCCAUACAAAUGGCAACCCUUGGGGGCGGUCACCGAACCCGUACACUUUGGCAACCCUUGGGGGCGGUCACCGGUACCCGUCAAAUUGCUCGGGGCGAUCUCCACAACCUAAUUGGAGACCCCGACGCUUGCCCGGAGCUUUACACCACAAUGAUUGAGCUCCGAACACCACCAACCGUCUAGGGCGCCCAAGCACCCAAGAGGAACAAGCUCAAGGGCACCAAGCACCCAAGAGUAAUAAGCUUCUCAACUUGUAACUUCCACGUAUCACCAUGGAGAACUCAAACUGAUGCACCAAAUGCAAUGGCAAGGGCACACGGAGUGCCCAAGUCCUUCUCUCUCAAAUCCCACCGAAGCAACUAAUGCUAGGGAGGAAAAUGAGAGGAAGAACAAGAAGGAGAACACCAAGAACUCCAAGAUCUAGAUCCAAGGGGUUCCCCUCACAUAGAGGAGAAAGUGAUUGGUGGAAAUGUGGAUCUAGAUCUCCUCUCUCUUUUCCCUCAAAAACUAGCAAGAAUCCAUGGAGGGAUUGAGAGUUAGCAAGCUCGAAGAAGGUCAACAAUGGGGGAAGAACACGAGCUCAAAAGAUAAGGUUCAUUGGGGAAGAAGACCCCCUUUUAUAGAAGGGGAAAAAUCCAACCGUUAUGUGCUCAGCCCGCACACGAGCGGUACUACCGCUCUGGCGGAAGAAGCAGGGAAAAGGAGCAACCAAACAUGAACCUUGGGGCGGUAGUACCGCACCCCAGCGGUACUACCGCGCACCCCAGCGGUACUACCGCUGGAGGAGCAGAACACGGGACCAAAAAUGCAGUAGCGGUACUACCGCCCGACCGGAGCGGUACUACCGCUUACAGGCGGUACUACCGCCCAUCGGGGCGGUACUACCGCUUAUAGGCGGAACUGCCGUGCCUUACUGCCGUGCAACUACUGCAAAACUCGACACGAAAAAUGCAAGACCCAAAAUCGAGGCGGUACCAGCGCGGAACCGUAGCCGUACUACCGCUUAUGGCCAUAGGCGGUACUACCGCUUUGGACAGCGGUACUACCGCUUGGGGCGAUAAGCGGUACUGCCGCUCUGGCCGCGGUACUACCGCUAGGAAACCAAAACUGCCAUAACUUCUGCAUAUGAGCUCCGAAUUGAGCAAACUCAAGCUUGUUGGAUUGAGAAAGACGAGUAGCAUCAAAACAGCGACUCGGCAGUACCGCUUAAGGAGUGAAACCUCCAACCGAGAAGAACCGGCAUAACCUCCAACAUCGAAAACAUCAUAGAAGAACCGGCGCCCCCCUUGCCUUCCCCCUCUCCCACUCCUUCCUUCCCCCUCCUAGUGGGACUAGGAAAGGGGAGUCCUACUCCCACUAGGAGGAGGGCUCCUCCUCUUGGCGGGCCCUGCUAGGGCCGGCCGGCCUCCCCCCUUGCUCCUUUAUAUACGGGGGCAGGGGGCACCCCAAGACACACAAGUUGAUCAGUUGAUCUUUUAGCCGUGUGCGGUGCCCCCCUCCACCAUAAUCCACCUCAGUCAUAUCGUAGCGGUGCUUAGGCGAAUCCCUGCGUCGGUAGCAUCAUCAUCACCGUCAUCACGCCGUCGUGCUGACGAAACUCUCCCUCGAAGCUCUGCUGGAUCAGAGUUCGUGGGACGUCACCGAGCUGAACGUGUGCUGAACUCAGAGGUGCCGUACGUUCGGUACUUGGAUCGGUCGGAUCGUGAAGACGUACGACUACAUCAACCGCGUUCUCAUAACGCUUCCGCUUAUGGUCUACGAGAGUACGUGGACAACACUCUCCCCUCUGGUUGCUAUGCAUCACCAUGAUCUUGCGUGUGUGUAGGAAUUUUUUUAAAAUUACUACGUUCCCCAAUAGUGGUAUCAGAGCCAGGUUUAUGCGUAGAUGUUAUAUGCACGAGAAGAACACAAGUGAGUUGUGGGCGAUACAAGUCAUACUGCUUACCAGCAUGUCAUACUUUGAUUCGGCGGUAUUGUUGGAUGAAGCGGCCCGGACCGACAUUACGUGUACGCUUACGCGAGAUUGGUUCUACUGACGUGCUUUGCACACAGGUGGCUGGCGGGUGUCAGUUUCUCCAACUUUAGUUGAAUCGAGUGUGGCUACGCCCGGUCCUUGUGAAGGUUAAAACAGCACAUACUUGACGAAAUAUCGUUGUGGUUUUGAUGCGUAGGUAAGAACGGUUCUUGCUCAGCCCGUAGCAGCCACGUAAAACUUGCAACAACAAAGUAGAGGACGUCUAACUUGUUUUUGCAGGGCAUGUUGUGAUGUGAUAUGGUCAAGACAAGAUGCUAAAUUUUAUUGUAUGAGAUGAUCAUGUUUUGUAACCGAGUUAUCGGCAACUGGCAGGAGCCAUAUGGUUGUCGCUUUAUUGUAUGAAAUGCAAUCGCCAUGUAAUUGUUUUACUUUAUCACUAAGCGGUAGCGAUAGUCGUUGAAGCAAUAGUUGGCGAGACGACAACGAUGCUAUGAUGGAGAUCAAGGUGUCGCGCCGGUGACGAUGGUCAUGACGGUGCUUUGGAGAUGGAGAUCAAAGGCUCAAGAUGAUGAUGGCCAUAUCAUAUCACUUAUAUUGAUUGCAUGUGAUGUUUAUCUUUUAUGCAUCUUAUUUUGCUUAGAUCGACGGUAGCACUAUAAGAUGAUCUCUCACUAAAUUUCAAGGUAUAAGUGUUCUCCCUGAAUAUGCACCGUUGCGAAAGUUCGUCGUGCCGAGACACCACGUGAUGAUCGGGUGUGAUAAGCUCUACGUUCACAUACAACGGGUGCAAGCCAGUUUUGCACACGCAGAAUACUCGGGUUAAACUUGACGAGCCUAGCAUAUGUAGAUAUGGCCUCGGAACACUGAGACCGAAAGGUCGAGCGUGAAUCAUAUAGUAGAUAUGAUCAACAUAGUGAUGUUCACCGUUGAAACUACUCCAUCUCACGUGAUGAUCGGACAUGGUUUAGUUGAUAUGGAUCACGUGAUCACUUAGAUGAUUAGAGGAAUGUCUAUCUAAGUGGGAGUUCUUAAGUAAUAUGAUUAAUUGAACUUUAAUUUAUCAUGAACUUAGUACCUGAUAGUAUUUUGCAUGUCUAUGUUGUUGUAGAUAGAUGGCCCGUGUUGUUGUUCCGUUGAAUUUUAAUGCGUUCCUUGAGAAAGCAAAGUUGAAAGAUGAUGGUAGCAAUUACACGGACUGGGUCCGUAACUUGAGGAUUAUCCUCAUUGCUGCACAGAAGAAUUACGUCCUGGAAGCACCGCUAGGUGCCAAACCCGCUGCAGGAGCAACACCAGAUGUUAUGAACGUCUGGCAGAGCAAAGCUGAUGACUACUCGAUAGUUCAGUGUGCCAUGCUUUACGGCUUAGAACCGGGACUUCAACGACGUUUUAAACGUCAAGGAGCAUAUGAGAUGUUCCAGGAGUUGAAGUUAAUAUUGCAGGCAAAUGCCCGGAUUGAGAGAUAUGAAGUCUCCAAAAAAUUCUACAGCUGCAAGAUGGAGGAGAAUAGUUCUGUUAGUGAGCAUAUACUCAAAAUGUCUGGGUAUAACAAUCACUUGAUUCAACUGGGAGUUAAUCUUUUGGAUGAUAGUGUCAUUGACAGAAUUCUUCAAUCACUGCCACCAAGCUACAAGAGCUUCGUGAUGAACUAUAAUAUGCAAGGGAUGGAUAAGACAAUUCCCGAGCUCUUCGCGAUGCUAAAGGCUGCGGAGGUAGAAAUCAAGAAGGAGCAUCAAGUGUUGAUGGUCAACAAGACCACCAGUUUCAAGAAAAAGGGUAAAGGGAAGAAGGGGAACUUCAAGAAGAACGGCAAGCAAGUUGCUACUCAAGUGAAGAAGCCCAAGUCUGGACCUAAGCCUGAGACUGAGUGCUUCUACUGCAAAGGGACUGGUCACUGGAAGCGGAACUGCCCCAAGUAUUUAGCGGAUAAGAAGGAUGGCAAGGUGAACAAAGGUAUAUGUGAUAUACAUGUUAUUGAUGUGUACCUUACUAAUGCUCGCAGUAGCACCUCGGUAUUUGAUACUGAUUCUGUUGCUAAUAUUUGCAACUCGAAACAGGGACUACGGAUUAAGCGAAGAUUGGCUAAGGACGAGGUGACGAUGCGCGCGGGAAAUGGUUCCAAAGUCGAUGUGAUCGCGGUCGGCACGCUACCUCUACAUCUACCUUCGGGAUUAGUUUUAGACUUGAAUAAUUGUUAUUUGGUGCCAGCGUUGAGCAUGAACAUUAUAUCUGGAUCUUGUUUGAUACGAGACGGUUAUUCAUUUAAAUCAGAGAAUAAUGUGUUGGGUAAGGUAGUAAUUUCAAAAAAAAUCCUACGCACACGCAAGAUCAUGGUGAUGCAUAGCAACGAGAGGGGAGAGUGUGUCCACGUACCCUCGUAGACCGAAAGCGGAAGCGUUAGCACAACGCGGUUGAUGUAGUCGUACAUCUUCUCGAUCCGACCGAUCAAGUACCGAACGCACGUCACCUCCGAGUUCUGCACACGUUCAACUCGAUGACGUCCCUCGAACUCCGAUCCAGCCGAGCUUUGAGGGAGAGUUCCGUCAGCACGACGGCGUGGUGACGAUGAUGAUGUUCUACCGACGCGGGGCUUCGCCUAAGCACCGCUAUAGUAUUAUCGAGGUGGACUAUGGUGGAGGGGGCACCGCACACGGCUAAAAGAUCAAACGAUCAAUUGUUGUGUCUAUGGGGUGCCCCCUGCCCCCGUAUAUAAAGGAGCAAGGGGGGAGGCGGCCGGCCAAGGAGGAGGGCGCGCCAAGGGGGGAGUCCUACUCCCACCGGGAGUAUGACUCCUCCUUUCCUUGUUGGAGUAGGAGAGAAGGAAAGAAGGGGAGAGGGAGAAGGAAAAGGGGGCUGCACCCCUUGUCCAAUUCGGACCAGAGGGGGGGUGCGCGCCUCCUUCCUUUUGGCCUCUCUCCUCUAUUCCCGUAUGGCCCAAUAAGGCCCAAUACUUCUCCCCGGCGAAUUCCCGUAACUCUCCGGUACUCCGAUAAAUACCCGAAUCACUCGGAACCUUUCCGAAGUCCGAAUAUAGUCAUCCAAUAUAUCGAUCUUUACGUCUCGGCCAUUUCGAGACUCCUCGUCAUGUCCCCGAUCUCAUCCGGGACUCCGAACUACCUUCGGUAGAUCAAAACACAUAAACUCAUAAUAUAACCGUCAUCAAACUUUAAGCGUGCGGACCCUACGGGUUCGAGAACUAUGUAGACAUGACCGAGACACGUCUCCGGUCAAUAACCAAUAGCGGAACCUGGAUGCUCAUAUUGGCUCCCACAUAUUCUACGAAGAUCUUUAUCGGUCAGACAGCAUAACAACAUACGUUGUUCCCUUUGUCAUCAGUAUGUUACUUGCCCGAGAUUCAAUCGUCGGUAUCUCAAUACCUAGUUCAAUCUCGUUACCGGCAAGUCUCUUUACUCGUUCUGUAAUACAUCAUCCCGCAACUAACUCAUUAGUUACAAUGCUUGCAAGGCUUAUAGUGAUGUGCAUUACUGAGUGGGCCCAGAGAUACCUCUCCGACAAUCGGAGUGACAAAUCCUAAUCUCGAAAUACGCCAACCCAACAAGUACCUUUGGAAGCACCUGUAGAGCACCUUUAUAAUCACCCAGUUACGUUGUGACAUUUGGUAGCACACAAAGUGUUCCUCCGGUAAACGGGAGUUGCAUAAUCUCAUAGUCAUAGGAACAUGUAUAAGUCAUGAAGAAAGCAAUAGCAGAAUACUAAACGAUCGUGUGCUAAGCUAACGGAAUGGGUCAAGUCAAUCACAUCAUUCUCCUAAUGAUAUGAUCCCGUUAAUCAAAUGACAACUCAUGUCUAUGGCUAGGAAACAUAACCAUCUUUGAUCGACGAGCUAGUCAAGUAGAGGCAUACUAGUGACACUCUGUUUGUCUAUGUAUUCACACAUGUAUCAUGUUUCCGGUUAAUACAAUUCUAGCAUGGAUAAUAAACAUUUAUCAUGAUAUAAGGAAAUAAAUAAUAACUUUAUUAUUGCCUCUAGGGCAUAUUUCCAUCAGUCUUCCACUUGCACUAGAGUCAAUAAUCUAGUUCACAUCGCCAUGUGAUUUAACAUCAAUAGUUCACAUCACCAUGUGAUUAACACCCAUAGUUCACAUCGUCAUGUGACCAACACCCAAAGAGUUUACUAGAGUCAAUAAUCUAGUUCACAUCGCUAUGUGAUUAACACCCAAAGAGUACUAAGGUGUGAUCAUGUUUUGCUUGUGAGAUAAUUUUAGUCAACGGGUCUGUCACAUUCAGAUCCGUAAGUAUUUUGCAUAUUUCUAUGUCUACAAUGCUCUGCACGGAGCUACUCUAGCUAAUUGCUCCCACUUUCAAUAUGUAUCUAGACUAAGACUUAGAGUCAUCUGGAUUAGUGUCAAAACUUGCAUCGAUGUAACCCUUUACGACGAACCUUUUGUCACUUCCAUAAUCGAGAAACAUAUCCUUAUUCCGCUAAGGAUAAUUUUGACCGCUGUCCAGUGAUCUACUCCUAGAUCACUAUUGUACUCCCUUGCCAAUAUCAGUGUAGGGUAUACAAUGGAUCUGGUACACAGCAUGGCAUACUUUAUAGAACCUAUGGCCGAGGCAUAGGGAAUGACUUUCAUUCUCUUUCUAUCUUCUGCCGUGGUCGGGCUUUGAGUCUUACUCAAUUUCACACCUUGUAACACAGGCAAGAACUCUUUCUUUGACUGUUCCAUUUUGAACUACUUCAAAAUCUUGUUAAGGUAUGUACUCAUUGAAAAAACUUAUCAAGCGUCUUGAUCUAUCUCUAUAGAUCUUGAUGCUCAAUAUGUAAGCAGCUUCACCGAGGUCUUUCUUUGAAAAACUCCUUUCAAACACUCCUUUAUGCUUUGCAGAAUAAUUCUACAUUAUUUCCGAUCAACAAUAUGUCAUUCACAUAUAGUUAUCAGAAAUGCUGUAGUGCUCCCACUCACUUUCUUGUAAAUAUAGGUGUCACCGCAAGUCUGUAUAAAACUAUAUCCUUUGAUCAACUUAUCAAAGCGUAUAUUCCAACUCCGAGAUGCUUGCACCAGUCCAUAGAUGGAUCGCUGGAGCUUGCAUAUUUUGUUAGCACCUUUAGGAUUGACAAAACCUUCUGGUUGCAUCAUAUACAACUCUUCUUUAAUAAAUCCAUUAAGGAAUGCAGUUUUGUUUAUCCAUUUGCCAGAUUUCAUAAAAUGCGGCAAUUGCUAACAUGAUUCGGACAGACUUAAGCAUAGAUACGAGUGAGAAACUCUCAUCGUAGUCAACACCUUGAACUUGUCGAAAACCUUUUUGCGACAAUUCUAGCUUUGUAGAUAGUAACACUACUAUCAGCGUCCGUCUUCCUCUUGAAGAUCCAUUUAUUUUCUAUGGCUUGCCGAUCACCGGGCAAGUCAACCAAAGUCCACACUUUGUUCUCAUACAUGGAUCCCAUCUCAGAUUUCAUGGCCUCAAGCCAUUUUGCGGAAUCUGGGCUCACCAUCGCUUCCUCAUAGUUCGAAGGUUCGUCAUGGUCAAGUAACAUGACCUCCAGAACUGGAUUAUCGUACCACUCUGGUGCGGAUUUCAUUCUGGUUGACCUACGAGGUUCGGUAGUAACUUGAUCUGAAGUUACAUGAUCAUCAUCAUUAGCUUCCUCACUAAUUGGUGUAGGAGUCACAGGAACAGAUUUCUGUGAUGAACUACUUUCCAAUAAGGGAGCAGGUACAGUUACCUCAUCAAGUUCUACUUUCCUCCCACUCACUUCUUUCGAGAGAAACUCCUUCUCUAGAAAAGAUCCAUUCUUAGCAACGAAUGUCUUGCCUUCGGAUCUGUGAUAGAAGGUGUACCCAACAGUCUCCUUUGGGUAUCCUAUGAAGACAUAUUUCUCCGAUUUGGGUUUUUGAGCUUAUCAGGAUGAAACUUUUUCACAUAAGCAUCGCAACCCCAAAUUUUAAGAAACGACAACUUUUGGUUUCUUGCCAAACCAAAAUUCAUAAGGUGUCAUCUCAACGGAUUUAGAUGGUGCCCUAUUUAACGUGAAUGCAGCUGUCUCUAAUGCAUAACCCCAAAACGAUAGUGGUAAAUCGGUAAGAGACAUCAUAGAUUGCACUAUAUCCAAUAAAGUACGGUUAUGACGUUCGGACACACCAUUACGCUAUGGUGUUCCAGGUGGCAUGAGUUUGUGAAACUAUUCCACAUUGUUUAAUUGAAGACCAAACUCGUAACUCAAAUAUUCUCCUCCAUGAUCAGAUCGUAGAAACUUUAUUUUCUUGUUACGAUGAUUUUCCACUUCACUCUGAAAUUAUAUGAACUUUUCAAAUAUUUCAGACUUUAUGUUUCAUCAAGUAGAUAUACCCAUAUAUACUCAAAUCAUCUAUGAAGGUCAGAAUUAUAAUGAUACCCGUCGCGAGCCUCAACACUCAUCGGACCACAUACAUCAGUAUGUAUGAUUUCCAACAAAUCUGUUGCUUGCUUCAUUGUUCCGGAGAACGGCGUUUUAGUCAUCCUGCCCAAGAGGCAUGGUUCGCAAGCAUCAAGUGAUUCAUAAUCAAGUGAUUCCAAAAUCCCAUCAGCAUGGAGUUUCUUCAUGCGUUUUACACCAAUGUGACCUAAACAGCAGUGCCACAAAUAAGUUGCACUAUCAUUAUUAACUUUGCAUCUUUUUGGCUUCAAUAUUAUGAAUAUGUGUAUCACUACGAUCGAGAUCCAACAAACCGUUUUCGUUGGUGUGUAUGACCAUAGAAGGUUUUAUUCAUGUAAACAGAACAACAAUUGUUCUCUAACUUAAAUGAAUAACCAUAUUGCAAUAAACAUGAUCAAAUCAUAUUCAUGCUCAACACCAAAUAACACUUAUUUAGGUUCAACACUAAUCCCGAAAGUAUAGGGAGUCUGCGAUGAUGAUCAUAUCUAUCUUGGAACCACUUCCAACACACAUCGUCACUUCACCCUUAACUAGUCUCUGUUUAUUCUGCAACUCCCGUUUCGAGUUACUAAUCAUAGCAACUGAACUAGUAUCAAAUACUUAGGAGUUGCUAUAAACGCUAGUAAAGUACACAUCAAUAACAUGUAUAUCAAAUAUACUUUUGUUCACUUUGCCAUCCUUCUUAUCCGCUAAAUACUUGGGGCAGUUCCGCUUCCAGUGACCAGUUCCUUUGCAGUAGAAUCACUCUGUCUCAGGCUUAGGUCCAGACUUGGGCUUCUUCACUUGAGCAGCAACUCGCUUGCCGUUCUUCUUAAAGUUCCCCUUCUUCCCUUUGCCCUUUUCUUGAAACUAGUGGUCUUGUCAACCAUCAACACUUGAUGUUUUUCUUGAUUUCUACCUUCGUCAAUUUCAGCAUCACGAAGAGCUUGGGAAUUGUUUCCGUUACCCCUUGCAUAUUAUAGUUCAUCACGAAGUUCUAGUAACUUGGUGAUAGUGACUAGAGAACUCUGUCAAUCACUAUCUUAUCUGGAAGAUUAACUCCCACUUGAUUCAAGCGAUUGUAGUACCCAGACAAUCUGAGCACAUGCUCACUGCUUGAGCUAUUCUCCUCCAUCUUUUAGCUAUAGAACUUGUUGGAGACUUCAUAUCUCUCAACUCGGGCAUUUGCUUGAAAUAUUAACUUCAACUCCUGGAACAUCUCAUAUGGUCCAUGACGUUCAAAACGUCUUUGAAGUCCCGAUUCUAAGCCGUUAAGCAUGGUGCACUAAACUAUCAAGUAGUCAUCAUAUUGAGCUAGCCAAACGUUCAUAACGUCUGCAUUUGCUCCUGCAAUACGUCUGUCACCUAGCGGUGCUUCAAGGACAUAAUUCUUCUGUGCAGCAAUGAGGAUAAUCCUCAGAUCACGGAUCCAAUCCGCAUCUUUGCUACUAACAUCUUUCAACAUAAUUUUUCUCUAGGAACAUAUCAAAAAUAAACACAGGGAAGCAACAACGCGAGCUAUUGAUCUACAACAUAAUUUGCAAAAAUACUAUCAGGACUAAGUUCAUGAUAAAUUUAAGUUCAAUUAAUCAUAUUACUUAAGAAUUCCCACUUAGAUAGACAUCCCUCUAAUCCUCUAAGUGAUCACGUGAUCCAUAUCAACUAAACCAUGUCCGAUCAUCACGUGAGAUGGAGUAGUUUCAACGGUGAACAUCACUAUGUUGAUCAUAUCUACUAUAUGAUUCACGCUCGACCUUUCGGUCUCCGUGUUCCGAGGCCAUAUCUGUUAUAUGCUAGGCUCGUCAAGCUUAACCUGAGUAUUCUGCGUGUGCAACUGUUUUGCACCCCUUGUAUUUGAACGUAGAGCCUAUCACACCCGAUCAUCACGUGGUGUCUCAGCACGAAGAACUUUCGCAACGGUGCAUACUCAGGGAGAACACUUAUACUUUGAUAAUUUAGUGAGGGAUCAUCUUAUAAUGCUACCGUCAAUCAAAGCAAGAUAAGAUGCAUAAAAGAUAAACAUCACAUGCAAUCAAUAUAAGUGAUAUGAUAUGGCCAUCAUCAUCUUGUGCUUGUGAUCUCCAUCUCCGAAGCACCGUCAUGAUCACCAUCGUCACCGGCGCGACACCUUGAUCUCCAUCGUAGUAUCGUUGUCGUCUCGCCAACUAUUGCUUCUACGACUAUCGCUACCGCUUAGUGAUAAAGUAAAGCAAUUACAGGGCGAUUGCGUUGCAUACAAUAAAGCGACAACCAUAUGGCUCUUGCCAGUUGCCGAUAACUCGGUUACAAAACAUGAUCAUCUCAUACAAUAAAAUUUAGCAUCAUGUCUUGACCAUAUCACAUCACAACAUGCCCUGCAAAAACAAGUUAGACGUCCUCUACUUUGUUGUUGCAAAUUUUACGUGGCUGCUACGGGCUUAGCAAGAACCGUUCUUACCUACGCAUCAAAACCACAACGAUAGUUUGUCAAGUUGGUGCUGUUUUAACCUUCGCAAGGACCGGGCGUAGCCACACUCGGUUCAACUAAAGUUGGAGAAACUGACACCCGCCAGCCACCUCUGUGCAAAGCACGUCGGAAGAACCAGUCUCGCGUAAGCGUACGCGUAAUGUCGGUCCGGGCCGCUUCAUCCAACAAUACCGCCGAACCAAAGUAUGACAUGCUGGUAAGCAGUAUGACUUAUAUCGCCCACAACUCACUUGUGUUCUACUCGUGCAUAUAACAUCAACGCAUAAAACCAGGCUCGGAUGCCACUGUUGGGUAACGUAGUAAUUUCAAAAAAAUUCCUACGCACACGCAAGAUCAUGGUGAUGCAUAGCAACGAGAGGGGAGAGUGUGUCCACGUACCCUCGUAGACCGAAAGCGGAAGCGUUAGCACAACGCGGUUGAUGUAGUCGUACGUCUUCUCGAUCCGACCGAUCAAGUACCGAACGCACGGCACCUCCGAGUUCUGCACACGUUCAACUCGAUGACGUCCCUCGAACUCCGAUCCAGCCGAGCUUUGAGGGAGAGUUCCGUCAGCACGACGGCGUGGUGACGAUGAUGAUGUUCUACCGACGCGGGGCUUCGCCUAAGCACCGCUAUAGUAUUAUCGAGGUGGACUAUGGUGGAGGGGGCACCGCACACGGCUAAAAGAUCAAACGAUCAAUUGUUGUGUCUAUGGGGUGCCCCCUGCCCCCGUAUAUAAAGGAGCAAGGGGGGAGGCGGCCGGCCAAGGAGGAGGGCGCGCCAAGGGGGGAGAGGGAGAAGGAAAAGGGGGCUGCACCCCUUGUCCAAUUCGGACCAGAGGGGGGGUGCGCGCCUCCUUCCUUUUGGCCUCUCUCCUCUAUUCCCGUAUGGCCCAAUAAGGCCCAAUACUUCUCCCCGGCGAAUUCCCGUAACUCUCCGGUACUCCGAUAAAUACCCGAAUCACUCGGAACCUUUCCGAAGUCCGAAUAUAGUCGUCCAAUAUAUCGAUCUUUACGUCUUGGCCAUUUCGAGACUCCUCGUCAUGUCCCCGAUCUCAUCCAGAACUCCGAACUACCUUAGGUACAUCAAAACACAUAAACUCAUAAUAUAACCGUCAUCAAACUUUAAGCGUGCGGACCCUACGGGUUCGAGAACUAUGUAGACAUGACCGAGACACGUCUUCGGUCAAUAAUCAAUAGCGGAACCUGGAUGCUCAUAUUGGCUCCCACAUAUUCUACGAAGAUCUUUAUCGGUCAGACCGCAUAACAACAUAUGUUGUUCCCUUUGUCAUCAGUAUGUUACUUGCCCGAGAUUCGAUCGUCGGUAUCUCAAUACCUAGUUCAAUCUCGUUACUGGCAAGUCUCUUUACUCGUUCUGUAAUACAUCAUCCCGCAACUAACUCAUUAGUUACAAUGCUUGCAAGGCUUAUAGUGAUGUGCAUUACUGAGUGGCCCAGAGAUACCUCUCCGACAAUCGGAGUGACAAAUCCUAAUCUCGAAAUACACCAACCCAACAAGUACCUUUGGAAGCACCUGUAGAGCACCUUUAUAAUCACCCAGUUACGUUGUGACGUUUGGUAGCACACAAAGUGUUCCUCCGGUAAACGGGAAUUGCAUAAUCUCAUAGUCAUAGGAACAUGUAUAAGUCAUGAAGAAAGCAAUAGCAGAAUACUAAACGAUCGUGUGCUAAGCUAACGGAAUGGGUCAAGUCAAUCACAUCAUUCUCCUAAUGAUAUGAUCCCGUUAAUCAAAUGACAACUCAUGUCUAUGGCUAGGAAACAUAACCAUCUUUGAUCAACGAGCUAGUCAAGUAGAGGCAUACUAGUGACACUCUGUUUGUCUAUGUAUUCACACAUGUAUCAUGUUUCCGGUUAAUACAAUUCUAGCAUGAAUAAUAAACAUUUCUCAUGAUAUAAGGAAAUAAAUAAUAACUUUAUUAUUGCCUCUAGGGCAUAUUUCCUUCAUAAUGGUUGUUCUAUUUAUAUGAGUAAUAUCUUUUAUGGUCAUGCACCCUUGAAGAGUGGUCUAUUUUUGAUGAAUCUCGAUAGUAGUGAUACACAUAUUCAUAAUAUUGAAGCUAAAAGAUGCAGAGUUGAUAAUGAUAGUGCAACUUAUUUGUGACACUGCCGUUUAGGUCAUAUUGGUGUAAAGCGCAUGAAGAAACUCCAUUCUGAUGGACUUUUGAAAUCACUUGAUUAUGAAUCACUUGGUACUUGCGAACCAUGCCUUAUGGGCAAGAUGACUAAAACGCCGUUCUCCAGAACUAUGGAGCAAGCAACAUAUUUUUUGGAAAUCAUACAUACAGAUGUAUGUGGUCCGAUGAAUGUUGAGGCUCGCGGCAGGUAUCAUUAUUUUCUCACCUUCACAGAUGAUUUGAGCAGAUAUGGGUAUAUCUAAUUAAUGAAACAUAAGUCUGAAACAUUUGAAAAGUUCAAAGAAUUUCAGAGUGAAGUGAAAAAUCAUCGUAACAAGAAAAUAAAGUUUCUGCGAUCUGAUCAUGGAGGAGAAUAUUUGAGUUACGAGCUUGGUCUUCAUUUGAAACAAUGCGAAAUAGUUUCGCAACUCACGCCACCCGGAAUACCACAGCGUAAUGGUGUGUCCGAACGUCGUAAUCGUACUUUACUAGAUAUGGUGCGAUCUCUGAUGUCUCUUACUGAUUUACCGCUAUCGUUUUGGGGUUAUGCUUUUGAGACAGCUGCAUUCACGUUAAAUAGGGCACCAUCUAAAUUCGUUGAGACGACGCCUUAUGAACUGUGGUUUGGCAAGAAACCAAAGUUGUCGUUUCUUAAAGUUUGGGGCUGCGAUGCUUAUGUGAAAAAGCUUCAACCUGAUAAGCUCGAACCCAAAUCGGAGAAUUGUGUCUUCAUAGGAUACCCAAAGGAGACUGUUGGGUACACCUUCUAUCACAGAUCCGAAGGCAAGACAUUCGUUGCUAAGAAUGGAUCCUUUCUAGAGAAGGAGUUUCUCUCGAAAGAAGUGAGUGGGAGGAAAAGUAAAACUUGAUGAGGUAACUGUACCUGCUCCCUUAUUGGAAAGUAGUUCAUCACAGAAAUCUAUUCCCGUGACUCCUACACCAAUUAGUGAGGAAGCUAAUGAUGUUGAUCAUGUAACUUCAGAUCAAGCUACUACUGAACCUCAUAGGUCAACCAGAGUAAGAUCCGCACCAGAGUGGUACGCUAAUCCUGUUCUGGAGGUCGUGUUACUAGAACAUGAAGAACCUACGGACUAUGAGGAAGCGAUGAUGAGCCCAGAUUCCGCAAAAUGGCUUGAGGCCAUGAAAUUUGAGAUGGGAUCCAUGUAUGAGAACAAAGUGUGGACUUUGGUUGACUUGCCCGAUGAUCGGCAAGCCAUCGAGAAUAAAUGGAUCUUCAAGAAGAAGACUGACGCUGACGGUAAUGUUACUGUCUACAAAGCUCGACUUGUUGCAAAAGGUUUUCGACAAGUUCAAGGAGUUGACUACGAUGAGACCUUCUCACCCGUAGCGAUGCUUAAGUCCGUCCGUAUCAUGUUAGCAAUUGCCGCAUUAUAUGAUUAUGAAAUUUGGCAAAUGGAUGUAAAGACUGCGUUCCUGAAUGGAUUUCUGGAAGAAGAGUUGUAUAUGAUGCAACCUGAAGGUUUUAUCAAUCCAAAGGAUGCUAACAAAGCGUGCAAGCUCCAGCGAUCCAUCUAUGGACUGGUGCAAGCAUCUCGGAGUUGGAAUAAACGUUUUGAUAGUGUGAUCAAAGCAUAUGGUUUUAUACAGACUUUUGGAGAAGCUUGUAUUUACAAGAAAGUGAGUGGGAGCUCUGUAGCAUUUCUAAUAUUAUAUGUGGAUGACAUAUUGUUGAUUGGAAAUGAUAUAGAAUUUCUGGAUAGCAUAAAGGAUACUUGAAUAAGAGUUUUUCAAUGAAAGACCUCGGUGAAGCUGCUUAUAUAUUGGGCAUCAAGAUCUAUAGAGAUAGAUCAAGACGCCUAAUUGGACUUUCACAAAGCACAUACCUUGAUAAAGUUUUGAAGAAGUUCAAAAUGGAUCAAGCAAAGAAAGGGUUCUUGCCUGUGUUACAAGGUGUGAAGUUGAGUCAGACUCAAUGCCCGACCACUGUAGAAGAUAGAGAGAAAAUGAAAGAUGUUCCCUAUGCUUCAGCCAUAGGCUCUAUCAUGUAUGCAAUGCUGUGUACCAGACCCGAUGUGUGCCUUGCUAUUAGCUUAGCAGGGAGGUACCAAAGUAAUCCAGGAGUGGAUCACUGGACAGCGGUCAAGAACAUCCUGAAAUACCUGAAAAGGACUAAGGAUAUGUUUCUUGUUUAUGGAGGUGAAAAGAGCUCGUCGUAAAUGGUUACGUCGAUGCAAGCUUUGACACUGAUCUGUAUGACUCUAAGUCACAAACCGGAUACGUAUUUAUAUUGAACGGUGGAGCUGUCAGUUGGUGCAGUUCUAAGCAAAGCGUCGUGGUGGGAUCUACGUGUGAAGCAGAGUACAUAGCUACUUCGGAAGCAGCAAAUGAAGGAGUCUGGAUGAAGGAGUUCAUAUCCGAUCUAGGUGUCAUACCUAGUGCAAUGGGUCCAAUGAAAAUCUUUUGCGACAAUACUGGUGCAAUUGCCUUGGCAAAGGAAUCCAGAUUUCACAAGAGAACCAAGCACAUCAAGAGACGCUUCAAUUUCAUCCGCGACCAAGUCAAGGAGGGAGACAUAGAGAUUUGCAAGAUACAUACGGACCUGAAUGUUGCAGACCCGUUGACUAAGCCUCUCUCACGAGCAAAACAUGAUCAGCAUCAAGACUCCAUGGGUGUUAGAAUCAUUACUAUGUAAUCUAGAUUAUUGACUCUAGUGCAAGUGGGAGACUGAAGGAAAUAUGCCCUAGAGGCAAUAAUAAAGUUGUUAUUUAUAUUUCCUUAUAUCAUGAUAAAUGUUUAUUAUUCAUGCUAGAAUUGUAUUGACCGGAAACUUAGUACAUGUGUGAAUAUAUAUUGACAAACUAAGUGUCACUAGUAUGCCUCUACUUGACUAGCUCGUUGAAUCAAAGAUGGUUAAGUUUCCUAGCCAUAGACAUGAGUUGUCAUUUGAUUAACGGGAUCACAUCAUUAGAGAAUGAUGUGAUUGACUUGACCCAUUCCGUUAGCUUAGCAUUCGGUCGUUUAGUAUAUUGCUACUGCUUUCUUCAUGACUUAUACAUGUUCCUAUGACUAUGAGAUUAUGCAACUCCCGAAUACCGAAGGAACACUUUGUGUGCUACCAAACGUCACAACGUAACUGGGUGAUUAUAAAGGUGAUGUACAGGUGUCUCCGAAGGUACUUGAUGGGUUGGCAUAGGUCGAGAUUAGGAUUUGUCACUCUGAUUGUCGGAGAGGUAUCUCUGGGCCCUCUCGGUAAUACACAUCACUAUAAGCCUUGCAAGCAAUGCAACUAAUGAGUUAGUUGCGGGAUGAUGUAUUAUGGAACGAGUAAAGAGACUUGCCGGUAACGAGAUUGAACUAGGUAUUGAGAUACCGACGAUCAAAUCUCGGGCAAGUAACAUACCGAUGACAAAGGGAACAACGUAUGUUGUUAUGCGGUUUGACCGAUAAAGAUCUUCGUAGAAUAUGUAGGAGCCAAUAUGAGCAUCCAGGUUCCGCUAUUGGUUAUUGACCGGAGACGAGUCUCGGUCAUGUCUACAUAGUUCUCGAACCCGUAGGGUCCGCACGCUUAACGUUUGGUGACGAUAGGUAAUAUGAGUUUAUGUGUUUUGAUGAACCGAAGGUAGUUCGGAGUCCCGGAUAUGAUCACGGACAUGACGAGGAGUCUUGAAAUGGUCCAGACAUAAAGAUUGAUAUAUUGGAAGCCUAUAUUUGGACAUCGGAAUGGUUCCGGGUGAAAUCGGGAUUUUACCGGAGUGCCGGGGGGGGGGGGGUUACCGGAACCCCCGGGGGUUAAUGGGCCUUGAUGGGCCCUAGUGGAGAGAGAGAGGGGCCGGCCAGGGCAGGCCGCGCCCCCCUCCUCUUGAGUCCGAAUAGGACAAGGAGGGGGGCGUUCCCCUUGCCUUCCCCCUCUCCCACUCCUUCCUUCCCCCUCCUAGUGGGACUAGGAAAGGGGAGUCCUACUCCCACUAGGAGGAGGACUCCUCCUCUUGGCGCGCCCUUCUAGGGCCGAACGGCCUCCCCCCUUGCUCCUUUAUAUACGGGGACAGGGGGCACCCAAAGACACACAAGUUGAUCAGUUGAUCUUUUAGCCGUGUGCGGUGCCCCCCUCCACCAUAAUCCACCUCGGUCAUAUCAUAGCGGUGCUUAGGCGAAGCCCUGCGUUGGUAGCAUCAUCAUCACCGUCAUCACGCCGUCGUGCUGACGAAACUCUCCCUCGAAGCUCUGCUGGAUCGGAGUUCGUGGGACGUCACCGAGCUAAACAUGUGCUGAACUCGGAGGUGUCAUGCGUUCGGUACUUGGAUCGGUCGGAUCGUGAAGACGUACGACUACAUCAACCGCAUUAUCAUAACGCUUCCGCUUACGGUCUACGAGAGUACGUGGACGACACUCUCCUCUCUCGUUGCUAUGCAUCACCAUGAUAUUGCGUGUGCGUAGGAAUUUUUUUGAAAUUACUACGUUCCCCAACAGUUGUUGUAAACAUGGUGACUGGAACACAGUUUCAUGUCUGAGAUGAAAAUCGUUUAUCUGGAUUUUACUGUUUUGACUCCACAGUGACACUCGCCGCACUUGAAUGAUUUUACUUGGAUCAAGCAUUUAGGAUGAAAUAUUGACACAUGUUGUAUUUUAACGACGCCUGUGUUAGUGCACUCUUCCUUCUUGAUGCUUUUUUUGCGGACGACAAGUGAAUUGCUCAUAGUUUUUUCUGAUCAUAUUUUGAUAUCAUUAUGUCAUUUAUUGUGCAUGAAAUGUACUUUGUUGAUGCUUCAAUUGAUUUGCUCGUUGGCUUACCUCUACUUCGAUAAAUUUAUAGAUUCGUGAAUCUUUAGAUGCAGAGAUCUCCUCUCGUUUGUUCUAAACUUGACUACAAGAACCUCGAUAGUUUUUGCACUAAAUAUGUGAUUGUUCCUCUCAAUACAAACAACAUAAGGGCUCUCAUUUAACUGAAAUAGUUUCCUNNNNNNNNNNNNNNNNNNNNNNNNNNNNNNNNNNNNNNNNNNNNNNNNNNNNNNNNNNNNNNNNNNNNNNNNNNNNNNNNNNNNNNNNNNNNNNNNNNNNNNNNNNNNNNNNNNNNNNNNNNNNNNNNNNNNNNNNNNNNNNNNNNNNNNNNNNNNNNNNNNNNNNNNNNNNNNNNNNNNNNNNNNNNNNNNNNNNNNUUGAUUUGCAUUCACGGAAUCGUUAGAAAAAAAUCUAACAAUCGUUAUGCACUCAAAUUUGGAGAAAUUUUUUCAUCCAGUCAGACCUCUUGUACAAUUCCUUUGGCAUCAAACAACCUUUAAUCCAAAAUAUCGUAGCUUUUCAUUUUUAUAGGAUUUAAGAAAGCAUUUCACUCUAAUUUUUUUCUUUGUAUCAUGGGCACCACAUUAAUUACCAGCCACCAACUAGAAACAAUUCCACAAAACCUCUAGCAAAAAAUGGAAAUGUUAGCCAAGUUCUCAUUUCUCCCAAGAUUAUUGUCACACACCGACUAGCUUUGCGACUAUCUCAAGUGGACACCAUUGUGGUUUCAUGCGGAUUAAUGUGUUGUAACUCUCUGAAUAUCUAAUGUAAAGAUGGUGACAGGAACACCACUUCAUGUCCAAGAAGAAAAUCUGUGAUCCGGCCUUUACUGGUUGGACCAGACAGUAACACCUAGCACACUUGAAUAGUUACCUUGUUGAAGGUGUUGUCUUUGUGUUGUUGUUCUGGCCAUGAUUAGUUGUACAUGGCAUUCAAGAUGAAAAUUAUUUGCACAUGCCAGAUUUUCCCAUGAUAACAUGAAUGCAUUCUUCCUUCUUGUUGGCUUUGUUACAAGCGAAGAUUUCUACAUACCCAACCAAAUCGACAAAGAAUAUCCCAAUCUGGUAAAUAUGACCAAAUGGGUUUACUAAGAGGAUGCCCCGAUUGACUUAACCAUAGUCUUUUGUUAUGAUCAUGUUAUUAUUGUUCAUUACAUUUUUAUUUCAUUUGAUGAAUCAUUUGAUCUUCUCGUUGCCUUCCAUCUACUUUAAUGAAUAAAAAUAGAUGUAUGAAUCCUCAGAUGCAAAUAUUGGGAGAUAGUUUGGUCUUGUGAAGUCCUCGUUUAUUCUAACCUUUUUUUGAAAAAAACCUCAGACUUUAUUCAUUUGUAAUAAGUAGUACAUCGUUUGUGAGGAUCAUUAUAAUUUCAUUUAAAGGCUCCUCAAACCAAUCAGAAGUGAAAGAAAAUCUAGAUAAUCUAGCAAGCUCAUGAGCUACUUUAUUUGCUUCCCUAUUACAGUGCUCAAAUCUAGCAGUAACGAAAUCACAAGCAUAAUGAAAACAGUCAUCAAAGAUUGCUUCCACCGGACCCGCCAAUUAUCCUCCAUCAUUCAUAGUAUCAAUCACCUCCAUAUUAUCUGAAUUUAUAAUAAGGCGAUUGCAUCCCGCCCGUUGCGCCAGUGUUAGACCAAAUUUUAGAGCUAAAGCUUCUGCCAUCAACACAUCCGCGCAAAAAUUUAUUUUCUCAUUCCCUCCAGCUAUGAACCUGCCUUUGUCGUCUCGAAGGACCGCUCCCAUGGAACCCCUAAGAAGAUCAUGAUCAAAAGAAGCAUCAACAUUAAGUUUAACGAAACCUCUUGGAGGACAAGACCAACUCUCCUUUUUCAACGACGCCUUGGGGGAUAAUGCAUUAACAAUUUUUUUUGUUAGAGCAAGUAUCCCAUUGAGAUCUGAAUUACAUUUUGAGUUUUUCAUUGUGUACCAGCUUCCGUCUUUCCCACCAUAGAUACCGUGCUGAAAUAGCAAUCAUCUCACGUACAUUGUGGUAACCCAAUAUCCACAAAUGUUGAUCUGGUAGGAGUAGUAGAUACUCCAACACCGCCUCUCCCACGCGGUCAACUUCACAUGCUUUAUCAAUAAUAUCAUCCAUCCCCAGCCUUUUCCAGACCUCCUUUGCUUUACUACAACGGAAGAGCGUAUGUUUUGUAUCUUCUAAACCCUCCAAGCACGUGGGGCAGAUGGGUGAAACCUUCAUAUGUCUGUUUGCUAGCGUAACUCGGCAUGGGAUUGUACCAUGUAGCGUACGCCAUAAGAAAAUUUUAACUUUUGCCGGACAAGCUAACUUCCAUAUCUUACUCCAAAUAGGGUUAAUUGUGGUUUGCCCCAUCCCAUUAGAGUGUUUCAAUUUGCUUCCAUACUGGUGAUCCCACUCCAUAAAAUAGGCUGAUCGAACUGAGAAAAUACCAUUUUUUUUGUACUCCCUCCAUUUUUAUAUAGAAGGCCAAAAACUUAAAUUACAGGUACCAAGGUAAAAUUUAGUACAUGUUUUGCAACCCAACUUUUUUUCUUGUUUACCGAGAUCAUUAAUACACGGUAUGCAUGCAAGAAAACUGAAUGGAGGAAGAAACUGAGUGUCAUUAUGCAUGCGAGUAUUAAACAAGUUGCUAGUAUGAGGAAACAUCAUUAAUUUUUGUCUCGAUUACUGUUGGUGGCCUUGUAUAGAUGCAAAAUAUAUAUUUCAUAAUGGUCUUGUAUAAGUAAAUGGAGGGAGUAUAAUUCCAGGCAAUGAAAUCUUGCAUAUCAUGUUGCGGUAGGGGAAUUGAAAGAAUCCUUUAUACAUCGAUUGGCCACAUAGUUUGUUCAAUCAGGUCUUCAUACCAAAUAUUAGAAGCGGGAUCAAUGAGAUCACCUACCUUAGUUAUCAUAUUACCUCCCUUAGGCGUUACAAUUUUCCUAAUUGCAUAGUUUGUGAUCCAGGCAUCUUCCCAAAUAUUAACGGUGUGUUCGUUCCCCACUCGCCAAAUAUAGCCACGCUUCAGUGUAUUUGUGCAUGCCAUUAUACUUUUCCAUGUAAAGGAAGAGUCUUUCUUUAACUUCGCAUUUAACAGAUCACCAUCGGGGUAAUAUUUUGGCCAUAGGAUAGAAGCGUACAAGGUAUCAGGAUUAUCCAACAGACGUCAUGCCUGUUUGGCGAGUAGUGCCAAAUUAAAGUAGUGGAUAUCACAAAAUCCCAUUCCUCCUUGAUUUUUAGGAACACACAAUUUCCACCAGGACAUCCAAUGCAUCCUCUUCUGAUUCUCCUCGUCUCCCCACCAGAAAUGUGUUAUCGCGUCGAUGAUUCCUUUACAAUUUUUUUAUAGGAAUUUUAAAGACCGACAUUGCACAGGUAGGUAUGGCUUGGAUCACAGCCUUGAGUAGGAUCUCCUUUCCCCCGGUAGAUAGUAAUUUCUCGUUCCAGCCGCUGAUUCUCUUGACAACACGCUCAAUUAAAAAUUGGAAACAGUCGGUUUUAUCUAUCCCCACAAUUGCUGGCAGACCCAGAUAUUUAUCACUAAGGGCCUCCGUCAUUAUAUUCAGUGUUGUGCAAAGUUGUGCUCUAAUCUCCACCUUCGUGUUGGGACUGAAGAAAGUACUAGAUUUUUCAAUGAUAACUAAUUGUCCCGAUGCCUCGCAAUAUAGAUCGAGCGCAACUUUUAGAGUUUAUGCACUUUGUUUGUUGGCUUUCAUAAGAAUCAAUGAAUCAUCCGCAAAAAGAAGGUUUGUUAUCGGUGGGGCGUCUCUACAUACUCUUACACCUGAGAUUUUUCCAUUUUCCUCAGCAUGUGUCAGUAGGGCAUUCAAGCCUUCAUUACACAACAAGAAAAGGUAUGGUGACAACGGGUCACCCUGUCGCAAGCGUCUUGUAGUCUUGAAACUCUCACUUUCCUCCAUAUUAAUCCUAACUCUGUAUUCAAUUGUUGAGACGCAUUGCAUAAUAAAGUUCACCCAUUCUUGACGGGAACCUAGUCUCAACAUAUUCACUUUCAGAAAAGGCCACUCUACUCUAUCAUAAGCUUUGUGCUUAUCAAGUUUUAUAGCACACAGACCUUCUCUCCCUUCUCUCUUAUUCUUGAUUGUGUGAAAACAUUCAUAAGCUACUAGAAUAUUAUCCAUAAUGAGUCAGCCAGGCACGAAGGCACUUUGAGUGGGGCUGAUAACCUUUGGCAAAAAGACCUUUAAACUUGACUUGAAUAACCUCCAUAGUUUUCUCAUAAAACAUAUGUUGGUUUGUUUCAAGCCAAACAUUCUAAGGAACCCUUUCAAUUUCAAAUGAUUUUGCUAUUUUAGGGUACUUUGAUCGUUAUGAAAAAAAGGUACUUAUGUAGGUCGACUGGUCCGCACUCUAUUUUCGUGUAAAUUCCAUCAUUCCAACCUCUUGUUCAAUAGCUUUAUUUUUAUGUUGGCGGCAUAAAACAUUAUUCUCCCUCCGUCCCAAAAUAAAUGUCGCUGAUUAGUACGAAGUUGUACCAAAACAACGACACUUAUUUUGGGAAGGAGGAAGUAUGAUCUAAAAUCUUGCAACUUUGUGAUUAUAUAGGAUUGAAGAGAACAUGCUAAUCCAAUUUGAAGUUUUUUUCUAUUUCAGAAUUUUAAGAAUCCUACGAACUAAAGAUCCAAGGCAAGACCUCUUUUUUUUCUAUCGUGUUACCCACAUUUGCUGAAUGAUGAUGCACCCAGUACAUCACUCAUCAAGAUGCAGCAAUGUGGGGGAAUCUAGACGGUGGACAAGAUGGGUCGUGACCUGGGGGCUCCUAUUCGGUGCUUCAGGCACCAGGUAAGCUCCCUGGCGCCCACAAGCUGCACAUGAUGGGCCGGUCCAUGUCCUUGAUUGAUUUUGCAACAAAAACACAAAAACGAAAAAAAAUGUGAAUUAAAAAAGAUCAUGGGUUUUGAAAAAAAUUGAAUGAAUUUUAAAAAAGAUCAUUCAAUUUGAAAAAAAAUCAUAUUUAAAAAAAUCCUUGAAUUUAGAGAAAAGUUCACCAAGUUGAAAAAUGUUCAUAUUUAAAAAAAUCCUUUAAUUUAGAAAAAGUUUCACGGACUUGAAAAAGGUUCAUCAAUUUUGAAAAAAAAAGCUAUUGAUUCAAAAAAAGUUCACCGAUUCGGAAAAAGUUCAUCAAAUUUUGGGGAAAAAAGUUCACCAAUUUGAAGAUAAAAAAGUACAAAUUUGAAAAAAAAUCAUGGGAAAAGGAAAAAUAAAAGAAGAAAGAGGAAAAAAUAAAUGAAAGAAAAGAUAUAAACACAUUGUGUUAUUCGGCUUUGUGGUCAGGCGCCCAUUUAUAAAAUACACAGCAACGGACGCCUGAAGCGCCAAAUAUGAACCACCUCACGACCCACCCUAAAGGACCAUUUGAGGCUUAAGUCAGGGAAACUUUGGCCCUCCCCGGCCUAAUCCCCGGGACGAGAAAACACGAGUCACGACUCGUGGGAGAAGUCCCCCGUCUCUUUCGCUCCGUCUCUAUUCGCAAACCACGCUGCCAUCUCGCUCGAACUUUUCUUGUCCCUUACGCCGCCCACCUCGACCGGUCGACCCCCUCCUCUCUCCUCAGUUCCAACCUCUCCUCGCCGGAACACGCGCUGCAGAGAAACUGAAGUCCACAGAUCCCCGUUCACUUUCUACAUUCAUGAAUUAAAAAACUCAAACUGUGAAGCUCACCGUGUAGGUAGGCCGGUCCAUCCCCGUUCACUUUCACGCACGUGCCCCAUGAUCGUACUCGUAUGAGUGUAUCCCUUGUUAAUCGAUCAAGAAAGUCUAUGCUCAAAAAGACAAUCUAAUUACCGCUUAGACUAGCCACAAUGGAGAGUAACAUACAGUAGCAACAUACACAUAUUCCUAGACUAUAUUACCAUCUUUCAUAGUGGGUAGCAACAUAAGUAUGGUAACAUGCAAAGCCUCAUUUAUUAGGUUAUAGACUCAUAUUGCAUUGGGACAUGUGAUGUUACACUAAGUUACUCAAACUACCCCUCUCCUCAUUAACUCAUUGCCACAUAAGCAAAUUUGCUGAGUUGGACUAGAUGUUACUGUGAAGUUAUUCCACUGUGGCUAGUCUUAGAGUAAAAACAAUUCUAGUACAUACUAACAUCGUGCCAAAUGGAGACAUCUGGGCAAAUCGGGUGUCCCACAGCCGACUAGCUCGUUCGUUGCUCCCAUCCUGUAAUAGAGAUGGAAUUUUUAUACAAACAGAAAAUCCUCUAAUAUUUCUAUGUAGUACACCCUUCGUUCAAAAUUCUUGAUGUUUCUAGUGGGAAAUAAAAAAGAAUACUUACUAGUAUAUGGGUGAAGUGAAGCCGGGAGGGAGGGCCAAUCAUGUGGCGGGCCCAGCCCAAAAAGCAAUGCGACGCGACCUCCGAUGCGGAAAAGAUGCGCCGCGGACCCGGACCCGGACCCGGACCCAGCCAGAACUGCGUACCACCAACGCGACCCUGCCGCAAACAAACACGAGGGCCGGUGGGCCCCGCGCCCAUUCAAGCUCCACAAACGCCAAAGCCGGAGGAAAGAGAGCGCCAGAGCGGCCCGCUCUCGCCCGGACGCCUCGAAGCCCGCGCACGCCGUCCACCGCUUUGUUUACUCGCCGGACGCUGCCCCACGGGCCCCGCGGCUUUCCGCCAUGUGGGACCCCGGCCCCGUCCCGUGCCUGAGGCUGCGCUGUGGCCCCACGCCCAUCACGAUGGAAGCGUUAAUUGUUUCCAUCGAUUUCUUUUACGUGGGCUUCACUUUGGAAAUAUUAAUUGGUUGAGCGAGAAAUACCUUCUCUUUUUGCGGGGAGACAGCAGUAACUUUACCUGCAUGGAUUUUUUUAACGGGACUUUACUUGCACGAAUUAGUUAGGCCUUUUUCAGGAAUAUAAUUCUGGCCGCGUUUUUUCUUGUGGUAAUAUUCUGCUUUAGUUGGCAAGGAGUAUAUGACAGGCCGAUUAGAUCCGCCGAUGGAACGGAAUAAAAUUUGGAUUUAUACCUCCUUUUCUAGUGCCUUGUGGCAGGGGGGAUGGGAACUUCCCUAGUCAAAAAGGGGCACAAAUUUCUCACCUAAAAAAAGCAGGACAUGCAGUAUCCUAUUUAAAAGUAAAGUGAAGUUGUUAAAUCUAAAUGAUGCAUCGCGUUUUAUUUCUUGUUUACGAAUCUGCCUAUAGGGUUUUUUGGUAUGGUCUAGUGAUGAUGGAAUAUAUGAAACUUCCUGCCGCCAAGAGAAUCCAACUGACAAGGGAGAGGAUAUAUAAUCCAAGUGCCAACAGAAUACAUAUCUGGAUCAAUCACAUGGCAUAUCUCAAUUUUGCCUCAGAUCCACGCGAGAUCUCACUACCAAUACAGAUCCAUGCAUCCACAAGGUAAUAUUGUUCUCCAAAAUUACUAAAUCAAGAUCCAUCAAUAAUUACAGUGCAAAACAAGCAACACCAGAAAGGUCAGGAUUAAACAAACAUGUCAGUUUUGACAAACGAAGUGAAUGUACGGGCGGACAUGAUAGCAGACCAUGUUCCAUCUCAACAAAGUACAGAGCCUUUUUCUUUACCAAUGCUAAUUUGCGCGUGGUACCGUACUACAGCAGUUUUUGUGUCGAGAAAGUUCAGAACUUGUGUCGAGCAUUUGAAACGUGAUUAAUUUACAAUUUUUCAGAUCGGUAAUAGGCACAGAAAUCGAGUGGAUAACACCAGAAAAAGCACACGGGUACCAACACAUAGGAGUCAGGAGCACCAGACAAAGUAUGAAUGCGACAAACAGAUAUGAAGCCAAGCGCACAAAUAAUGGAUAAUUCAUAGCGGAGUUCAUCUCAUUCAAACGGUAAGAUAGCAGCAGACACAGGAAGAUAACCAAGGCGGCCGGACAGAGAUCCAGCAGCCCAAAGAGUCCACCUAAAACCCUCCUAAACCAACCACGGAGAUCUCAUCGGACGGACCAGGGGAAGACACGACACGACACACGACUCUCUUAUUUAGAUCGACGACACGACACGGGACACACGGGGCGGCGACGACGACGGCGAAAGGCGACCCGCGCGCGGGCGGAUCUAGAGCUGGCCGCAGUCGGCGAUGACCACCUGCUUGGAGCAGGUGCCGCUGCGGGAGCCCACCUUCUCGAUGUUCUUGACGACGUCCAUGCCCUCGACGACCUCGCCGAAGACCACGUGCUUGCCGUCGAGCCAAUUGCAGGGGACGGUGCAGAUGAAGAACUGGGAGCCGUUGGUGUUGGGCCCCGCGUUGGCCAUGGAGAGGAUCCCGGGCUUGGUGUGCUUGUGGACGAACUUCUCGUCGGCGAACUUCUCGCCGUAGAUGGACUCGCCGCCGGUGCCGUUGCCCCGGGUGAAGUCGCCGCCCUGGCACAUGAAGUCGGGGAUCACGCGGUGGAAGGCGCUGCCCUUGUAGUGCAGCGGCUUGCCGCUCUUGCCGACGCCCUUCUCGCCGGUGCACAGCGCGCGGAAGUUCUCCACCGUCCGCGGCACCGCGUCCUUGUACAGCUCCAUCACGAUGCGCCCGGCCGGCGCGCCGCCGACGGUCAUGUCGAAGAACACCCUCGGGUUGGCCAUCUCGCUCGCCGGGAUCGGGGAUGAGGGCUAGGGUUUUGAGAUGGGGAUUUCUGUGGGGAUUGGGAUUACCUUUCGCUUCGGGCUCUGUGAUCUGGCAAGGGAGACCGGGCGUGGUUAAAUAGGCGGCGAGGUCCGGGGCGGGGGCGGCGCUGGCCGUCCGAUCGGGACGCGUGGCGCCAUCGUGGGGCGCCGGGGCUAACCGGGGGGGUUGGGCGGUGCGGUUGCGGGAACCGUGGUUAGGUCUAGGGUUGGGUUCCCGGUGGACGCGAGCAGCACGUGACCCAUUCCAACGCGAGGCUUUAUGACAUGUGGGGCCUGCGGAUGCCUGUCGCGGAGGGCGGCCUGCAGGGUUCCGGUCGUGUGGGGAUCGGCGACGUGGGCCCAGAGUGUCAUGAGGGGUGGGUGGACGCGGCGUCCGUGCGAAUUUUUAUUGGAUCUUUCUGGGGGUGACUAGGGUUGGGGCCAUGGUUACCCGGGGGUGGUUGGGUCGGGACUAGGGUUAGGUUGGGGUAUCCCCGCUUUUGGACUGCGCGCGGUCCACCUAGACCGUGUGGUGCGGCGCGCGUGGGAUCUUUUGGGAGAGUCUAUGGACCGGGUGCAGGGAAGGCUGUGGUGGGGACGAGCGGAGGAGAGAGGGCGUGGGGAAGGGAUAUGCCGCCGCGCGAGUGGGCGAUAUUCUGUUCUGGCUUGGAUCGCACGCGGACUGCAUGUGCAACUGGCCCGGGACGAUUCCUUCCUGCCGGCCCAGUCCGCUCGGGCUCUGCGGCGGAGCGCCAACGGGCGGCUCAUCCGGGCCGUCGAGUGUGGGUUUGGACGGUCGAGAUGCGCGUCACGAGGGCUCUAGAAGCUUCCUCCUCAUUCUAGGGCCUGAUCGAACUGAAAUGCCUAUUUCUCUCUUCUUUUUUUGGAGGUAAAAACUAUCUGGGCAGAAAUAUAGAGUUGCGGUUUUUAGGUAAACAAUUUAUUUUCUGAAUCCUUGAGAUCAUGGACUGGAUUGUUGGAAUCUGCUAUGAUCAUGGACUGUAUUGUUGAGAUCAUGGACUAGAGAAAUACUAAAUUUGAACUAUGAUGUAACAACGAAAAAAAAAUACUCCAAGGCAUCUUAGGGCCAGUUCUUUUGGACAAUUCUCCCAGAAUUGACCCCCUCCCCAGCUUCUCCCAGAAUUGCUACUCUAUCUUUUUUACAAUUCCUAGCUAGUGAAGGUCUAAUUAGCUAGGAUUUGUAAAAAAAUAUCAAGUGGCAAUUCAGGGAGAAGCUGGGGAGGGGGUCAAUUCUGGGAGAAUUGCCCAAAAGAACCGGCCCUUAGUCUCUUUCUCACAAAUCAUUUUACCUACCCCUCCAUUGCGAAAUAUUUGAAAUACUAUAUUCUUUCGAAGUUAAACUUCUCUAUUUGACAAAGUCUAUAGAAAAAUAUGGUAAUAUCUACAAUAUCAAAUGAAUAGUAUGAAAAUAUAUAUUACGAUGAAUGUAAUGAAACUAAUUUGGCGUUGUAGAGGUUGAAAGAUUUUUCUACACCCCUCUCGUGAAUAGUAACCACGAGAGGCAAAAGGGAAGGAUCCCAUAUCUCUUGCUCCGCCAAAGGCCGAAUCAGCGGUCCCUCCCUCUUCGGUCAUAGUUGCAAUACCAAGGGAGUGGAAGGAGCUUCGAUCUGUGUGGUAGGUGUGUAGAUACUAGGGUUAGGCUCCCCAGCCGCACUGACAAGGUGGUGGUGGUGGUGGUGUCGAAAAAUGGUGUUCGAGCUUGUUCCCCAUCUCAACAAGGUCACAUGUGGCGGCAUCGACGAGCUUCCAACGUUGUUUGCUCCCCGAUCUGUCGAUUCAGUGGCCGAUGUGUUCUUCGGGCGUGGUCUUCGCAACGGAGGGAUGUCGUACGGGAGAGAGAUUUUGUCCCUCGAUCCUGUCUUCACCAUGGCAAGUUGGAUCCUUGUCUUGUUGUGGGGUGCUAGGGGGUGGUGCGGUGAGGUGCUGGCGACUAUCGCCGGUGUUCUUCGCCGCCCUUCAUGGACUUCAGAAUUGUGAUGUCGCUUAUGUGGUGAAGUGAUGGUUGUCCCUCCUCUUCCUCCAACGUGGUGGUCCUCUUGGGCCAACGGUGAAUACUUCUCGUCCGUGUUCUAUCGAGCUGUAGAUUCCAAGGUCACACGAUCCCUAGGUGGGAGCAGUGACAAUGAUAUUGGUAGCGCGCCGGCAACCCCUGGUGGAUGGAGGAGAUGGGUGGUUGCCCAGGGACUUGUUUGCUAUUUUCUUGUAUGCUGGGGUGUUUUGUAUCACAACUCAGUUUCAAUAUAAUUUUGAGGUCCUUUUCAUCAAAAACACUUAAUGUCAAGCAGUUUCAAUAUACAUGCCACUUUACACCUUCUUCCAAGCACUAAUUUGCAGUUUUGAUUUUUGAUAGUGACGUGAUACUAUUCAAUCCUACAUUUUUUUAUAUGUAGACUCAUUUGUUCCAAAGAGGCCCCAAAGACUGCCUAAAGGACCUCCAAUUUUGACAUGUGAAAAGAACACUAUCAUUAGCUCCAAUUAACCCAACAUCGGCUUUUGAUUUCUAUCUCGCCAUCUAGCCAUUCGAUUUGACAUGGAUACAUUUGUUUAACAGUGGAAAGGCCUCUAAGGACCCAGACGUCCAUUGGAUAAGCAUGCAUACACAUUUUAUAACAAGAGACAAAGAAAACCAAAAAUACACAUUAGUCCCUGAAACAUGCAAAGAAUAAUGCGAACAUAGAAAAAAGAAUGCAUUUGGGUCUAAAGCUACUCGAAAAUGGAUUCCAUCUCGUUGUCGUCGUUGACGAGGCCACUUGGGAUGCUGAACUCUCCAUGACAUCACACCAUGGACUCCUUCCAGAAACAACGUUGUCUUCCCUCUGCAAUCAUGGGUGUGAAGAAAUAUAUUGGGUCGCCUUUCGGCUAGAAAGUAUGACGGAUCACCAGAGGAGAGUCUGGUUAUCGGCCAUAUUGGGCGAUGCAGCUCUCCAGAACCAUCGUCGUCGUACACGCUCUUGAGUCCCAUCAACCCCAUCCAGCACUUCGUAUCUCCUCCGUUCCAUCUUUAUCCCCACAUGGAAGUGACAAUCAAGGAUGAGCUGGGGGCCCUCUGCCGGUUUAGGGAAGGACACAUAUCUCGUCGAAAGCUUGGAUCAGACGAGACACCCCACCCCCAGAACCGGAGCCAACCCGAGAUCUUCCACCAACUCCAUGUUCGUCACUACCACCACUGUUGGGAAUCGUUGAAUGGAAAACAAAAAAAUUCUAUCCAUGGAGAUGCAUAGCAACAAGGGGGAGAGUAUGUCUACGUACCCUCGUAGACCUAAGCGGAAGCGUUUCACAACGCGGUUGAUGUAGUUGAACUUUCUUCGCGCUCCAACCGAUCUAGUACCGAACGCACGGCACCUCCGCGUUCUGCACACGUUCACCUCGGUGACGUCCUCCGCCUUCUUGAUCCAGCAAGAUGGCGAGGUAGUAGAUGAGUUCUGACAACACAGUGGCAUGGUGACGGUGAUGGUGGUGUGAUCUCCGCAGGGCUUGGCCUAAGCACUACGAAAAUAUGACCGAGGGAGUAAACGGUGGACGGGUAUGCCGCACACGGCUAAGACAAUGUUCUAUGUCCUUGUGUGGCACCCCCUCCCCAUGCCCUAGGGCUGGCCACCGGCCCCUAGGGCCCCUGCCUUGCCCUGCCCCCCUUUCCUUGUAUCAACAAGGUGGAAGCAAAGAGGGGAGAGAGGGAAGGAAGGGGGGGGGGGUCCUACUGCACACUUUCCUUUCCCUCCCCUAUUUCCUUCUCCUCCUCAUAGGGCCAACCACUAUAGGGGAGCACCUGCCCCUUGUGGGCUAGUGUGUUCCCUCACUUGGCCCAUAAGGCCCAUAUCUUUGCCGGGGUGCCCAAAACUCCUUUCCGGUGACCCGAUAAGUACCCGGUACCCUCCAAAACACUUCCGGUGUCCGAAUAUCAUCGUCCUAUAUAUCAAUCUUUACCUCCCGACCAUUCCAAGACUCGUCUUCAUGUCCGUGAUCUCAUCCGGACUCCGAACAACAUUCGGACACCAAAUCAUGUAACUCAUAUAAUAUCGUGAACGAACGUUAAGCGUGCGAACCCUACGGGUUCGAGAACUAUGUAGACAUGACCGAGACACCUCUCCGGUCAAUAACCAAUAGCGGAACCUGGAUGCCCAUAUUGGCUCCUACAUAUUCUAUGAAGAUCUUUAUCGGUCAAACUGUUAUGACAACAUACGUAAUUCCCUUUGUCCAUCGGUAUGUUACUUGCUCGAGAUUCGAUUGUCGGCAUCUCUAUACCAAGUUCAAUCUCGUUACCGGCAAGUCUCUUUACUCGUUCUGUAAUACAUCACCUCGUGACCAACUCCUUAGUUAUUUGCUUGCAAGCUUAUGAUGUGUAUUACCGAGAGGGCCCAGAGAUACCUCUCCGAUACUCGGAGUGACAAAUCCUAAUCUCGAUCUAUGCCAACUCAACAAACACCUUCAGAGAUACCUGUAGAGCAUCUUUAUGAUCACCCAGUUACAUUGUGACGUUUGAUAGUACACAAGGUUUUCCUCCGGUAUCCGGGAGUUGCAUAAUCUCAUAGUCGAAGGAAUAUGUGAAAGAUCGUCGAUGUCGCCUAGAGGGGGGGGUGAAUAGGCGCUUUAAAAUAAUUACGGUUGAGGCUUGAACAAAUGCGGAAUAAACCUAGCGGUUAAUUUGUCAAGCACAAAACCUACAACAACUAGGCUCACCUAUGUGCACCAACAACUUAUGCUAAGCAAGAAAACCUACUUAGGUGAUAGCAAGAUAUAUGACAAGAAACAAUAUGACUAUCACAAAGUAAAGUGCAUAAGUAAAGGGCUCGGGUAAGAGAUAACCGAGGCACGCGGAGACGACGAUGUAUCCCGAAGUUCACACCCUUGUGGAUGCUAAUCUCCGUUUGGAGCGGUGUGGAGGCACAAUGCUCCCAAAGAAGCCACUAGGGCCACCGUAAUCUCCUCACGCCCUCGCACAAUGCAAGAUGCCAUGAUUCCACUAAGGGACCCUUGAGGGCGGUCACCGAACCCGUACAAAUGGCAACCCUUGGGGGCGGUCACCGAACCCGUACACUUUGGCAACCCUUGGGGGCGGUCACCGGAACCCGUCAAAUUGCUCGGGGCGAUCUCCACAACUUAAUUGGAGACCCCGACGCUUGCCCGGAGCUUUACACCACAAUGAUUGAGCUCCGAACACCACCAACCGUCUAGGGCGCCCAAGCACCCAAGAGGAACAAGCUCAAGGGUACCAAGCACCCAAGAGUAAUAAGCUUCUCAACUUGUAACUUCCACGUAUCACCGUGGAGAACUCAAACCGAUGCACCAAAUGCAAUGGCAAGGGCACACGGAGUGCCCAAGUCCUUCUCUCUCAAAUCCCACCGAAGCAACUAAUGCUAGGGAGGAAAAUGAGAGGAAGAACAAGAAGGAGAACACCAAGAACUCCAAGAUCUAGAUCCAAGGGGUUCCCCUCACAUAGAGGAGAAAGUGAUUGGUGGAAAUGUAGAUCUAGAUCUCCUCUCUCUUUUCCCUCAAAAACUAGCAAGAAUCCAUGGAGGGAUUGAGAGUUAGCAAGCUCGAAGAAGGUCAACAAUGGGGGAAGAACACGAGAUCAAAGGAUAAGGUUCAAUGGGGAAGAAGACCCCCUUUUAUAGGUGGGGAAAAAUCCAACCGUUAUGCUCAGAGCCCGCACAGAGCGGUACUACCGCUCCAAGGAGCGGUACUACCGCUAGGGCGGUAGUACCCCUUUGAAAAACAACAACGAGGAGGCAAAAGGCCAGUAGAACCGGCGGAGCGGUACUACCGCUCGUCCCCACGGUACUACCGCUCGACCUCACGGUACUACCGCUAGGGAUAGCGGUACUACCGCAAGUGGUAGUGGUACUACUGCUUGCGAGCGGUACAAAAAAAUAAUACUUCCGUGCCUACUUCCGCUGAGCAAAACACGAGAUUUUGGUCCGGAGCGGUACUACCGCUCAGGAGCCGCGGUAGUACAGCUCUGGAGCGGUACUACCGCUCAGGAGCCGCGAUAGUACCGCUCCCAAGAGCGGUACUAAAAAAUUACAUCCGCAGCAGCCCCUUUAAAGGACACCAAAACUGACACAACUUCUGCAAACGGACUCCGAAUUCGACGAAACCAAGUUUGUCGGAAAGCUAGCGACAAGGGCUAACACAAUAUUGAUAUAAAUACCAAUAAGAAGCAAAUGAGAAAAGGCCCAAAAGAAAAUGGUGAGAACCCUUCCUCGGAUAAGACCGGUAAAACCUCCAACAUCGAAAACAUCGUAGAAGACGCAUGCAAACUCCGUUUUCGAUGAACUCAAGCUUGUCAUCAAGAUGACCAUAAGAUCUAAGACUCACAAAGAGAACCAAACAAGAACCAAGAAACAUGAUGCAAGGAUGCAAUGGUUUGAGCUCUCGACGAACGAUACGAUCAAGCUACUCACUUGAGAGCCCCCCUUGAUAGUACGGCUAUCGAUCCUAUAACCCGGUCUCCCAACUACCACCAUGAGACCGGUAAAAUAGAAAACCUAUCAAGGGAAAACCUUUGCCUUGCACAUGGUCCACUUGAGCUAGAUGAUGACGAUCUUGACACCCUCAAGUUGGACCACCUUUCUUGAUUGCGUUGGCUCGAUGAAGACUAGAUGAUUACUCCCCCAUAGUCCACUAUUGGUGAGCCACUCUUCGGCACAUCUUCACAAGUCCAUUGUCACCACAAUGGACGGCAAGCUUCAAGCACUUGAUCUCUUCGUGACGCUCCACUUGAACUUGCACACGGCAAUCUUGAUGAUGAUCACCACUUGGUGUCAUCCUCUCCAUGGGUUGAGUGAUAUCUUCCUCUUGACGCAAGCCCAUGAACACGUACCUAACCCUACAUAGAACUCUCACAUAGACCAUGGGUUAGUACACAAAGCACAAUGGACAAUGCUUACCAUACCAUGGGAUCACUUGAUCCCUCUCGGUACAUCUUCUACGCUUUGUGAGUUGAUCAACUUGAUUCACUCUUGACUUAGUCUUGAUCAACCUAGAAUCUUUCCAACUCUCGGAUGAUGUCUUGAAGGUAAACAUGAAUGAUCACACAAUCUUCUUCUUCAAGACAUGCUUGCAAUAAGCUCAACUCUCACAUGACCAAUCUUUGGAUAAUUCCUUAAUAGCACCUUGGUCAACACAAACUCUCCUUGAAACCAACACAUGUACUCCAAGAAAAGCCUAUGGACAAAACCUUCAAAUAUAACUCAAGGCAACCAUUAGUCCAUAGAGAUUAUCGUCAGUUACCAAAACCGAACAUGGGGGCACCACAUGUUCUUUCAAUCUCCCCCAUUUUGGUAAUUGAUGAUACUCACUUUCAAGAGAGUUUAUAUAAGGAAUUAUGCAUCACCAUGCAAUGCAACAACCAAAGAUGCAUGAGUAAGAGAUGCAAAUGCUUAGGAACAAAACCAAAGCAAGAGGAGAGAAUUCUCUAAACUUCUCCACAAAACUCUCUGAAACUUCUCCCCCAUUGGCAUCGAUUGCGAAAAUGGGAGAAAAGCUUAGAAGGCCAAUAUAAAUUGUGUUCCUCCAUAAUUUGUGUAUUUCUCAACAAGAGAGUGGAAUGCAAUACACAAGUUUGACGGUAAAUACUAGGAGGAAAACAAACUAUAUUUAGGCCCAAAGUUUACAAAAGAAAGAUAUGCCACAAAGACAUAAGAAAGAGAGAAACAAGCAAACAAGCAAUCAAAAGAUACCAAUUGAAGCAAGCAAUCAAUGGAUAUCAAUUGAGCCAACUAGACCAAUGAUCCUACGUGCCACAUGAAUGAAAUAAAUUAUGAUAUGAGCAAAGGAGUGUUCUAGAGAAACUAGAGAAGCUCCCCAUGAUUUGUGCACAAUUUAGUUUUGUAACUGGAUACAACGAGCACAAAAUAGGAUCGUCACUCCCCCAAGAUCAAUAGAACCUCACGACAAGUGCAAGAGAGCAACAGAGUGUUCUAAAGACACUAGUGAAGCUCUCCAUGAUUUGUGCACUUCUUACAAUAUUUGCAUUAGGAUACCGAGUGCACAAAAUAGGAUCAUCACUCCCCAAAAAUCAAUAGAAACUCACAACAAGUGCAAGUGAGCAUAUAGGAAACAAAGCCUAGCACUUGCAAUAAACAAAUGGUUGAGCAACAUACAAAAGAGGCAACUUAGAGUAGGCUCAACCAAAAUGAUGUGUGUGAGUCAUGGCAAAGCACUUGAGAAGACUAAUGUACAAAUGAGCAUUAAGCAUCAACAUAGUCUUGGAUAGUGGAGAUACAAGGUGCAUGACAUGUCCUCCCCACACACACCAAGCAAAAGGGUUCACAAGCACACUAAAAAUGCAAAAUGAAUAACCAACGCUUGUGACAACCCAUGGUGAAGAUAUAAGAUGAAAGCCUCAUCAAGACGAGGGAUACCAAUUAAGAUGGCAAAAGCCUCGUAGAGAUAAGCAUGAGGAAAAUAAUCUUCACCACACAGGAGUGCAUCAAGAUGCAACGAGAUAAGACAUGCACUCAAGGCAAAAGCUUUCACGGAGCCACCAAAGAAAUAACAAGAAAGACAAGGUGGACGUGAAAGAAAGGAUAUCAUCUAGAGAUGUAAUUUCUCUCAAGUGUAUAAGGUUCUAGGUAGACGAGAUCAUGAUGAUAUAUAUCUACAAAGAAGGAUGUACACCCGAAAUAGUUACAACACGAAGGAACAAGAUAUCCAAAAGGAAGUCAUAGAUAUACCAAUAAGAUAUUUGCUUGGAAGCAUAGCACAUGGCUAGAUAUGGUCGUAUUGUAUAUAAAUGAAUUCCUACCACACAACCAUCAAAGACAUCACAACUAGCAACAAGAGAUCAUUGUUGGGAUGCUUUGAGAAAGGAAACAAGUAUCACAAGAGAGGAUGAAUAACAUGCCAUGAUACAACCUACACAAGGUUGAUGCAAGAAAUGUGUGCAUGAAGUAUAUGAAGAUACUUGUUACCGAGUUAACAUUGGAAGGAUGUAGUAGAUACCAAUUGAAGGUACAAAGUAGUUCAUUGAUCAUCCUAGCUUGACUCCAAAAAGCACAUGGUGACAACACCUUCCUUGUGAGUGAGCCGAGCAUCCAAUGCAUCUCCAAUUGUUCCUAGAACAACAACACAAACAAAAUGGUACCCAAACUCAUUGGGACCAAAGAGUUAGAAACACCAACAAUACAUAGGACAAACUCCACAUAAAUAUGUGCAUAUAGAUAUGGAAAUGAAAUUCAUGCACAUCUCAUCCAAUUUGAGACUUGGUGGAGUUUCCCCUAUAUAUUGGGUCAAAGAGAGAAAGCAUGCCACGGAAACUACAUGAAGUUAAUAUGCAUGCUCAAGACUUUCAAGAACCGAUACCAAAAUACAAGGAAAUACCAAGUGAAAAGAAUACCAAAUGGAGAAAUCAUCACUUGGAGAUAUCAUUAAAAGAUACAUCAAGGAAUGAGAUAUCCAUUGGAACCCACAAAAUGAUAUCAAACUCCCAAAAGAGAGGAUGGUUCCUAACAAACCAAGCUCUCUACAAAGUUUCAUGAUGGCACAAGUACCAAAAAGAAAUGGCUUGCCGUCCACCAACACACACUUAAAAUGGAUCACAAGUUUAGUGUUUUAUAGAAAAUAGGAUAGCUCCCCCACGAGUUGUGCAUUAUAGAGAAUUUGCAUUUGAAUACAAAAUGCACAAGGUAGGAUCACCACGUUCACUAUAUCAAGGAAAACACUAGACAAGAUCAAGAAAACAACAAGAUCCUCAAGUGGCACGGAAGGCAAUGGGAGUUGACACAAACCUGGCAAGAGAUAAGGCAAAUAAAAAGCAAACGCCAACGUGAAGAUGAUCAAUAAUUUCUACCACACAUAAGUGAGUACCAAUUGUCAAAAGACAAGAAGUAUUUGGAAAUAAUUGCCGGUGGUAGAUAGCAAGGAUAUCCGACAUCAUCUUCACACCAAACACAAGCAAAUUGCAACUUGUAGAGCUAACAUGCCACGUAGGAACAAGAUAAUUUACAAUAUCAAUUCUAGGUGACAAUAUCUCAAAUGUACACAUUUUCUAGGCUAGUAAUAUACAUAGCAUAUUACUCCCCCAUAAUGUGAUACCAAUUAAAGAAAACUUAACAAGAGGCAAAAAGAGGAUCCAACAAGAGAUAAUUAAUGGACUAUUUAGAAUUUGAAUUUCUCAUGAGAAGACAUACCACAUAGUGACUAGAUAAGCUUGCAAUAUCAAUACUAGGUGGUAUUCCUCAUGUAAACACAUUUAUGGGACCGUGAGGUGCACAAAGAACAUCACUCCCCCAAAAUGGGAUGUUCCAUUAAUCUCUCACAAGAGCCAACUAACAUACAAACAGGAUGCGCAAAGGCUCAACGCACUACACACACGUACAUGAUGUGCAAACCAACACACACAUACUUGAUUACUCAAGAUAAGCAAAUUGAAGGCACAACAUAUACAACCACAUGCAAGGAACAAAACCAAAACAUGCAAAGGGGCAAGUAACUUUCGAUGUAAACAAUUGAAGUACAAGUUACCGGAAGGAGGCACAUUGGAUCUAGAAUAGAAACUUGAUAACCCAAUUGACUUGGCUUGAGACAAUAAGAAUGAUGAAGUCCCCUUAAAUCUUCAUAAUGUAGCCAAGUCUCCAAUGCCCUCCAACAACACCUAUUGAUCAAGUUUGAGCUAGUUGGUCCCCAACCAAGUUGGGUCCUAAGAGGUUAGUCACAAUAGGCUUGGCUACCCAAAUGGUUCUUUUCUUGACACCACUUUGAGCACCAGCAAAUUUGGCAAACACAUGGCCAACAUUAUCCUUCCCAAGAGAAUAGAUAUCAUCAAUAAUAAUUGGGUUGGAUAAGUUACCACUAGUGCAUGAAGAGGCGAGGUGACCUUUCUCACGACAUAAGUAGCAACGUCUACUCUUCACUUUCUUCUCACUUGAUUUCUCAACUUGAGAAGCAUUAGCUUGAGGAUUCUUGGGAAGAGGACUUUCUUCAACUUGUGGUUGAGCAUGAGAUCGAACUUGUGGCCGCUUCCCUUGUUGCUUGUCACUAAUGGCCUUCUUCUUCAAUGGGCAAGAUCUAACAUGAUGCCCUUCUACUUUGCACUUGAAGCAAACAAUCUUGGCCGAAUUCUUGACUUGUUCUUGGCCCUUCUUUUUGUUCAUCUUGGACUUCUUCUUCUUGUUGGAGUUGAAUCCAAGUCCACCUUUGUCAUUGGGGGAUUUUUGCACUCUCAAGAUGUUGUUGAGUGUAAAUUUCCCUUCAUGACUCUUUUCCAAGUCUUUCUUCAAAGAAGUGACUUGGGCCUUGAGCUCUUUGAUUUCCUCUACAUGGUUAGUCUCAACACAAGCACUAGAGGAAGUAUAAGCUUCAUCGUUAGAGCAACAAGGCAAGGAAAGCAAUUCAUCACAAGAUGUACCAACGGUAUGCAUGGAUGAAUCGCGAGGACUAGCACAAGGCAAUAUAGCAUUUUGACUAAAAGUAGUGCUAGUGUCCACAUGAGGCUCACUAGACGUUACCUUAGCAAUCAUGGCCUCAUGAGCUAUCUUUAGCACAUUAUGGGAUACUAGAAGAUCAUCAUGAGAGCUUGAAGCUUUUCAUGGCUUUCUUCCAAUUUCCCAUAAUUGCUAGAUAGCAACUCAAGUUGAGCCCGUAGCUCAACGUUCUCCUUUAAAAUGGAUGCUUCACAAGAAAUAGAGUUAGUAGCACAAGCAUCAUCAUUAACAACAAGAGUAGAAGGCAACUUGGCAAGCUCUUUUAAAUAAGAAGCUUCAAGUUGAGCAUGAGACUCGGUGGGUUUGAUGAGCUCACCCUUGAUGACCCUUGAGCCAUUUUCGAGGUGCUCAAAAUCCUCAAGGAGUCUAGCAUGAGCAACUUCAAGCUUAGCAUUUUUAGUUUCAAAAACAUUGGCCACCUCAAGAGCUCUAUCAUGAGAUUACUUCACUCUAGAUAACUCUAGAGCAAAAGUCUCCUCAAGAGAUUCCUUGGUGGUUUGUUCAAGUUCAAGAGCUUGAGAGAGGUCCGCAAUCUCAUUAGCGUAAUCACGCUCAUGACCUUCCAUUUUAUCAAUGGUGACCUCAUGCUCCUCAAGACGAGAUUCCAACUCAUCAAUAUAUUUCUUGCCCUCAAUAGCAAUAGACAUGAUUUCCACGAAGUUGGAACGAGCAAUUUUAUUCUUAAGAAGAGCUUUAAAAAUUAUUUCCCCCUUAAUUUUUAAGGAGGCAACAUCAUCAUUCUCUUCAUCAUAAUCGACAUCAUCAUCACUCUUGCCAUCAUCAAUAUUAUCACAAGAUAUAUUAGGAUUGAAAGUGGGAGAUACCUUUGAAGCCUUGGCCAUAAGGCAAAAAGCAAUAGAUGAUGAUGUGGGAUCCCUUGAAGCACCAUUCAAGACCACAUCUUGUUCCAUGGAGUGUUGGGUUUCCUCUACAUUGUUAGCACAACAACUCGAGGAAAUACAUGCAUUUUUAUCAUGCCAACAAGACAUAGCAAGCAUAUCAUCAUGAGAUUUAGUCAAGCAAUUUGUACAUGAUAUGCAAGGACUAUCAACACAAGCAUGUGAAACAUUUGGAGUGCUCGAAGUGCUAGAGUCCAAAGAUGAAGCAUCGCAACAAGAAAGUAAUGAAGGAUUAUCAAAACUAAGCCCACUAUCAUCAUUGCAAUGAACACCACUACUCACCAUGUCAUUACCUUGUGGCAAACCACAUGUAGGUGAAGUAGAAUAAGUUGAGAACACAACACGACCGGAGGUGGAGGGAGAACAAUCAUCCCCACAAAACUUGGACACGCCAUAUUUAUCUUGAAGCUUUGUCCACAACUCAUGAGCAUCCCGGAAAGGCAUGAGUUGAAAUAUAACUACAUUGCUCAAAGCAUCGAAAAGCAUAUUAGAAGCUUGAGCAUUGAGAUAAGAGUUUUUCUCAUCCUCUAAAGAUAAUCUUUGGGGAUCUUUUGGAGGAGAAAAACCCAUAUCUACAAUUCACUCUAAAUUUGGGUCCUUGACCCUAAAGAGAUUAAGCAUGCGAAUUACCCAAACAUCAAAAUUUGUGCCAUCGAAACUAAGUGUGUCACAGAAUCCUAAUCCCCUAGUCGACAUCUUUACUCUCUAGGCGAUUAAGGCGAACAAAGAGAGACGAGGCUCUGACACCAAUCGAAAGAUCGUCGAUGUCGCCUAGAGGGGGGGGGGUGAAUAGGCGCUUUAAAAUAAUUACGGUUGAGGCUUGAACAAAUGCGGAAUAAACCUAGCGGUUAAUUUGUCAAGCACAAAACCUACAACAACUAGGCUCACCUAUGUGCACCAACAACUUAUGCUAAGCAAAAAACCUACUUAGGUGAUAGCAAGAUAUAUGACAAGAAACAAUAUGGCUAUCACAAAGUAAAGUGCAUAAGUAAAGGGCUCGGGUAAGAGAUAACCGAGGCACGCGGAGACGACGAUGUAUCCCGAAGUUCACACCCUUGCGGAUGCUAAUCUCCGUUUGGAGCGGUGUGGAGGCACAAUGCUCCCCAAGAAGCCACUAGGGCCACCGUAAUCUCCUCACGCCCUCGCACAAUGCAAGAUGCCGUGAUUCCACUAAGGGACCCUUGAGGGCGGUCACCGAACCCGUACAAAUGGCAACCCUUGGGGGCGGUCACCGAACCCGUACACUUUGGCAACCCUUGGGGGCGGUCACCGGAACCCGUCAAAUUGCUCGGGGCAAUCUCCACAACCUAAUUGGAGACCCCGACGCUUGCCCGGAGCUUUACACCAUAAUGAUUGAGCUCCGAACACCACCAACCGUCUAGGGCGCCCAAGCACCCAAGAGGAACAAGCUCAAGGGUACCAAGCACCCAAGAGUAAUAAGCUUCUCAACUUGUAACUUCCACGUAUCACCGUGGAGAACUCAAACCGAUGCACCAAAUGCAAUGGCAAGGGCACACGGAGUGCCCAAGUCCUUCUCUCUCAAAUCCCACCGAAGCAACUAAUGCUAGGGAGGAAAAUGAGAGGAAGAACAAGAAGGAGAACACCAAGAACUCCAAGAUCUAGAUCCAAGGGGUUCCCCUCACAUAGAGGAGAAAGUGAUUGGUGGAAAUGUGGAUCUAGAUCUCCUCUCUCUUUUCCCUCAAAAACUAGCAAGAAUCCAUGGAGGGAUUGAGAGUUAGCAAGCUCGAAGAAGGUCAACAAUGGGGGAAGAACACGAGAUCAAAGGAUAAGGUUCAAUGGGGAAGAAGACCCCCUUUUAUAGGUGGAGAAAAAUCCAACCGUUAUGCUCAGAGCCCGCACAGAGCGGUACUACCGCUCCAAGGAGCGGUACUACCGCUAGGGCGGUAGUACCCCUUUGAAAAACAACAACGAGGAGGCAAAAGGCCAGUAGAAUCGCCGGAGCGGUACUACCGCUCGUCCCCACGGUACUACCGCUCGACCUCACGGUACUACCGCUAGGGAUAGCAGUACUACCGCAAGUGGUAGUGGUACUACUGCUUGCGAGCGGUAAAAAAAAAUACUUCCGUGCCUACUUCCGCUGAGCAAAACACGAGAUUUUGGUCCGGAGCGGUACUACCGCUCAGGAGCCGCGGUAGUACCGCUCCCAAGAGCGUUACUAAAAAAUUACAUCCGCAGCAGCCCCUUUAAAGGACACCAAAACUGACACAACUUCUGCAAACGGACUCCGAAUUCGACGAAACCAAGUUUGUUGGAAAGCUAGCGACAAGGGCUAACACAAUAUUGAUAUAAAUACCAAUAAUAAGCAAAUGAGAAAAGGCCCAAAAGAAAAUGGUGAGAACCCUUCCUCGGAUAAGACCGGUAAAACCUCCAACAUCGAAAACAUCAUAGAAGACGCAUGCAAACUCCGUUUUCGAUGAACUCAAGCUUGUCAUCAAGAUGACCAUAAGAUCUAAGACUCACAAAGAGAACCAAACAAGAACCAAGAAACAUGAUGCAAGGAUGCAAUGGUUUGAGCUCUCGACGAACGAUACGAUCAAGCUACUCACUUGAGAGCCCCCCUUGAUAGUACGGCUAUCGAUCCUAUAACCCGGUCUCCCAACUACCACCAUGAGACCGGUAAAAUAGAAAACCUAUCAAGGGAAAACCUUUGCCUUGCACAUGGUUCACUUGAGCUAGAUGAUGACGAUCUUGACACCCUCAAGUUGGACCACCUUUCUUGAUUGCGUUGGCUCGAUGAAGACUAGAUGAUUACUCCCCCAUAGUCCACUAUUGGUGAGCCACUCUUCGGCACAUCUUCACAAGUCCAUUGUCACCACAAUGGACGGCAAGCUUCAAGCACUUGAUCUCUUCGUGAUGCUCCACUUGAACUUGCACACGGCAAUCUUGAUGAUGAUCACCACUUGAUGUCAUCCUCUCCAUGGGUUGAGUGAUAUCUUCCUCUUGACGCAAGCCCAUGAACACGUACCUAACCCCACAUAGAACUCUCACAUAGACCAUGGGUUAGUACACAAAGCACAAUGGACAAUGCUUACCAUACCAUGGGAUCACUUGAUCCCUCUCGGUACAUCUUCUACGCUUUGUGAGUUGAUCAACUUGAUUCACUCUUGACUUAGUCUUGAUCAACCUAGAAUCUUUCCAACUCUCGGAUGAUGUCUUGAAGGUAAACAUGAAUGAUCACACAAUCUUCUUCUUCAAGACAUGCUUGCAAUAAGCUCAACUCUCACAUGACCAAUCUUUGGAUAAUUCCUUAAUAGCACCUUGGUCAACACAAACUCUCCUUGAAACCAACACAUGUACUCCAAGGAAAGCCUCUGGACAAAACCUUCAAAUAUAACUCAAGGCAACCAUUAGUCCAUAGAGAUUGUCGUCAAUUACCAAAACCAAACAUGGGGGCACCACAUGUUCUUUUAAUAUGUAUUUGACAUGAAGAAAGCAAUAGCAAUAAAACUGAAUUAUCAUUAUGCUAAGCUAACGGAUGGGUCUUGUCCAUCACAUCAUUCUUCUAAUGAUGUGAUCCCGUUAUCAAAUGACAACACAAGUCCAUGGUUAGGAAACCUUAACCAUCUUUGAUGAACGAGCUAGUCUAGUAGAGGCUUACUAGGGACACGGUAUUUGUUUAUGUAUUCACACAUGUAUUUAAUUUUCCGAUCAAUACAAUUCUAGCAUGAAUAAUAAACCUUUAUCAUGAAUAAAAAAACAGAAUACCAACUUUAUUAUUGGUUCUAGGGCAUAUUUCCUUCAGUCUCCCACUUGCACUAGAGUCAAUAAUCUAGUUCACAUCGCCAUGUGAUUAACACCCAUAGUUCACAUCGCCAUGUGAUCAACACCCAAAGAGUUUACUAGAGUCAACAAUCUAGUUCACAUCGUCAUGUGAUUAAUACCCAAAGAGUACUAAGGUGUGAUCAUAUUUUGCUUGUGAGAGAAGUUUAGUCAACGGGUCUGCCAUAUUCAGAUCCGUAGGUAUUUUGCAAAUUUCUAUGUCUACAAUGCUCUGUAUGGAGCUACUCUAGCUAAUUGCUCCCACUUUCAACAUGUAUCCAGAUCGCGACUCAGAGUCAUCCGAAUCGGUGUUAAAUCUUGCAUCGAUGUAACCCUUUACAACGAACUCUUUAUCACCUCCAUAACCGAGAAAUAUCUCCUUGGUCCUUCUUAGGUAACUAAGGAUAAUUUUGAACGAUGUCCAGUGAUCUACUCUGGAUCACCAUUGUACCCCCUUGCCAAACUCAUGGCAAGGCACACAAUAGGUCUAGUAUACUGCAUGGCAUACUUUCUAGACCUAUGGCUGAGGCGUAGGGAAUGACUUUCAUUCUCUCUCUAUCUUCUGCCGUGGUCGGGCUUUGAGUCUUACUCAACUUCACACCUUGUAACACAGGCAAGAACCCUUUCUUUGACUGAUCCAUUUUGAACUUCUUCAAAACUUUAUCAAGGUAUGUGCUUUGUGAAAGUCCUAUUAAGCGUCUUGAUCUAUCUGUAUAGAUCUUGAUGCCCAAUACAUAAGCAGCUUCACCGAGGUCUUUCAUUGAAAAAUUCUUAUUCAAGUAUCCUUUUAUGCUAUCCAGAGAUUCUAUAUCAUUUCCAAUCAACAAUAUGUCAUCCACAUAUAAUAUCAGAAAUGCUAUAGAGCUCCCACUCACAUUCUUGUAAAUACAGGCUUCACCAUAAGUCUGUAUAAAACCAUAUGCUUUGAUCACCUCAUCAAAGCAUAUAUUCCAGCUCCGAGAUGCUUGCACCAGUCCAUAGAUGGAUCGCUGGAGUUUGCACACUUUUUAGCACCUUUAGGAUCGACAAAACCUUCUGGUUGCAUCAUAUACAACUCUUCUUUAAGAUAUCCAUUAAGGAAUGCAGUUUCGAGAUCCAUUUGCCAAAUUUCAUAAAAUGUGGUGCUAACAUGAUUCGGGCGGACUUAAGCAUCGCUACGGGUGAGAAAGUCUCAUCGUAGUCAACCCCUUAAACUUGUCAAAAAACUUUUGCGACAAGUCGAGCUUUAUAGACAGUGAUAUUACAUUGGUGCGCGUCGGUCCUAAACAAACAAUUUUUAACCCCUUUCUGCGAUGGCAUUUGGAACCGUCGCAAAGUGAGUCUGGGCGAUAGGGGGGGUCCUUCCCACACGACCCAGAAACCGUCGGGGAUAGGGAGCCUUGAUGCAUACAAUUGUCCCUAUAUAACCAUUUCUGAUAUCUCGAAUAUCCCAAACGCUUCAUCCUUUCUACUCGUUUGUGCUCGCAUUGCCAUCGCAGUCGGAGUUUUGUGGUUUUGCCUAAAACCAGGCAGAUUCCAGGCACGGGAGUUUUCCAGGCAGAUUCUAGGCACGGGAGUUUUACGAUGCCUGGGACAUCACAAACAGUUCAUGAUUAUAAACCGUGUAUGAUAGGUAGACAAUCACACACAUUUAGUUUUCCCGCACCGUAUGUGAUAGUGUCUGACAUCACACACGCUUUGCAAAUGGCAAUUGUGUGCAUGCUUGUACACGUUUCCUCUCUGUGAACCGUCUUGGAUUAUGGUGUAUAUCGCAAACAUUUGUGUUUUACCAACCGUGUGUGCCGUAAUGACCUGCCCAACUUAACUUUGCCCUAAUUUAAUUGUUGCUAUUAAAAUUGUACCUAAUUUAAACUUGAAAGUAGGCUAUAGCUUAUUCAUAUCCAUCAGGUUCAAACAACCAAUGCAUUAUUCGAUUCACAGGUACAUAUGUUUAAGAAUUACAUAAGCACCAAAUAAAGAAUGAUGUACCAGGGUUCUAUACUUGUACUAUUACAGAUGGUAAAGAAAGAGGCGACAGACAUUCCAGUUGCUGAACAAGGUGAAGCGGAAUGGCCCUAUUGUGCUCUCCUGGAUGCAGAAGCCAUGCAGGACUCUAGUCCAACCCCUUGUGAUGGUCGGCCACCAAUCAUGUACUUUGAGAGGUAAUCUUGAGUAAACUGCUUCAGGAUCCACUGCAAAAGAAAAAAGAUUCAGAUAUUCAGUAAAAAGAAGGCUACAGGGUUCUUACUUACCAUCCUGCAGUUCACUGUUGUCUUGCAUAAAGUGUAAACAAAUAUUUCGAUUGACAUCUUUUGACCCAUUUUAAUAACAAUCUUUGUCAGUUUCCUCACUUGAUGCUGGUUCAUGAAUAUGUCAUUGCCCCAUACGCAGAAAGGGUCGAAGUGUGGAUCUUUGGCAAUGAUAUAUGUACCUAAAAGCACCAAGUUAAUAUUAGAAGCUAAACAACAAUUGAAAAAUGAUGUAGUACAACACUCCAUCCAUCCCAUUAUAUAAGAUUUUAUUACAUGUAUAUCUAGACAUCAUCAGAACAUUAAGGUAACACUCUUCCUUGUUGCUAUGUAGUUUGGGAUUGCAUAUUUAGUCAUUCAGUACAAUGCAUGUUGCUAAACAACAAUUGAAAAACGAAAAGGCAUGUUAACUGCAAUAUCCUUAACAACAACCAAAUAUCGUAAUUCAUAGUAGUAUUGUUGAAACUGUUAUUGAUGAAAUUGAACUACACGGCAAAUAGUUGCACAUAUAGAGCAUCACAUUGUGAAGAACUGAAAUAAACAAGUCAUAAGGACAUCUCUAGGCGAUCCUUAAAAAGUUAAAGGACUAAAACCCUUAGUGGAUAUAUAUAUAUAUAUAUAUAUAUAUAUAUAUAUACUCCAGCAAUUUUUGGCCUUUUCUAGUCGAUCCCUUAAACUUAAGGUUUUAAACUUCAAUUUGAUCAAGUUCAAAGCAGGUUCAACCGAAAGUAGCAUGCAUUCAAACAUAAACAUAGAUAGUUUUGCAUAACCGAACAUAAAACAUAAAUUUAAACUAAGCUAAACUACUUUCGGUCGAAGUAGAGGUCGAGCCAAUCCUUCCACGUCAUGUACGGUGUGCCGCGAGCCGGGUCCGGGCCAAUACCGUCGUCGGGUUCGUUGGGGAAGGCACUCCUCCACUCGUCGAUGUUGAUCUCCUCGUCCUCGGGCCCCACCUCGACGCCCUCUGCGCCGCCACCUUCGACCUCGUCAUCAGAGGAUAGCGCGAUAACCUCGCCACCCUCCGCGCCGCCGUCCUCGCCGCCUUUGACCUCGUCAUCGGAGGAGAGCGCGAUAACCUCGCCGCCCUCCGUGCCGGCAAAGAUCGCCCGCUCCGCCUCCACGAGCUCCGGGUGCUGCCGGCGGAGCUCUUGCAUGUAGGCCUCGUCGGCGGCCUUGGUCUCGAGGCGCUCCCACGCCUCGCGGUCCUCCCGCACCAUAGCCGAGCUCAACACCCCUGGCUCCGGCAGAAUGAGGUCGACCGGACGUGUGAAGGGGAAAUUGAGCCGAGCCGCCGCGCCGUGGUAGCGGACCUGCCAGCGGUUGUACUCCAUGGCCACGAGCUCGGACGUGUGGAAGCUACCGAGCCACCGACGGGUGUGGGUCUCUCGAUCUGUAAUCUCGGCAACCCACGUGCCCCACCGCCACUGCCGGACCCCGAGGUAGGACUUCAUCGGCUGCUGGGUCUGAGGGAGGACGGGGAAGUCCUCGAACCGGCGUAGGGGCACGGCGGCGGGCGGAUCGGGGGACCGGCGAUGGCGGAUCAGGCCCGCGGAGGACGACGGGGACACCUCGCCGGCCACCUCGCCGGCGUCGGGCGAAAUGGCCACGAUAAACCUCUUUUUGGCCAUUGGCUCCUCGAGCUCCCCGACACACACGCAGAGGUUGAGGAUGGAGGCGCCAUCGAUGGCGGCGACCUACCAAUGGUUUCGAGGGUUGUGUGUGUCUGUGUGANNNNNNNNNNNNNNNNNNNNNNNNNNNNNNNNNNNNNNNNNNNNNNNNNNNNNNNNNNNNNNNNNNNNNNNNNNNNNNNNNNNNNNNNNNNNNNNNNNNNNNNNNNNNNNNNNNNNNNNNNNNNNNNNNNNNNNNNNNNNNNNNNNNNNNNNNNNNNNNNNNNNNNNNNNNNNNNNNNNNNNNNNNNNNNNNNNNNNNNNNNNNNNNNNNNNNNNNNNNNNNNNNNNNNNNNNNNNUGUUUGAGGAAAUACUGCGGCAACUGAAAAUUUUACUAGGCGGGAGUAACAAGGCGGGGCUACUAAAAAUUUGGAUCAAGGGCGAGCAUAUAUUUUGGAGAUUGUGAUGGAUGCAGAGGCGGGAGUAAAAAGCCCGGGCUACUGAAAAUUUGAAUCAAGGGACUGAAGCAGAGCGGGAGUAACAGACAUCGCACACGGUCCGCACAUACUAAUCGUGUGCUAUCAAACAUUAAAACCUUCCAGGCGGUAGAUACUUUCGAGAUUACGAGGCAGUAAUAUUUUCGAGAUUGCGAGGGAUGCAGAGGCGGGAGUUUUUGGGGAGCGAGCUAGUGUGCUUGACACGCCGGUUGUGGACUGUAGCCGACACACGUUCUCGCGUAAGCCAUAGGCGUACUAUACACCGACGGUGCUCCAAGAUAUUUUGUACUACAUCUCACACGGUUGGUGAUAAUAAACUGUGUGGGAUCUACUUGAUUUGAAUUACAAAAUGGGGUCACAGCGGCAAUGGACGCUGUUUGAAUUGCUAGACCUUUUAUCUGCAGUGAACAUGCAACUAUAUGUGUCUCGUAAAAGAAUUGGAAUUAUUCAGGGUUCGUUUGGACAUUUUAUACAUCAAACUGGUUUUCUAGCCAUUUCAUAUGCACAAUUCAAAAUUAAACUACAUGCACAUGCUCCGGUGCAUACAAAUAGGUUGAAAAACCAAAUUUGUGUCCUCGAGUGCAUGCCUAGGUCCCAUGCAAGAAAUGAGAAUGAUUUUUUUGGGGUUUGUUUGGCCUUUUUUAUACAUCAACUGGGUUUUCUAGGCAUUUUAUGUGCAUAAUUCAAAUUUGAACUACAAGCACAUGCUCCAAUGCACCAAAGUUGGUUGAAAAAUCACAGUUGUGUCCUUGGGUGAAUUUCUAGGUCCCAUGCAAGAGAUGGGAAUGAAAUUCAAACAGCAGGGCAUUGUUGAUUGCCGGCAAAACGUUGAGAUGCCUCGUUUUUAAAUUAUAGUAAAUCCAAAACUCGUCUGAAAUUCAUGAAACUUGGCAUGCUAUCAUGGAGCGGCAUCAACAUGCCGUGGUAAAAAAUUUGUCCCAUUUGGGGCAGGUUCGGGUAUAAGCUUCUCACGAACCAGAGCUUCUCACGAACCAGAGCUUCUCACAACAAGCAUGAUGGUUUCGAUAGGGAACGUCCCACCUUUGGGGACAAAACGAUAUCCAUUGCCUCUUAUUGCUUUCAAAAAAUUUCUAGUGUCAACAUAGAACAACAGGAGUUUUGUGUCAAUUUUUUUGAUUUUUCGGGGUUUGUUUGGACAUUUUUAUGCAUUAACUGGGUUUUCUAGGCAUUUAUGUGCAUAAUUCAAAUUUGAACUUCAAGCACAUGCUCCAAUGCACCAAAAUUGGUUGAAAAAUCACAUGUGUGUCCAUGGGUGAAUUUCUAGGUCCUGUGCAAGAGAUGGGAAUGAAACUCAAACAGCAGGGCACUAUUGAUUGCCGGCAAAACAUUUAGAUGCCUGGUUUUUAAAUUAUAGUAAAUCCAAAACUCGUCUGAAAUUCAUAAAACUUGGCAUGCUAUCAUGGAGCGGCAUCAACAUGUCGUAGUAAAAAAUUUGUCCCAUUUGGGGCAGGUUCGGGUAUAAGCUUCUCACAACAAGCAUGAUGGUUUCGAUAGGGAACGACCCACCUUUGGGGACGAAACGAUAUCCAUUGCCUCUUAUUGCUUUCAAAAAAUUUCUAGUGUCAACAUAGAGCAACAGGAGUUUUGUGUCAAUUUUUGUGAUUUUUCGGGGUUCGUUUGGACAUUUUUAUGCAUUAACUGGGUUUUCUAGGCAUUUAUGUGCAUAAUUCAAAUUUGAACUACAAGCACAUGCUCCAAUGCACCAAAGUUGGUUGAAAAAUCACAUGUGUGUCCUUGGGUAAAUUUCUAGGUCCCAUGCAAGAGAUGGGAAUGAAAUUCAAACAGCAGGGCAUUGUUGAUUGCCGACAAAACGUUGAGAUGCCUGGUUUUUAAAUUUUAGUAAAUCCAAAACUCGUCUGAAAUUCAUGAAACUUGGCAUGCUAUCGUGGAGUGGCAUCAACAUGCCGUAGUAAAAAAUUUGUCCCAUUUGGGGCAGGUUCGGGUAUAAGCUUCUCACAAACCAGAGCUUCUCACAACAAGCAUGAUGGUUUCGAUAGGGAACGUCCCACCUUUGGGGACGAAACGAUAUCCAUUGCCUCUUAUUUCUUUCAAAAACAUUCCAGUGUCAACAUAGAACAACAGGAGUUUGUGUCAGUUUUUGUGAUUUUUCCGGGUUCGUUUGGACAUUUUUAUGCAUUAACUGGGUUUUCUAGGCAUCUUAUGUGCAUAAUUCAAAUUUGAACUGCAAGCACAUGCUCCAAUUGUAAGUGCAUCUAGUGCCCCUUAGUGAUUUUGGUGUAUUGAAGACUUAUAGGUUAAGGGACUAAUGUGUUUAUGAGUGUACAUAGGUCUAUAAGUCUAUGAGGAGUUUGAUAUUUACAGAGAAAGUCGACCCCUAAAAAUGAAGUUCUUCGACUGAAGACUUUGGACUUCUGAAGACUUUCUGAAGACUUUGAAAGUGAAGAAAUUGGUGUGACCUUGAAGACUUGGUAUUCAUUCGAGGAACAUGAAGCGUGAAGACUUUUGUUUUCGUAGUUUCAUUUUCUCUUUCUUGAGUCAUAGGAAACACCGUACUAUAAAAGGGGGUCGAGGAAAUACUAAUGAAAAAUUUCCAUGUGAUGCUCAACUCAAAAUCCUACACCUACCAAUCCCUUCGAGUGAAGCCAUUGGAAAUCUCAUACAGUUCAGUCAAUUUCUUCAGUGACAGAGACGAAGUUCUUCCAGUCUCUGAGGAAUUUGUUCUGACUGAGGAGUUAGGAAUUCGCCAGUGCGGAUUGCCUACACAGUGAGGAACAUGAUAGCCCUGAGGAAUUUGGUACUCAAAUUUCCGACUGUUGCUGUGCUAUGCGCCAGCUGUCCCAAAAUAUCUACCCACCUAACAGUCAUAUCAUUGAAGGGCAUUUAUGUCUUAUCAUGAUGGGGUGCUCCCUAGGCUAUAAAUAGCCGCCCCCUACAACCACUAGCUGGUUGGCUGCUCCGGGAGAAACUGACACUUGUCAUUUGAGAGCAUCCCAUCCUCCGAGGACUUUGAGCGAAAAUCAUCAAGUGAGGAAAACCCAAACCCAAACACCUACAAACCCAAAGUGAUUGAGCAUCACUGAAGAGAUUGAUCCUGUGUGGAUCCGACGCUUGUUACCUUUGAAGACUGUGCUUCUUCCAGACGGUUAGGAGUCAUGGUCUAGAGCAUCCAAGAGGAAAUUGUGGAUCGCCGAGUGACCGAGUCUGUGAAGGUUUGGAAGUCACCUGAAGACUUACCACAAGUGAUUGGGCGAGGUCUGUGUGACCUUAGCUCAAGGAGAAUACGGUGAGGACUAUGUGUCCGGGACUGUGUGUCCUCAGGUUUAAAUACCUAGCCGCUCCAACCAGACGUACAACUGAGACAAUAGUUGGAACUAGUCUACCAAAUCAUUGUCUUCACCAAGCUUACUGGUUCUAUUUCCUCAACUCUUUCAUUUCCUCAUAACUGUGUUAUGCACUUGUUCAUAUCUGUAUUUGAAGACUUUGACUGAAGACUUUCUCAAUUUCCUCGGUUCAAUUUCUUCAAUCUGUUUGUCUUCAUCCUGAGCUAUCCUGUGUUUACGCUUUCUGUACUCUGUGCUUGUCUUCAUUUCAUCAUGAUGACCAUGCUUGUGUUCUGCUAUGCAUACUUUUGAGUAAUUAUUCCGAUGCAAGUAGUUCUUCGCUAAGGAAUUUCCUCACUGGCAAAUUCCUCAGUGAAGAAUUCAUAAAAAUCGCCUAUUCACCCCCUUCUAGUCGAUAUAACGCACUUUCAAUUGGUAUCAGAGCAAGGUACUCCCUUGUUCUGUGUGAUUUUGGUUUAACCGCCUGGAGUUUUAGUUAUGUCGACCGCAUGUAUGAAGAAAGUGGCAUGCCACAUCUUUGACAGUCACGAGUAUCCCUAGUGGAAGGUCAUGAUGAAGAAGCGCCUCAUGGCGAUGAACAGCGAACUGUGGACCGUCACUGAGAUUAGUCUUACCGUUCGUGCAAGACGGCGGAAGCUGAUGACAUUUGCAAGUACAUUCUUCUCAACCUCACGGCGAAGGACGUCAUCUGCUCCUGUCUGUCUCAAAAUCAGUUUAGGAACAUCAUGCAUCUAAAUCAUGCGAAGCUUAUCUAGGACCGUCUCUCUGAGGUCUAUGAAGGUCAUCGAACCCGUCAUGAUCCUUGGUUUGAGGACUUCAAGGAAUCUCUCAAAGCGAUGACAUUCGAACCAGAAUCAUCAUCCUCUUCAUCAUGCCUUAUGGCAAAAAGUGCUGAGGUAACUGAAUGCUACCUAUCCGAGUCAAGUGAUGAUGAAUUUGGACCCAGCUAUGUCAAACUUGCUUCCCUUGCCACUAAACAACAAAGAGCUUUGGAAAAAGUUCAAUACAUGCUAAAUAAGAGCGAUGAUAUGUUGGGUGAAGAAAUGGAUCAGUCAAAAGCUUUGGAUGAAAGUCUUCAGAGACUUCAUACUAAGUAUGACACCCUUCAGGAUCAACAUAACACUCUCUUAUUUGAUCAUGAGAAGCUUUCUUAUGAAUUUCUUCAAAGAAAGCAAGAUCUUGAGAAGCUAAGAGUGAGUUAUGAAGAUCUUCAGAAGGAGCGCGAUUCAUUACUUGCUCAACAAAUCAGUGCUCCUCAGGAAGAAUUUGUUCCUCCAUGUUUGAAAUGCCUUGAACAUGAAUCUGUUAAUUCUUCACCUGAAUGUUCAAAUGCUUCUAAUGCUACAAAUUCCUCACCUGCCUCUGCUAUCACUAAUUCCUCAUCUGAGGACAUUGCUAGUAUCACUGACGAUGCAGGGCUGAAGGAAUUGUACAUGACAGGCAUGUACAAAAGCCUCAAAGGGCAUCAGACUCUUUGUGAUGUGCUUAAAAAGCAGAUCCUCAACAGGAACCCUAGGAAAGAGGGUAUUGCCUUUGAGAGGAAACUCAAUGCUGAUGGUACAUAUUGGAAGCCUGAGCAGUACCCCAAAACCUCAUGGGUUGCUGCAAAGGGACCUCCAGUUGAUCCAUCUAAUUUAUCUGGCUUUACAUGUGAAUCUUCUCAUUCUUCUGAUGAGUCAUUUGACUCCAACUAUAAACUGUUCAAAAAUUAGAAUGGUGAAGUAUUUGCUAGAUAUGUUGGCACUAACUGCAGGAACGGUUCUCCUAUGAAGAAAAUCUGGGUUCCCAAAAGGUACCUUGAAAGUCUUUAGGUGAAUGUCCUCAUGACACCACCUGUGAAGAAUAGGAACCCCAGAUCAAAUUCUUCAUAUGGAGCAAAUUCCUCAAAAGGAUCAAAGUCCUCAUAUGAACAUCAUUGUGCUAACAACUUUGUUUCGCAGGGAAGAGCCAAGGGCUAUGAAUAUGAGCAUUAUUCUUCUAAUCAUUAUGUUCAUAAGUCCUCGAAGAAUUUCUCUGCUUAUUCAUAUGCUUACCCUAACUCCUCUUAUGUGAAACGAAAUGGAUUGGCUUCUAUGCCACCUUUCUCGUAUGGAGCUCGUAGAAUGAUGAACUCUUUGCCACCCCUUUAGAUGUGGGUGGCGAAGAAAAAGAACUAAUCUUUUAUGCAGGGUCAGGUCUCCAGACGCACUUAAACGUCUGAAGAAUUUGCUGGAGACCUAAAAAGUGCCUGAAAGGACGCAGGCUAAUCACGAAGAAAUGAACCGUUAUUUCUCACGUCCUCAUACUGUUCUAACUGUUGCAUUGCUUGAUGAAAUUGGUUUGAUGAAUUGUGAUGUCAUAUUCUUCACUGAUGAAGUAUAUGAAGUUCGUAAGCUGCACUAAUUCAUCUGCAGGAUGAUCAACCCAAAGCCACUGAGUGGGUCCUCGAUAGUGGAUGUACAAAUCAUAUGACUGGUGACAAGAAUCUAUUGAUGGAUGCUCCCUUAUCACCAUCGCAUCUGAAGCAUAUCAUCUUCACUGACAAAGGCAAAAGUCAGGUAUUGGGUCUAGUAUCGUUGUGUUGUGGUUAUGGAAGCUAACAAUUCCAAAGUCUUCGAAGGCUUUAGGAGAGGAGACUUGUAUAUUGUUGAUUUCUCUGUAGGACCGCAACCAGCCGUGUGCCUACUUGCAAAAGCUUCAGAAGGCUGGCUAUGGCAUCGACGACUUGGUCAUGCAGGCAUGAGGAAUUUGCACACGCUUGUGAAGAAGAAGCAUGUCAUUGGCAUUGAGAAUGUCAAAUUCCUCAAGGAUCACUUGUGUGGAGCUUGUGAAGCUGGAAAGAUGACCAAGUCUAAGCAUCCAGCAAAGACUAUCAUGACCACUACUCGACCAUUUGAAUUGCUUCAUAUGGAUCUCUUCGGUCCUAACCAUUACUCAGCAGUCACAAAUGACGCAUCUCUCUAUGGCCUUGUUAUUGUUGAUGAUUACCCUUGAUACACAUGGGUACACAUUGUUACUUACAAACAUGAAGUGCAGGAAGUCUUCAAACGAUUUUCCUCGAGGGUUUCAACCAACUUUGGUGUGAAGAUCAAGCACAUCAGAAGUGACAAUGGAGCUGAGUUCAAGAAUUCUGGUCUUGAUGACUAUCUUGAUGAACUUGGUAUUACACAUGAGUUAUCUGCUCCUUGCACUCCUCAGCAGAAUGGCGUCGUGGAGCGCAAGAACAGAACUCUUUUAAUCUGCAAAAGGAGUAACAGAGCAAAGCGGAGAAGAGAAGGGGGAAGAAAAAAGGUUCCUAACUCAUUGGAUAGCUUAAUCUAUUGGUCAGGGAUCCCAUCUUUACUUUAUUUAGGUGCCUAGACUUUUCGGGGCAUAGGGUAGAUUUCACAGUCCUUUAAGUGAAUGCGCCUUCUCUUUAUGUAUAGAGCUCUUAAAGAAUGGAUCAGCUCCUAGCGAAAAAGUCCAAGGUACUGAUCAUACAACAAAUGAAGGUGGUUAGAAAGAUGGCACAUCGAUCUUCUGUACACCCUGUUCGUGCUGCGGAACGCAGAAAAUCCGCCUUCCUUGGAAAAAAAUUCCUGACUCCGAAGUAUCAAAGGAGACUUGGGUGGCGCCUUCUGAAGAGCCCUUCAUUCUGCGACUCAGAUAGGCUAGGAUUUGUGUCUCAGCCGAACCGGUAUUAUGUUCCAAAUUAGGCUUGUAAUUAGAGUUACCAAUGGUAAGGAUUGGCGUGGGUUUAGAGUGGGUAGCCCGCUCGCUAUCUAUGUCUUUCAUUCCCAUGGAUUGGAAAACAUCUUACUUGCCAUGGGGUGAAACUUCUCAUCGUCAGCCUAAGUGAUUGUUUCUGUAAGCUAGAGAGAAGUACCCUUGAUUGGGUGCUUCGAACGCCCUUCGGGAAGUGAAAGUGAAGGUUGAUCAAUAGCUUGAAUCAGGACGAAAAGGUGGGAAACCAGGUAAUACAGCACGGCAUCAGUGUGGUCAAGCCGGUAAUCGAAUCGAACAGAUUCGGGAUCUUACCCUUGUCGAGUCCGGUUGCCAAGGGCGCUUUAUCCAAGGAAUGCAGGCAAGGCACUACUCCGCUUUCACAACAGAACUGCUUGACUAGUUGAAACCGUGUGAUAUUACUAGUCUGGAUUUGAGAUGACAUACUUGAAUCGAGUAUACAAGGGUGGUAAGGCAAAUAAACACAAAGGAAUUGAUCGAUUCUCUUGGUUGAUGUGCUUUCUUCCAAACCCUUGACUGGAAGAUAGUCAAUACUGCCUUGCUAUUUGUAGAAUUCCUCCCCUGGGUCGGAGAAUAUAUUACUUUCUUUACCGACAUGCAGGUGGAAUAAGACCAGCAUUAUGAACUACUCAUCACUGAAUGUUAAGUACUGCCAUUCCAACUAGCCAACUAGCUAUUAACUAUUAAGGGGUAAAGGUCGGAAACUAUAUUUAUUUAUGGGACUUAACUUAUUGAUACAGUCAGAUUUAGGAAAAAGUGCAUGCAUGUUUCACAUACCCACUCGCUGAAAAGAUUUCCGCAAAAACACAGGACCCAGAAAUUGCAUAUGGUAGCGAUCGAGAUCACCCGCUGGGAAUCUCGGCAACCCACAUUUGAGGAAACCGCUACUUCAAGAUAGGUUGGUCUUGAUUGAAGCUAUGUUUCAGAAGUUAGCCAUCACCCACAAAGCUGUUCGCACUCCAGAACAAUUAAGAACCAACAAUGCACAGGAAGAGGCGAUCUUCCUAUCCUAGCACGAUACUGGGAUCUCGUAGGCGUAAUUUGGAGUGGCUGCAAAGGGUUCAAUACUACUUGGCCUAGAGGGGACUAGGAUAAACUGUUCCAAGUACCAAAAGCCCUAAGGCUGCAACCGAUUACCCAUAACGACCGAUAUAGAUUCGGCUCAAGGUGCUACUGAACCCUGAAUCCAAAGAUUGAUCACCUAACCAAUUCAAGGUCACAAGAAAAGAAAGGACGGUGCUCCUCUAACCCUGUAUUUGAGUGACUGUUACGCAACAUUGGUGAUCAGUUAAUGGCAAACGAAAAGCUAUUCAGGGAGACAAUAGUCUGGCUCGAGUGGCUAGGUAUGUCCUAGUCACGCCCUACCUAGGGUUGAGGAACACGUGUUUGUCCAGUUUCGACAAAACUAAGAGGAUGUUACGAUCCCGCUAUAAAAAGAAGUUGUAUGCCCCGUCCACGUGCGGGCCCGUCGAGCUAUAAGUGAGGGAUCUUAUUUAAUGGAGGGACAACGAAAAGUCACGUCUCAGAACAGAAGGGGUAGACAAAUGUGGGGAACCGAGAACCACCUGCUCUCUAAGAAACCCAUGGAAAGUCAAGAAGUGAACGGAUUAUAAACCGCUUUACUAAAGAAAGUGGGUUCACUAAGAGGGGAGAGAUAAAGGCGGGGGACAAGAAGGCGGUCGCAGGCAGUAAGUAGAUGGACGGCCCUUCGACAGGAGGUAGUAAAAUUUCCAAACCUAAGAAGACCAUUUCUUUGCUGUCGCUCUAGCCCUACCGGGAGGGGGCUUAGCCGGGUCCAACAAACCUUAUGAGUGGGUCCCACGCACUCAGGCAAAGAGCAGCCGACGAAACGUAAGAUGGCUCCAUACCGGGUGGUAAAACACAAAUGAUCAAAGCUGAUGAUCGUAAGCUAUGUCCUCCAUCACGAUCUCGAAUGAAACUAUCCAUGGAAUCGUGCGCCGUGUGAAACGUAGAUCAUCGCCGUUCUUAACCGAGACUCAGGUUAAGCUCCCUCUCGGAACCGCCGUGGGGUUAGGAGUAAAGCAUCCCGAGGUUGGCGCAUCUCGGUGGGCGUGGAGAAGCAUUGGGAACCCCAAUAUCUUUCUUCGGAGCAGUUUCUUUUCCCGUCCCCUCGCCCCGGCAUAGUGCUUCGCUUCCGGUUCUUCGGAGGAAUCAACUGACUUCUCCCUUCUUCAUUGAUCCGGGGGAAAGGGAACCGUCUACCAGUUGAGAAGCUAGACAUCAAGGUUGUGGCUUGAUGAGGAUAACUAAGCUGACACGCCGGAGUUGGCUGCUGGCACAACAGGGUGGUGCCUUACCGCACCACAGGCGCACGCGCGGUAGCGUUCAUGGUGGUGCUUCAGGAUUCCAAUGUACUGCGUCCAGGAUCAGAACGAGCUUGCCGGCGGACCACUGCUGUCCCAUUCUUUAGUGAGCUGGAGCGCUGCCAUCUUAUCCACGGAAAAUGCGUCAAGCUAUCGCUUCGGGUCGAAGCACUAAAAGAAAAGGACCGGGAAACGCGGCGGCAUAGGAAACACGGGAACCCAGGAGGGAGAAAGACGAUGUACGGGAUACGGGAUCCUCGCAGUAGGCUGGACCAAAAUCCAGCCGAGAGAGGGCAGCCUUUAGAAGCAACAGGUUGGGAAACCAAGAGAAGGCUUCGCCUUUUCUUAUCUUCUUCCCGGCACAAAAAGAGGGAUUAGCAUUAUUGACCCCAUGAGAAAGCACUAACACCUUCCUCAUCGGGGCUCCGCGCACUGGGAAAAGGCUUCCGCGACAGGAAACCGGCUACUAGUUAGGAAGUGAACAUAAGGUAUCAAGAGGUCCCUCACAGUCAGGUGCAAUGCAAUUGCCCCCUAUUAGUCAAGUACCCCUCUUCCUAUUUAGUUUAGGGGUUAAGGCGAGAAAUGGCUUGAUGAACCCUUCCGUUCACCACGCACCGGCCCCAUUCACUUGCAACUCGUAGAGGCUGUAAGUAAACAGUGCCCCACUAAAUUCAAAGUGACGGUGGGGUUGAAAGACGAGAGUGCCUACCUCCGCGCCGAGAGUGCCUACCUCCGCGCCGAGAGUGCCCGCCCUUUCUGUCAAGUAGGCUACUUUUUCCGAAACGCAGUCUGGAAUAAGCGUUCCUGUGUAUAUAGAUAUCUUCGAUGCUGUCAUUUCGACAUGUCCGCUUCAACCCCUCUUUCGCCUCCCAAAAAGCAAAUUUGGCUUGACGAGCGCAGAUGAGGAAGCGGGAGCAAUAAAACCAAGAAUCUCUUUCUUUUCUUUCCAAAUACUUUAUGAAGUUAAGGGGCAAAGAGAAGCGCUUUCGCUACUGAGAAAGCGAAUGGUCAGCGCGAGGGUUCGACGACUUAGCCGAGCGUUAGCGACGCGUCAUUCUCAUAGCGAGGCGCUUCGAGUUAGCGAAGCGCUGUAGUAGCGUCGGAGACUAUGUGCUAUAAUGCUGAACUAAGGACGUUCCGCCUUAUCUAUAGAAGCAGUCGACUGAGUUCUGAACGAAUGGGAUCCUUGGUGGGUAAUGGCUCAAUCUAUAGAUGGAAAGCCUUAUGAUGGGAAACUACCACGUUAGGUUUGGAGAGAGAUGGGACCCGUUAUAGUUUAGGGGGAGCAGAUGGCUCGCACUAUGCUUGAUGAGUACAAGACGCCUCGUAACUUCUGGACUGAGGCAAUUUAUACUGCGUGCCACAUCAUCAACAGGGUAUAUCUUCACAAAUUCUUCAAGAAGACUGCCUAUGAACUCCUCACUGACAAGAAACCCAAUGUGAGUUAUUUCAAAGUCUUCGGUGCUAAAUGUUGGAUUAGAGAUCCUCAUCACAAUGCUAAAUUUGCACCGAAAGCACAUGAAGGUUUUAUGCUUGGUUACGGAAAGGACUCACACACCUACAGAGUCUUCAACAACAUUCUUCACAAGGUUGUUGAAACUGUAGAUGUGCGGUUCGAUGAAACUAAUGGCUCGCAAAGAGAGCACCUACCUUCUGUGAUAGAUGAACCAGCACCUGAGGAAUCUAUCAAGUUCAAGGCGACUGAGGAUGUCAUUCCUACCGAAGAAUCUGCUGAAGAAUUCAUUCCAGAACAUGAAGAACGUCGAGCUAAUGUACCUAAACAAAAUGCUGAAGAAAAUGGUGCUGAAGAAAAUGCUGAUCAAAUUCCUCGACGACAACCAACUCAUCCUCGUGUUGCAAAAGAAGUGCAAGUUGAAAAGAUCAUCGAUGACAUUGAAGCACCGGGUUCUCUCAGAUGCUCAAAAGCUUCACAUUUAACUAAAUUUUGUGGGCACUAUGCUUUUGUCUCUAUCACAGAGCCCACUAAGGUAGAUGAAGCAUUUCUGGAGCCUGAGUGGAUUCAGGCCAUGCAAGAAGAAUUACAUCAAUUCAAACUCAACAAUGUCUGGGAACUGGUUAAACGUCCAGAUCCUCCCAAGCACAACAUCAUUGGCACAAAGUGGAUGUACCGCAACAAGCAAGAUGAAAAUGGCCUUGUGGUGAGGAAUAAGGCACGACUUGUAGCUCAAGGCUACACACAGGUUGAAGGAAUUGAUUUUGAUGAAACUUUUGCACCUGUUGCUAGACUUGAAGCUAUUCGCAUAUUACUUGCUUAUGCUAACCAUCAUGAUAUCACUCUAUAUCAAAUGGAUGUGAAAAGUGCAUUCCUCAAUGGUAAGCUUGAGGAAGAAGUAUAUUUUGCUCAACCCCUAGGUUUUGAAGAUCCAAAGCAUCCUGACAAAGUCUUCAGACUCAAUAAGGCCCUCUAUGGCCUCAAGCAGGCCCCUCGGGCAUGGUAUGAUACUUUGAAGGAAUUCCUCAUGAAGAAAGGCUUCAAACCCGGUUCACUCGACCCUACUCUUUUCACUAAAUCUUAUGAUGAUGAAUUGUUUGUGUGCCAAAUAUAUGUUGAUGAUAUUAUCUUUGGCUGUAGUGACCAACAUUAUAGUGAUGAAUUUGCCUAUAUGAUGAGUGAAGAAUAUCAAAUGUCUAUGAUGGGAGAGUUGAAAUUCUUCUUAGGUCUUGAAAUUCGUCAACAGCGCAAUGGCAUAUUCAUAUCUCAGGAGAAAUACCUCAAGGAUGUACUGAGGAAAUUCGGCAUGCAAGAUUGCAAAGGCGCCAAAAUUCCGAUGCCCACAAAUGGCCAUCUGUGCACUGAUGAAAAUGGUAUUGACUUCGAUCAAAAGGUAUACCGCUCCAUGAUUGGUUCUUUAUUGUAUUUAUGUGCAUCUAGGCCAGAUAUUAUGCUUAGUGUUUGCAUGUGUGCCCGAUUUCAAGCUACACUGAAGGAAUCACACCAUAAGGCUGUGAAACAUAUUCUUCGAUAUCUAGCUCACACACCAACACUUGGAUUAUGGUACCCCAAGGGCUCGGCUUUUGAUCUCAUUGGAUAUUCUGACUCUGACUAUGCUGGUGAUCAUGUGGACCGCAAGUCAACAUCUGGUACAUGUCAUUUCCUCGGACGAUCUUUGGUCUGUUGGUCCUCGAAGAAACAGAACUGCGUAUCACUGUCUACUGCUGAAGCUGAGUACAUUGCUGCUGGUUCUUGCUGUGCUUAAUUGCUGUGGAUGAAGCAAACUCUCAAGGACUAUGGCGUCAACGUGAAGAAUGUGCCUCUCUUCUGUGACAAUGAGAGUGCCAUCGAGAUUUGUCACAAACCAGUUCAGCACUCGAAGAGAAAGCACAUUCAGAUUCGUCAUCAUUUUCUUCGCAAUCAUGUGUUGAAGGGAGACAUUUCUAUUGAGCAUGUGAAGACUGAAGAACAACUAGCCGAUAUCUUCACGAAGCCCUUGGAUGAGAAGAGAUUUAGCAAGUUGCGGUGUGAGCUAAAUAUCUUAGAAUCUUCGAAUGUUCUUUGAAAAGGACACUUAUCCUAACACUUAUGCAAAAUUGAUGACUUAGAUGUGCAACAUAUGAAGAAACGUUUUUCUUCAAUCAAUGAAGAAUAACACCAAAAGUUGAAAAUCUUCAAUUUGAGUUUUUCCUCAGUGAAAUUCCUCAGUUGUUCGUUUUCUUCGACUUUGCAUUGUCUUCACUGUUUCUAUCGUUUUUCUUCAUUGGCUAUAUAUAUAUGUAUAUAUAUAUAUACAUAUAUAUAUACAUAUAUAUAUAUAUAUAUGUUUAUGUCCUCUACAGCAUUCACUUAUGGCUAAUUCUUCAAGUUGUUUUUUCUGCUAAGUGAAUGUAAUCGGACCCUUCGCCCUCUAUGCUAUACUCAACCCAAUCUAUUCACAAAUUCUUCAUGUGCGUUCUAUUUGAAACUUGUUCAAAAUCUUCACUGUGUCCUUGUCAGCUGAAGAAUUUGCGAACGGAACUUUUAACUUAUCUUAUCCAAAUUUUCGGCUUUGCCACUCAAACCGUUCCGCAUCCCACGAAAUACUUAUCUAUUCACCCACGAUCUAACACGAUCUCCACUUCUCAGUACGUGGGUGACAUAUGUCAAGCGAAUGAGAAGGGUCAGGGGCACGUUCGUCCAAAAUCUUCGGGCGAACAGUUUUUCACCGUGGCUAUAAAUACCCCCCCUCUCCCCUUCCUCACUUCCUUUACUCCGCUCGACCUCUCUCCAGCUCGAGCUUCUCAAACCCUAGCGCCGCUGCUACUUCAUCGUCGCCGGUGAGGAAGAGCUUCACUGCCUCGACCUCAUCGCCGCCGUACUCGCGCCGGCCGCGGAAAUCUUCACUCCGCCGCCGCCGUAGCCGUCUUCCUCCGCCGAGUUAGGGCGUGGAAGAUCUGCACUGACGAACUUCACAUCUCCACAUCCCAGUUCGUCGUGUUCUUCGUCCAGGGUAAUUAAAAGCUUCUUUUACUGCCCUCUUUGAUUCAAAUGAUUUCUACAAAAUCUUCAAAUGUGUUUAUUCUUAAAAUUCUUCACACACUAAACACCUCACAUGUCAUCCGUUCUUGAUUCGUUUCUCUAAGCAAUAAUUUUUCUUCAAGAUUCCUCAAUUGUGUGGAUCUUCGAUCUAUACAACUCUGGAACCUAAGACAAAGAACGCUUAGUGAAAUUCUUUAAGACUCAUCUGGUCAAAUUCCUCAAACUUGUUCUUUUUGAAAAACCUUCUGAGAACGCAUAUGACCUCUCCAAAUUCCUCGCAACUAUACUCUGUUCACAGGUACUCAUGUCCGCUGCUGAAUCUCUAGGUUCUCAUCAACUUAACUCAUUUGCAGCGUUCCUCGAAGAAAAGUUGCAUACUUCUUCAGAGAAUUCAAUUGUUCAAAUUCCUCAUCUGAAGAAAAUGGCUGAUGGAAAGAAGCCACAGAAAGGAGGAAAGAGGCCUGAGGUCAACACUGCAUUUGAAAUCCCUGAAGACAUCUAUGUUGGGUACUGCACACCCCCUGAGGAAGAGAAAAAUCAGCGCAAGGUGCGCAUUCAGAAGAUAGAGAGGAGAUGGGCAAGAGAGUGGAGGGAGUACAGAUAUGUGACUCCCAAGUACAUGAAGAAAUUCGCACUCAAUCCUCCAUGCCCAAGACCUCCGUUGGCACCUGGCUAAGAAGCUGAUCUCACCAGCCUCAAGCGUGGCGAGGAUUAUCCUGAUGAAUGGGCCAAGCGCCAGGCCAAGCUGGCUAGACAAGCCAGAGAAGCAGUGAGGAAAUUCAAUGAAGACUCUGCUGCUGCUGCUGCUGCCGCUGAGGCCUCUGUCAAGCCGAAGAAAUCCAUUGCAAAGAAGCCUGCGCGUAAGCCAAGUGCUUCACCUUCAAUGCCCUCAAGGCCAAGUUCCUCAGCAAUGCCCUCACGGCCAGAAUCCUCAAAGCCCUCACGGCCAAUUCCUCACGCUGCUCCUGCUCCUCCAAAAUCCUCAGCUCCUCCGCAUAAGUCCUCAGCUGCUCCGACCAAAUCCUCAGCACCUGUGCAUCUUGCCACAUGCCAAAGGACUACAGGCAUCUCUAUUGCCUCAGGAGCUUCAGCUAGUUCCUCAGCUGCUCCAAAUUCUUCAACAGGACCCUCUCUGCUGAAGACAAAGACCACUGCUGGACGAGGUUCUCGCCCAAGUCCUCACAAGAAGCAGGUCGCCUUCCAAGUGCCGUCUGAAGAAGACGAAGCUGAUGAUGAAGAACUUACUGAAAUCAUCAGAGAUAGGCAAGUCAGGGCCGCUAGAGCCAAGGGCACAAAUGUGCCUCUGCUUUGGGAUCCAAAGUUGAUCCUCGAUUACAUUGAUCUCUGGCACAAGAACCCAAACACUCCUAUGCCUGAUUUCAAGUUGACUCCUGGCCAAAGUCAUAUGCUGACUACCUUCAUCCAAGAAGAGAAAUGGAAAUUUGAGAAGGCCAGGCAGAUCAAGAAAGCGCAGUACAGCAAAGAAAAAUUCCUGAAGAACAACGUUGUCACUAUGACAACUGAUGAUCUUGUGAAGAUCCAGUCUGAAAUCAAAGUCCUCAGCGGUGAUUUCAAUGCUUACUAUGCUGAUUGGCAAGGAGCCAAGGUCAGGUUUGUUAAACUGACUGAGAAGUUCACUUCCAAUGUUACAGCCCCAUCGCAACAAGAAAUUCCUCAAACUGAAGCAUCUGCUUAGCCAACUGAAAACAUGCCAGCCCCGCUAAUGACAUUCAGGCUACUGAAGAAAAUGUGAGUUCCAGGGCUGAUGACUGCAUUCCAGCCGCUGAUGAAAUUGCCAGGGCAUCCACUAGUGGUGUGCCUGAAGAAAAUGAAGAGGUCGGGGCAACUGCAUCAGUUGUGCGUGAAGAAAAUCGACCACAUUCCUCUGCUCCUCCUGCGCCUACCCCAACUCCAAUUCUUCCAUCUGCAUCAGAUGUGAAGAAGACCAAGGCUGCAGAGCGUGCAGCAGUGAAGAAAAGGAAAGCAUCAGUUUCAUCGGAUUCUUCAGCUCUGAAGAAGAUGAAGAAAUUGACCAGCUCAGUUGCGAACCCCAUUGAUGUUGUUCCGAUCUCAACCAUGCCAUCAAAGGGCCUUGUUCCUUUUGAUGAAGAAUAUGUGAUCCCUAGCGGAUCUGAUGAAGAAAAUCCUUCUGCUGCUUCGUCAGAGCAGAUGGAUGAAGAAAUUGAAGUGGAUGAAAUCCCUUCAACUCCAGCUGUUUCCUCGCCUAUGCCUCAGUUUACUGCUGAAGAGGCCGGCGUUGAAGAAAUGGAAGAUGAAGAUGUGGACAUUGGUUGUACGACACCCAUGCUCAAUGAUGACUUUUGGGAAAGUCAACAUCCCAACUCUCCACUCUUCACACCAUUGCAACAAAUUCCUUAGUCCCCAGCAACUAUAGUUCAAAUGGGAUCUGAUGAAGCUCAUGCCACACCGUCUGUCCAUGAAGAAAUUCCAGCCACCAGUGCUGAAGAAACUGCUGCUGCUGAAUCAUUGAAGGCACAGACUGCCACUGAAGAGGAACCAAAAAUUCCUCAGCCUGAGGAACCUGAGAUUGCGAUUCCUGAGGUUGUAAUGCAACUGACUGACACUCCUUUGCCCAAGCCAAAGGAUCCAUUCUCAAGGAAGCAAAAAUUCAAGGCUAAUGAUUUCUUCGGCGAGCACGUAUUCUUCACUGAUUACAGCCCCUAUGACUCUGCUCGCAUUAGGAAGAGGCGUUUCUGGACUGCCAGCCAGGCAAAUAUUUAUUCCUCAGUGCUGUUCAACAAAGACAAAGUCUUCGAUCAUGAGCACAUUCCUCACAUGGAUAUGGAAUCUCUGCCAUGCUUCGUGCCAGUCCUCAGUGUUCUUCAUGAUGCUGGACUGUUAAAUUUCUGCACUGAUAUAUGUGAUUGGAAUGAAGAGCUCAUUCUUCAAUUUUAUGCAACUGUGCACAUCACCGGAGACUCUGAAGAUGUGAAUUCAUGGGUGCUGGACUAGAUGUCUGAAAAUACUCACUACAAGGCACCAGCCACUGAAUUGCUUCGUGCUUUGCCUCUCAGUCCUCCCCUUGAAGCUGCUCGUUGCAUCUACAGUGAACCUGAGCUUACAGAUCACUAUAUGCAAGUGCUGAUGAAGCCAUUGAAGCCAGGUCAGGCCCCAAGAACUAAAUUCAUUGUGAAGGAAUUGUUAUAUGUGCCUCGGACUGUCUAUCGCGUUCUGACGAAGACAUUGAGUCCUAUCAAGGGCCACGACUCGAAUGAAGAAGAAGUCGUUGGCAUCAUGAAGAAUCUGCUUUUCAAUAUCAUUCAUGGCGUUCCCGUCAACUUCCAUGAUUUCUUCACGAGGACUCUGGCCAAUGUCGCAAUGUCACCUUUUGAGUUGAAGCCUUAUGCUCCGUGGAUUAUGAGAUUCAUCAGAACAAGGUCUUCGCUCAACUACAAAGCUGAUACACUGAACCAUUGCAGCUACUUUCCCCCGAAUGAAGUCCUCAAACAGACAUUUUCCUCAGCUGAUGAAAAGGGCAAGGCUACUGCUGUUAUUGAUGAAGGCAUUCGUCCAUUGGAUGGUCAAUUUCGCAAGGCUGCAUCCUACUCCACCAAUGAUGACUCUGCCACCAACGCAACCAAGCCAAAUCCUCAAGGCACAGUUCCCAGGGUGAUGACUGACCGUGAGCUUCUCCUCAGUCUUCACCAGAAGGUUGAUCGCAAUCACAAAUGGGUCAAGCAUCAGUUUGGUUCAAUUCUUCACAACAUGACUGCUACCCACAAUGCAGUGAAGAAAAACCAUUACUACCUCCAUGAAACCUUUAACCGUACUUGGGCUAUUCUGUCUCACAUUUAUAGCGCAGAAGAUCUGAAGAAAAUGGGUCUCAAGGAGGACUUUGACUGGCCUGCACCUCCACCGAAGAAAUACAAGAAGGUCAAGGUUCCUUCCUUGGUGGCCAGCUCCUAUUCUUCAUCGCGCAAAACUGAUGAGCAUGAAGACUUGGACGACACUGCGGCAGGCCCUACAUCAACAAACGACCCCAACAACGCUGGCGCUCCUUCAUCAACUUGAUAUUCUUCAGGGGCGUUAGUCCUCAUUUUCAAACCUUUUGGCCAUUCGAUGACAAAGGGGGAGAAAUUUGAGUUAGUCUUCAAGCGGGCCUAUCAUUUAUUGGCGUUUUUUUUCCAAGUUACAACUCUCGUUUUUCUGAUGACUUUGUUGGAUCGAGUUGUAAACUUAAAACUCUAUGUUGGCCUGAUACUUUUGCUGUUUCUUCUGCAUGCUUAUUCUUCGUUAAUGUUAUUGCAUGCAUGCUGAGUUACAUCAGUCACCAUAUUUCAUCAUGCAUUUCAAAUUCUUCAUGUAUUAUGUCAAAUGCGUGUAUGAAUUACAAGAUAUAGGGGGAGAUCUCCAUGAUUCAACUCUUCAAGUGUGCAUUGCUUCAAAAGCAAAUUCCUCACUAUGCACAUCUUCAGGGGGAGUUCUUCUAUAUCUUGCAAUCAAAUUCCUCAAUAUCAGUAUUUACACUUCAUAUGUUUAUCCCCGUUGAAAACUUAACCUAUAUUGUCAUCAAUCACCAAAAAGGGGGAGAUUGUAAGUGCAUCUAGUGCCCCUUAGUGAUUUUGGUGUAUUGAAGACUUAUAGGUUAAGGGACUAAUGUGUUUAUGAGUGUACACAGGUCUAUAAGUCUAUGAGGAGUUUGAUAUUUACAGAGAAAGUGAAGAAAUUGGUGUGACCUUGAAGACUUGGUAUUCAUUUGAGGAACAUGAAGCGUGAAGACUUUUGUUUUUGUAGUUUCAUUUUCUCUUUCUUGAGUCAUAGGAAACACCGCACUGUUAAAGGGGGUCGAGGAAAUACUAAGGAAAAGUUUCCAUGUGAUGCUCAACCCAAAAUCCUACACCUACCAAUCCCUUCAAGUGAAGCCAUUGGAAAUCUCAUACAGUUCAGUCAUAUUCUUCAGUGGCAGAGACGAAGUUCUUCUGGUCUCUGAGGAAUUUGUUCUGACUGAGGAGUUAGAAAUUCGCCAGUGCGGAUUGCCUACACAGUGAGGAACAUGAUAUCCCUGAGGAAUUUGAUACUCAAAUUUCCAACCAUUGCUGUGCUACGCGCCAGCUGUCCCAAAAUAUCUUAUCCACCUAACGGUCAUAUCAUUGAAGGGCAUUUAUGUCUUAUCAUGUCGGGCUGCUCCCUAGGCUAUAAAUAGCCGCCCCCUACAACCACUAGCUGGUUGGCUGCUCUGAGAGAAACUGACACUUGUCAUUUGAGAGCAUCCCAUCCUCCGAGGACUUUGAGUGAAAACCAUCGAGUGAGGAAAAACCCAAACCCAAACACCUACAAACCCAAAGUGAUUGAGCAUCACUGAAGAGAUUGAUCCUGCGUGGAUCCGACGCUUGUUACCUUUGAAGACUGUGCUUCUUCCAGACGGUUAGGCGUCAUGGUCUAGAGCAUCCAAGAGGAAUUAUGGAUCAUCGAGUGACCGAGUUUGUGAAGGUUCGAAAGUCACCUGAAGACUUACCACGAGUGAUUGGGCGAGGUCUGUGUGACCUUAGCUCAAGGGGAAUACGGUGUGGACUAAGUGUCAUGGACUGCGUGUUAAGGACUGGGUGUCCGGGACUGUGUGUCCUGACGUUUAAAUACCUAGCCGCCCUAACCAGACGUACAACUGAGACAGCAGUUGGAACUGGUCUACCAAAUCAUAGUCUUCACCAAGCCAACUGAUUCUAUUUCCUCAACUCUUUCAUUUCCUCAUAACUGUGUUGUGGGCUUGUCAUAUCUGUGUUUGAAGACUUUGACUGAACACUUUCUCAAUUUCUUCAGUUCAAUUUCUUCAGUCUGUUUGUCUUCAUCCUGUGUUAUCCUGUGUUUACGCUUUCUGUACUCUGUGCUUGUCUUCAUUUCAUCAUGAUGACCAUGCUUGUAUCCUGUUAUGUUUACUUUUGAGUACUUAUUCCGCUGUAAGUAGUUCUUCGAUAAGGAAUUUCCUCACUGGCAAAUUCCUCAGUGAAGAAUUCAUAAAAAUCGCCUAUUCACCCCCUCUAGUGGAUAUAACGCACUUUCAUGGGGACAAAACAAUAUCCAUUGCCUCUUAUUGAUUUCAAAUUUUUUCUCGUGUCAACAUAGAUCAACAGGAGUGUUGUGUCAAUUUUUGGGAUUUUUCGGGGUUCGUUUGGACAUUUUUAUGCAUUAACUGAGUUUUCAAUGCAUUUGUGUGCAUAAUUCAAAUUUGACCUACAUGCACAUGCUCUAAUGCAUAUAAAUUGGUUGAAAAAUCAAAUCUGUGUCCUUGGGUGCAUGCUUAGGUCCCACGCAAGAAAUGGGAAUGAAUUUCAAACACUAGGGCACCGUUGAUUGCCGGCAAAACAUUGAGAUGCCUGGUUUUUAAAUUCUAGUAAAUCCAAACCUCGUCUGAAAUUCAUGAAACUUGGCAUGCUAUCAUGGAGCGGCAUCAACAUUCCAUGGUAAAUUUUUUGUCGCAUUUUGGGCAGGUUUGGGUGUAUGCUUCUCACAAACCAGAGCUUCUCACAACAAGCAUAAUAGUUUCGGUAGGAAACGUCCCACCUUUGGGGACGAAACAAUAUUCAUUGCCUCUUAUUGCUUUCAAAUUUUUUUCUCGUGUCAACAUAGAACAACAGGAGUGUUGUGUCAAUUUUUGUGAUUUUUUAGGGUUCGUUUGGACAUUUUUAUGCAUUAACUUAGUUUUCAAUGCGUUUAUGUGCAUAAUUCAAAUCUAAACUACAUGCACAUGCUCCAGUGCAUAUAAAUUGGUUGAAAAAUCAAAUAUGUGUCCUUGGGUGCAUGCUUAGGUCCCAUUCAAGAAAUGGGAAUGAAUUUCAAACACCAGGGCACCGUUGAUUGCCGGCAAAACAUUGAGAUGCCUGGUUUUUAAAUUCUAGUAAAUCCAAAACUCGUCUGAAAUUCAUGAAACUUGGCAUGCUAUCAUGGAAUGGCACCCGACAUGCUGUGGCAUUUUUCGUGUCCAUUUUGAGAGAAGGCGCACUCGAAUAAUGACAGGGAACAAAGGCAUUUUGAAAAAAAACUACCACUUUAAUAUCUCAAACGUUUGUAUAAUUCAAACCGUGUGCGUUCUGUUAACCAUUCAUGUGAUGCCAUGUGUCUUGGUUUUAAUGGAUGUAGGAGGUGCCGUGCGGAGAGCUGCUUGACCUUGACUGAACGGGAGGUGUGCGAGCGCAGUCCGGUGCGCAGGCUGACCGAGAGGCGUGCAAACUGUCCUCUAAUGCGCAGGCUCACCGGGAAGCGUGCGAGCUAUACGCUGCGCAGGCUCACUGGGAAGCGAGCCCUUUGACUUCCAUGGCCGCCCGCCUUCCUCUCCAUUAAUGGCGCCCGAGCCGCUAUUUAAUACGGUCGGCCUUACUGUUCGCCUCCCAUUCCCCUCCCUCCCGCAGACCUCCACCAACGCCAUGGCGCAGAAUGAUCAUCUGCCACUAGUCUUCAAGUUUGGUGAAGUCGACUCCGAGCCGGAGGAGAUAGCAAAUAAGGAGGAAUGGGCCCUCAUGGACAUGGCCCAGAACGAGCUGGCCGCAGCGGUUGCUGCCCCCGCUCACGUCCCAGCUCCCAUCCCUGCGCCCGCGCCAAUGACCAUCCCCGUAGCAUUGACGGGCCGGUCGCCGAGCACUAUCGCAGAGCUGGAAGCCGCAGGCGUCAGCGAGGUCUCCGUGGACCCACAUGAGCUCGUGUACAUGCCAGCGCCAGCGCCCGUGCCCGUGCCCGUGCGCGCCCCUCCACCCACCGUGGCGCCGACCCCCGUGCGUUUGGCUGCACCCUCCGCGCCCGUGCCCCUGUCUGUGCGCGCCCCUCCACCCACCGCGGUGCCGGUCCCCGUGCGUUUGGCUGCACCCGUCACGCCCGUGCCCGUGCCCACCUCAGCGGCAUGGGAUGCUGCCGUCGACCGCUACCUCUCAGCGGCGCCAGUUGCCGUCCUCCCGCGCCCCGCCCGUCGAUUGCGCGACGACAUGAUGUUUGAUUUACAAGUGAAGAACAUUUUGUGCUGCAUUGAAGACUUCAACAACGGCGUCCCGGAGGACGACAACGACGACGACGGCGUGGCACACCGCCUCCGCUGCCACCGGAAAUAGUUUUUUUGGGGUUUAGUACUGUAUCUCGAAUUCUCGAUCAUAUGAAUAGAAAUUCGCAGUGUGACUGAAUGAAAGAUAUGUUUUGAACGAACUUGCGUUUUUCUCUCUUAAUGUAUAGACUUAUC
rnacentral:lncRNA from 1 species